rnacentral:lncRNA from 1 species
UCCUCAUUCCCUUAGGAAUGACUGAAAUCUCUUUGCCGUUUAUUCUUCGGCUGCACCGCUUAUUUUCGGUGUAAGUUCUGCAUCUCCUUAGGAACGUCUUUUGAACUUCUUCGCCUUCUAUUUCGGUGGUAUCAUCGUUGACUUUUUGGUGUAAGUUCUGCAUUCCCUUAGGAACGUCUUUUGAACUUCUUCGCCAUAUAUUUCGGUGGUAUUUGGCUCUGCAUUCCCUUAGGAACGACUUUUGAGCAGAAAACUUACGCUGCGCUCCCUUAGGAACGACUUUUUGUAGCUUCGUCGUGCUCUGCAUCCCCUUAGGGACGACUUUCGAGCUUCUCACUAUUUUUUUCUUUUCUGCACUCGAUGAUGCAUGCUCAGAUUUUACAUUUUACAUAUUUUUGGGGGAUUUUGUUGUCAUAGAGCUGGAUGAGAAAGGAAAAAUUACAAACUAUGGCCCCAUCAAAAACCUUUCUCCCCUUUGGAAAGGAAAAGGGUGCCAUAGGAAAAAUAAAAAGAUUACAUCAAGUUACACAUAAUAUCGUCGAAGCUCAUCUACAUUCCAAGAUCUAGGAAUAUCGUUGCCGUCCAUAUCCUUCAAUCUGUAAGAACCGGGUCUUGACGAAGAUACCACCAGAAAGGGUCCUUCCCACUUCAGCUGUAGCUUGCCUACUGUGUCUGGAUUGGCCACUCUCCGAAGUACCAAAUGCCCUGGCUUAAUGUUUUUCAGCCGUACUUUUUUGUCACGCCAUUUUAUUGUUUUGGCUUGAUAUUUAUUGAUAUUCUCCAUAGCCUGAAGUCUGGUCCCUUCUAUAGCAUCUUUUGCCACAGAAUAAUCAUCCUCGUCCUCUACCGAAGCUACUGUUCUAAUUGACCCUGCCUUAGCUUCUUCUAGGGUUAUAGCUUCGUCACCAAACAAUAACUUGAAUGGUGUAAAACCUGUUGACCUUGAUAUAGUUGUAUUGUGGCUCCACACCACUUUAAUCAAUUCUUCUGGCCACUUUCUUCUGGGUUGAUUGAAGAUUAAUUUCAUUAUUCCCGUCAUUAUAAUACCAUUUGCUCUUUCGACUAACCUGUUUGACUCUGGGUGCCUGACUGAUGCAAAAUGAAUCUUCGUGCCAAUCUGGUCACAUAAAUCUUUGAAAGUUUCGGCGUCAAACUGUGUUCCGUUGUCCAUAGUUAUAGCCUUCGGCACGCCGAAGCGACAAACGAUAUUUUGCCAGAAAAAUUUCUGGACUGUAACCGAAGUUAUUGUAGCCAAAGGCUUUGCUUCAAUCCACUUAGAAAAAUAUUCCACCCCACUAUGACAUAUUUCAAAUUAUCUUGUGCUGGCGGAAGUGGGCCUAACAAGUCCAGGCCCCAUCUUUGCAAUGGCCAGGUUGGCUGUAUUAACUGAGUUAAUGACGAAGGUUGUUUUUGGUCCCUUGCACAUUUUUGAUAAUUUUCGCACUUUUGGACCAGAUUUGCUGCAUCUGAAGCUGCCUUCGGCCAGUAAAAUCCCUGUCUAAAAACCUUUCCUAGCAAAGGCCUAGACCCAAUAUGAGAUCCACACAAUCCUGCAUGUAUCUCAUUCAUUAGUUCUAUACCUUCGGUUCUAGAUAAACACUUGAGAAGGGGGGAGCAAACUCCAUGUUUGUAUAAUUCCCCUUCUAUUAUGAUAUACGGCCUUGUUCUUGCUUCCAUUCUUUUAUUAUAAACUUCGUCAUCCGAGAGGCAGUUACCCUGGAGAAAAGAUAUGAUUUCAGUCCUCCAAUCUUCACUAUGUACUGGAGAAAUGGCGAGCACUGCUCUCUCCAUGAAUUCAACCGAAGGUGCUUUUAUUGUUUCAAAAAAUACUUCCGAAGGUAGAGGGAGCCCCUGAGCCGCUGAUUUAGCUAAUAGAUCUGCAUGCUCAUUUUCGUCUCUUGGAAUGUUCUUGACAGAGAAACCUUUGAAAGAAGCCUCCAACCUUCGAACUGUAUCCAGAUAUUUUUCAAGUUUCGGAUCUCUUGCCUUGCUACUUUUAUCUACAUGGCCAGAAAUGACUUAAGAAUCAGUUUUCAGAAUAGCCCUUCUUAUUCCCAUUGCCCUUAACUUCCGAAGCCCCAACAAGAGUGCUUCAUAUUCGGCAAUAUUAUUUGUACAACUAAAAUCUAGCUUGGCUGCAUAACAUGUUCUGACUUUCGAAUGUGCUACUAGAACAGCAGCUGCUCCUGCGCCGAAGGUUCCCCAAGAACCAUCGCGGAACACUGUCCAAGCUUCGGCAUCUUUAUUUAUCUCUUCUUCCUGAGCCCCUGGCGUCCAAUCAGCGAUGAAGUCUGCUAACGCCUGGGAUUGAAUUGAAGAUAUAUGCACAUAAUCAAUAGUGAAUUCAUUAAGCUCUGCAGCCCAUUUUCCAAUUAUUCAAGUAGCCUCUCUGUUCCUCAUGAUGUCCUUUAUAGGUUGUGACGAAGGAACAAUUAUGUGGUAUGCUUGAAAAUAAUGUCGAAGCUUUCUGGAGGCCAUUAACACAACAUAUAAUACCUUCUCCAAUUCUGCGUAAUUUCUUCUUUGAUGGACUUAGAACUUCAGAGACGAAGUAUAUUGGAGCUUGCUUUUUAGCCUGACUAUCUAGCUUCUCCUGUACCAGUGCCGCACUCACUGCAGAAUGCGAAGCUGCCACAUAUAGGAGCAAUGGAGCCCCUAGCGCGGGUGGAGUUAAUGUUGUUAAAUCAAUCAAAUAUUGUUUCAACUCUUCAAAAGCUUUUUUGUUGUGCUAGGCCCCAUUGAAAGACUUCGGCUGACUUCAGUAUUUCAAAAAAUGGCAGAUUUUUUUCCGUUGAUCUGGAUAUGAAUCUGUUUAAUGAUGCUAAUCUUCCUGCCAGCCGUUGAGCCCCUUUCUUCGUGCUUGGUGGCUCCAUUCGAAGGAUAGCUUUGAUCUUACUUGGGUUAGCUUCAACUCCUUUCGUUUAUACCAGACAGCCAAGGAACUUGCCUUUCUUUACUCCAAAAACACAUUUUUCUGGAUUUAAGUUUAGGCCAGCUUGCCUGAAAUUGGCAAAUGUUUCUUGCAAAUCAGCAAUGUGAUUUCCUUGCUUCGUGCUUUUCACUAUGAUGUCAUCAACAUAAGUUAGCACGUUUCUGCCUAUCUGGGAAUGAAGGACCUUGGCUGUCAUUCUGCUGAAGCUUCCUCCAGCAUUUUUGAGCCCCUCAGGCAUCCGAAGAUAGCAAUAGGUGCCAUUGGGAGUUAUGAAGCUAGUCUUCGGCUCAUCUUCCUUCUUCAUCCAGAUUUGAUGAUAGCCUGAAUAACAAUCCAAUAGACUCAUGAGCUCUGAAGAAGCUGCUGCAUCUACAAGAGAGUCUUUUAGGCAUGUCUUGUUAAGAUCUAUGAAAUCAAUGCAUAUUCUCCAUUUACCAUUGGCCUUCUUCACCAUAACAGUAUUGGCUAACCACUCUGGGUAUUUUACCUCUCUGAUAACACCGGCACUGAGAAGCCUUUUCACUUCAUUCCGAGCACCUUCGGCUUUAUCAUUAGACAUUUUCCGAAGCCUUUGCUUUCUUGGCCUGAAGGAUGGGUCCACAUUAAGUGAAUGUUCAAUGACAUCUCUGUUGACACCACAGAGAUCAUUGGCUGACCAAGCAAAGACAUCUUUGUUGUUGAAUAAAAAUCUUAUCAAAGUUUUCUCUUGCUCUUCGGAUAGCUGAGACCCCAGCAGUACUUUUUGCUCUACUAUGUCUUCACAUAGAAGCAUAGGCUUCGGCUGAUCCGCCGAAGCAGCCUUCUCUCUUUUGUUGUACUGUUCACAGGCUUCAACUCCAUCUAUGUUGUGAAUUGCUUUUGAGUCUGUCCAAUUUCCUUCGGCUUUUCUGGCAGCUUCCUGACUCCCAUGAACAACAAUGGGCCCUUGUUCCGAAGGUAUCUUCAUGCAUAGGUAUGCUGGAUGAAGUAUUGCUUCAAAGGCAUUCAGUGUCCCUCGACCAAUGAUUGCAUUAUAAGGGUACUCCAUGUCAAUAAUGUCAAAUACAACUUGUUCAGUCCUUGUAUUGUGGACGAAGCCAAAGGUCACUGGCAUCAUGAUUUUGUUGAGUGCUACAAUCUGCCUUCCUCCAAAGCCACAAAGAGGGUGUGUAGCAUCAUGAAUCUUGUCUUCUGACUCUUGCAUCUGUCUGAAGGCCUUAGCAAAUAUGAUGUCCGCUGCACUGCCUGUAUCAACCAGAACAUUAUGGACCAGAAAUCCCUUGAUGACACAAGAUAUGACCAUAGCAUCAUUGUGAGGGUAAUCUUUGAGCUGAAGGUCCUCCUGGGAGAAGGUGAUUGGGAUGUGGGACCAUUUUGACUUGAUGAAAGGUCCCUGCACCCCAACAUGCUGCACCCUUCUCUGUGCUUCCUUCUUUUGCUUCUUGUUAGCCGGCUCUGAACUUGAGCCUCCUGGUAUCGGGAGCACCAGCUUCGUAGCCGAAGGUGCUACGACUUGGUUGCUGAACGAAGCUAUCAGCUCAAGAGUGGAAGUGAGUUCAUCGGCAGUGGGCGCCAAUGUUGGGGACUUGUUCUCAAUUGCUACGAAUUAAGAACAAGGCAACACAAAAUAUUAAAGGUUAAGGCCCUUCGUUCUUCGAAGCAUUAUUUCCCUUAGGACAUAAUGAUAUUCAGACGAAGGUCAUGAAAGACAUACCUUCAUGAUUGCAUUAUAUGUUAAUGAAAGAAGAAACAUGUAAGAACUAGAAAACAACGUGAAUAAUUAUGUAACAUUAUUGAUUCAACUUUAUUAUAUUAUGGAUGAAUAAACACAAUAUGGAAUUACAUUCGUACCUUCGACUUGACAGAAGGAGAUUGUACAAGCGUAAUGCUCGAGCUAGUACAAAUUAGCGUGAACAGUAUAGGGGUACUGUUCAUCUAUUUAUAGGCACAAGACGCAACCUGUGUAAAAUUACAUUCAUGCCCUUCAUAACUGAUUACAAUCAUGACAUAGAUUAUCAUGGGCCAAUCGGUCUUUUCAUCUUUAAGUCGGUGUCAUCCUUCGUCUCAAGGCGUGUCACUACACCGAAGCUCUCCGGAUAGUAGCUUCGGCAUCACUUCUGUUUUAAUCUUCUGAAGGUGUUUCUUCUCACAGGACCUUCGGCGACGAAGCAUACCCCCAACACUAUCAAAAUGCAUCCCAUUCUCUACAAUUUCCCAAAUACUAGGAUGGAGAGAAAAUAGAUGACUACGCAUUUUAUGGCUCCAAAAUGAAUAGUCUUCUCCAUCAAAGUGUGGAGGUUUUCCAAGAGGAAUUGAUAGUAAAUGCGCAUUUGAAUUGUAUGGCAUGCGAGAAUAGUCAAAAGAGUAGUUCUGAUUGACCGUUUUCUUUUUCGACGAAGAGUCGUCGUCGUCGUCUCUUGGUGAAGAAGAGGAGGCAUCGCUUUCGUAGUAGAUGAUCUUCUUGAUGCGCCUCUUCUUCUUCCUGUCCCUCUUCUUGUGACUCAAGCCUGAGUUAGUGGGCUUGUCGUCUCUUGGCUCGUUGAAGAGGGAUUCCUUCUCCUUGUCAUUGACCACCAUCCCCUUACCCAUAGGAUCCAUCUCUUCGAGCGAUUAGUCCCUUAGAUGAAGAGUAUGACUCCGAUACCAAUUGAGAGCACCUAGAGGGGAGGGGUGAAUAGGUGAUCCUGUAAAAUCAAACACUAAAUAGCCACAAACUUGAUUAUCACUACACGACGGUUGAUCUUUAGCGACCCUUAUUAGGUACCAACUGUUGGUUGCUAAAGGUUAGAGACCUACGGUCAGUCGCUAAAUCCUUUUAUAGCAACGGUCGGUUGGUUGCUAAAAGUCUAGAAAUAUAACAACUUAUGGUUGGUCGCUAUAGAUGUCGUCGAGGACUAGCGGUGGGUCGCUAUAGAGCAAUGAUCACUAUCAAAUCUUAUAGCCUGAACGUACCUGUAUUAGUGACUACAAAUUAAUUAAAACAAGUAAACAUUGAUCGCUAAAUUGCGUGGUGAUUUAUUUCUUUUUAAUAUUGACCAAAAUUUUUUAUGAAUUUUUGAGUAAUUUAAAAAUGCAUUUCGAAAUAAAUAAAAAAAGAAAACCCUCUCUAACCCUAAGGCCCACUAGGGCCCAUCUACUCCAGUCUCCACUGCUCGGCCGCCGCCUGCCGCAGCCCGCCGUCCACUAGUCCCGCCUCCCAGCGUCCUCUCCACGCCUCCACUGCUCCCGGCGUCCGCUCCAUUGCUCCCGGCGUCCGGCGUUCUGCUCCUGCGUCGUCCUAUCUCCCUGGGAUUUUUACCAGCCACGCUCGCUUGCCGUCUUCAUCUUUCCCAGCCGAUUCCCUCUCCCUCACGGCGUCCUCUCCCAUGGCCGUCGGCCCUCCUCGCCAUGGUGGUCGCGCCUCUGCUCGUCCUCGCUGCUCCCUAGUGCUCGGCCAGGGAGUUUCCCUUCCUCUCGCGCCCAUCUCCCUCUCGCAUUUCCCUGCUCGCCAGCCAUCUCUCUGGCACUCGUCCAGGGAGUUUCCCUUCCUCUCGCGCCCAUCUCCCUCUCGCAUUUCCCUGCUCGCCAGCCAUCUCUCUGGCGCUCGUCCUGGCUGCAGCCUCCCCCAUGGCGGCUCUCUGGUCCUUUUCUGCAGCAGGUCGGCAUCCCAUCCCCUUCCCCUCUCUACUGAUGGCCGCAGCGCCCAGGAUCCUUCCCAGACGCGCUCGGUCCCCUUCCUGUAGCCGGCCGUCGUUUCCCCUCGCUGCUCUUGGAGCCGGUCGUCCCCGCCGUGAUGCCCUAUCCCAACAGCAAACAUGUCGUCACAUCUGCUCCCCAUGCUCAGCUCGCCCCUGCUCCCUAACGGCAUCACCUGCAGCAGCCGCGUUUUCUCGCUCCCUUUCCCAAUCUCGCACCAGCUCCUGUCCUCCAGCCGCCCCCAUGGCUCCCCUCACCUCUCCCGUCAGCACUAGCCCAACUGUGGUACAGCAACAGCAGGCUGGACCUCUGUAGUCCCGAUGAGAAGAAAGCUUUAGUGUGACGCUUGUCAAGUGUUUGAUAAAAUGGCUGAACCUGGAAUCGUUGUCGUGUCCACCAUGUCAGAGUCAUUUGGGUCCAUGGUAAGUUGUUUUACUAAUUUUGUUCACUACCUUAAUGAAUAGAUAUAUUGGUCCAUGAUUCUCUUGUCCAUUGCCUAGGUGUGCUGUGGUGAUAACUUCUAGGUCUUUGUCGUUGUUUGUGUCCUAUCCAUGGCAUCGUAAGGGACGACACUCCCUCUUCCCUUUUAUGUUCAUGUCAUUGUUAGUGUAUUAGAUAAUUGAUGAAAUGUCCUAGUUGGGUGCAAAAACAUUGCAAAUAUGAAUAAGGUAUUCUUGGCAUGAUUUUAGCCAUCUCUUAGUUGUUACUAUAUUGCAUGGAGGAGCUGUAGCUAUAGUUUAAAAUUAAAUUAAUCAAUGUCAUUAGAUAGAGAACCUGGUAGGUUGUGGGGUUGUAAUUUUAAUACUUGCUCAGUUGGUCCCAUCCUGGUAGCGAUAGAAACACUAGUGAGCUAUUUAUGAUCUCAAUACGUCUCAUUUGACUAUGUUUUCCUUUCUUUGUUGUAUAGUUCUUUUUCUCUGAGAAUUUCAUAUGUUCAUGAUCUGCAACUGAGCAAGUUUGUUUGUUCCUCUAUGUUUUAACGAUGCAAGAUAUAUUAAUAAUCUGCUAGCAGGAAGCCUGCAACAAUAAACAGUUCCUUGCUUUGAAUGAAACUUUCAUCAUACUUUGUUUGACUUGGUGUUUCCUGUGUAAAGCUUCUUCUACUGGCAUUUAUGAAAGAAUAUGAAAAUGGUUAUAACCUUUUAUUUCUGUUCCAAUGCUUUUGCUUCACUUUCUUGCCUUGUAUGCCUUUAAUUAACCUUUUUACAUGUUGAUUAUUUCCUCCAUAACAGUGUCUGUUUCAUUGCAGUCCCCUUUACUUUCAAAAAGUGCCUUUCUUGAACGGUCAAUUGAAGAAAAUUCUGACCAAGAAGAAUGCAUCAUCAAACUAAAUGACAUUCCUGGGGUGCCAAGUCAUUUGAGCUAGUUGCAAGGUUCUGCUAUGGUGUGAAAAUAGAGCUUUCACCUGCAAAUGCUGUCUACCUACGGUGUGCCUCAAAGCAUCUAGAAAUGACUGAAGAAGUAGCUGAGGAAAACAUGAUUGCACCACAAAUAGAGCUUUUGUGAAUGAUCUAGCUAGCUAUCCGUAAAUGAUCUAGUUGUGAAUGAUAUUAUAAUUGUGAUGCUUUUGUGAAUAUAUAAUUGUGGUGCUUUUGUGUUUAUGUGAUGGAUCUAUGACUGUGGUAUACUGAUUAACUGUGUAUGUCUUUAUGAUUUGUGUAUAAAAAUAUGUGAUUUAUGGUGCUUAAUUAAAUGUAUAUUAUUAUUAAUAACCACUGUAAAAAAGGCGACUUUCUGUUGGUUGCUAAAUGUAUAGUAUGACGACUUACAGUUGGUUGCUAAAUCUAUAGUACAGCAACCCACGGUUAGUCGCUAAAUAUACAAUAUUAGCAACGGACGGUCGGUCGCUAAAAAGAUGUCGGUCGCUAAAGCCUUUAGCAACGGCACUUACAGCGACCAUCCUUAUGGGUCGCUAAAAGUUUUUAGCGACCAACCGUAGGUCGCUGAAAGCCGUUUUAGCAACCAACCGUAGGUCACUGUAAGUGAACCGUCGUGUAGUGUAUAAAGAUGUUAGUGCGAGUUAAUCAAGUUUAUGGAGCGAGCUCUUGCGAACACAAGCAAUCAUAGAGAGGAGCAACACAUGAGACACACGAUUUUUAUCCCGUGGUUCGGCCAAGUAACACUUGCCUAUUUCCACGUUGUGGCAUCCCAAUGGACGAGGGUUGCACUCAACCCCUUUCAAGUGAUCCGAUGAUCAACUUGAAUACCAUGGUAUUUUCUCUUUUGAGUAUUCUUCCCGUUUGCGAGGAAUCUCCACAAGUUGGAGCCUCUCGCCCUCACAAUAUAGAUCACAAAGAAAGCACAAGAGUAAGGGAGGGAAAACAACGCACACAAGAUUCAAUCCGCAGCACACACACGCACACAAGCCAAGACUUGAGCUCAAAGCACAGCACAUGGAGUUCACAACUCGAACAGAGCUCAAAUCACUAACACAACGAAUCAAAUGCGUGGAGGCGGAGUCUGGAUGUCUUAGUAUGCUUAGAGAGUGCUUGGUAUCUUGCUCCAUGCGCCUAGGGGUCCCUUUUAUAGCCCCAAGGCAGCUAGGAGCCGUUGGAGAUCAACUUGGAAGGCAAUUCUUGCCUUCUGUCGAGUGGUGCACUGGACAGUCCGGUGCACCACCGGACAGCCACUGUAGCAGUCCGGUGCGCGAUCUCCUUCCAUAUCAGGCGCAGCCGACCGAUGGUCCUUGGGACUGGUUGGCGCACCGGACACUGUCCGGUGCACACCGGACAGUCCGGUGUGCCCGACCGACCGUUGGCACGGACCACGUGUCGCGCGUUGAUCGCGCGGAUGACCGUUGGCCACUGGCACCGUUGGCUCACCGGACAGUCCGGUGCACCACCGGACAGUCCGGUGAGUUAUAGCCACGUCGCCUUCCUCUUUUCCCGAGAGCGCCCAGUUGACGCCGAGUUAGCCUUGGGCACCGGACACUGUCCGAUGCCCCACUGGACAGUCUGGUGUGCCAGGCCCGAGCUGGUGUUGGCUGAACUUUGCCAACUUUUCUUCAAUUCAAAUCUUAUUUUCUUGGCACUGUUUCUAGCACUUAGAUAACCAUGUUAGUGUUCAGAAACAAUUCACUAGGUCUAGAUGUCGGUGUUUGGGACCCGACCGCGCACCCGGGGUUACCCCUCGAGGUGCUUUUGGGUAGGACGGUGUUGCUGACUGUAGCUCGAUGGUUCGUGCUAGGCGCACGAGAGACGAUAGACAAUUUUAUACAGGUUCGGGCCGCUUAGAGAGGCGUAACACCCUACUUCCUGAUGUGGAUCUUUAUGUGGUGGGUUAUAGGGGGAUUCUCUAGUAUGAAGGAUGCUAGAGAAUGGAGUAGAUGGCUGAUGAAUGACCUAUCUUUUGAUGGGGUGCCCCCUAGGCCUUAUAUACUCGACCGUGGGGUGUUACAUGUGGGUAUGAUAACAACGUGCACCUAAGUAAUAGUGAACCGACUGAACUUAUCUUCCUAUAAUCCUGCCGACUUAUCCUCAUUUAGUUCUGACGUCUGAGGGCGCUGCGCGGGAGAAUCGGAUCAAUGCUGUGGAUAAUACUUGAACCCAAUGAGCCGUCUGGGCUCGAGUCUAUCCAAUCUCGCAUCAAUCCAUUCUGCCAGCGGUUCCUCCCCUGGCCCAUGAAGGGAUGGCCUUGCGAAGUAAUGGGCCCAAAGCCUUUCGCGAGGCCUUCUAGCCUUCUAGUGGACCCGGGGGAUAUCUGUCCCCCACAAGCCCCCAAUCUUUGAGUUGAUUUUGAAAUAAUCCGCCCAAAGAUUCUAGGUCCACCUUGCGGUUUUGAUUUUAGGUAGUGGAUGCUCUGAAAGUACACCUGUCGAAUCGUUGCUUCUGAACUCUAAUCAAUCCGGUAAAAACAACCUUAUGUUAUCCUUCUUCAGCUCUUUCAACGGUCUUCGCCUCAUACUUCAGAAAUCGGUGCUCUGUCACUGGCUUAUGCUUUAGAGACCAGCGUUCUGUCCUUAGGGGUUGAGGAUUCAUUGGGUGCACCGGAGGUGCACCCAAUGGGUGUAGCCCCCGAGCUUUGAGAGGAUUACUGAAAAUAAUCCACUCAAAGGUCUUCAUCUCAUGCUUUUUAGAAAUCAUUGGUUUAUCUUCGUCUCAUGUUUUAGAAAUCAGCAUUUUGUCGUCGGUCCAUGCUUUAGAGAUCAGCAUUUUGUCCUUAGGGGUUGAGGAUUCAUUGGGAGCACCAGAGGUGCACCCAAUGGGUGUAGCCCUCGAGCUUUGAGUGGAUUACUGAAAAUAAUCCACUCAAAGGUCUUCAUCUCAUGCUUUUAGAAGUCAUUAUCUUAUCUUCGUCUCAUGCCUUAGAACUCAACAUUAUAUCAUUAGCUUAUGCUUUAGAGAUCAGCAUGUUGUCUUUAAUUCCUGCUUUAGAAACCAGCAGCAUGAUCUGCCCAUGUCCUGUUAGGUUUGAAAUUUAUUUGAUUGUCGAUAGAUUGGACGUCUGGUAGAUGGCUCUUGGCUGGUCUUCAUUUCGCUUUGUGCUUCAAUGCUUCUGUUGAUUAGACUUGUACUUCAGUAGCUAUAUUUGGAUUUUCUCUGAACUCCAUCGAUAUCUUUCUUCUGUCUUGAUACAUUCAUUGCGUAUACUGUAUGGAUGUGACUGCUUCGGAAAAUCUAUUGAAAAUUCUUGGACGUUCCCUCCCCAAUGGGUAUAACCGAGGGACGGCUUGGUACGUCGAGCGUUUAGCAAACUGUCCUUGAGUAGUAACUGGACGUGACCGCGGGGUGUAAUCAUAUCAUCCAAGCAGUUGACCUUAGUCCAAAUGGUGUCGUGUUAACGGUGUCUGCUGCCUGACUUACUUCCAAACGAUUUGAAUUGCUUAUUGAAUACUUGUGAUUGUUCGGUGACCGUGGUAGGAGAUGAGCGGUUGCUUCCGGCCUCUAUAAAUAGACUGCCUGACUCACUGGUGUCUUCACACAUCUUCUAGUCGUUUGUUGCUUAUUUUCCCACUUUUCUCUUCUCUUCCAACCAACCAUGGGCAAGAACAAGAAGGGUGGAAGUUCGUCGCACCACUCCAGCGACAAGUGGAAGCGUGAGCCAAGUUCCCCCUCAGAGGACUUUGGUGACUCCGAGUACUCGGAGGAGGAGUUUUCCUCCGAGUCUGAGGGGGCGCCGGUCUACGCCUCUCCUCCGGUGUCGUUCGAUGACUCGAACAAUUUCUAGAAGAUCGCCGCCGAGGUGUGGACAUACAUCCGGAUCGUCGAGCGCUCCGGGCUCGAGGGCUCGGAUGAGUCGGAGGUCUACUCGGACGAGGAGAACUCCUCCGACUCGUCUGAGGAAGAGAGCGGUGGUGACGGCGACGACGACGACGAGGGCGACGGCGGCGAUGGUGGUGACGGCGGCGAUGACGGCAACGACGACGGCAAGGGCGACGGAGGCAACAGCGGCAAGGGCGACAGCAACGGCGGCAAGGGCGACGGCGACGACAAGGGCAGCGGCGGCAGCAACAAGGCCAUAGCAAAGCGCCGUUGGUUUAAAUAUUAGUAUAGAUAAUUAGUAGUAGCAGUAGUAGUAGUAGCAGAAUAAUGUAGUAGUAGGUAGUAGUAUUGUGUAGUGUGAGUAAUGUUGUAAUGUAGUAAUGUAAUGUAGUGAAAAAGGGAGAAAAGGCCGACUCAUAAUGAGUUGGUUUUUAAGUUUGUGAAAAACUUCCCUCCUUUAUGUAUCCAAGAAAAUUUCAGCUUGUUCCGGGCAACCUUUCGCUUUUCCGCCAUUCUUCCUUUAUAGUCGAUUGAUAGUUUGCCCUCGCGCCUAACGCUACUAAUGUUAUUAGAAAUAAUUACCAAGUGAUAACUGGUAACUGCUGAGUCGUGUUUGGUGAGCCUCGGCAUUUUUUAGAGAAAACGACCGAGUUAUGACAGACACUGUUAGCGUUUUAGAGGUAACAACCAAGUUAUGCUUGACCCCAUCGGUGUUUUGGAGAUAACAGCCGAGUUAUGGCAGACACUAUCGACGUUUUAGAGGUAACAGUCGAGCGGUGUUUGACCCCGUCGGCGUUUUAGAGAUAACAGCCGAGCUAUGGCAGACAUUGUCGAUGUUUUAGAGGUAACGACCGAGUGGUGUUUGAUGUUGUUGACGUUUUAGAGGUAACGACCGAGCUAUGUCGGAAAUCUCGUUUUCCCGAGUGAUGACUUGGCACUAUUUAGAAACGGUGCCCAACCCGGGAAACCCCCAUUUAUACUCAUGUCAUCGUGCGCUUUUGAGUUCUGAGCACUAACUUCACAUUUCCGCCUCGAACUACUCCUCUGUUUCCCUCUGAUUUCGCCCUUGUUCGACCCACCGGCGAGAUUGCGAUGGCGCCCAAGUGGAAGAACCAGAGUUCUGUUAUGGUAGUCAUGCCUCCCAUCGACCCCAACAGCCAGUUGCCGUUCGUAGGUAACCACAUGUCUGUUGUCUCGGAAUCAGAUCUCCUCCACCUUGUUGAUGUCGGAGUUCUUCCUCCAAAAGAGUUCUGUUCUUGGCGGAUUUGCCGUGGGGUCACUGUUCCGACAGAAGAUACCCACGAGUCUGUCGUCUACGUUCCUUUUUUCAUCCGCGGUCUUGCUCUUCCCAUUUCUCCCUUCUUCCGCGGUCUCCUUGAUUUUUACAAUCUAAACCUGACCCACCUGAAUCCCAAUUCCAUCUUGCAAAUUUCUAUCUUUGUACAUUUGUGUGAGGCCUACCUCGGAAUUCUUCCUCAUUUCGGAUUAUGGAAGUAUUUGCAUCACUGUCGGCCUGGGAUGGCUGGAGGGCAGCACCAGCUCGUUGGUGGUGCAAGUCUGGAGAUGCGCCGUGGGAGGAAGAUAGAAUACCUUGACAUUCCUCUCAAGGACAGCAUUAAAGGGUGGCGCCUUGAGUGGUUUAUUGUGGAAAACCACUGCAAGUCCCUCCCCCCUCGGUCGGGGAGACAUCCAGAUGUAUGUACUCCGAGUUGGGUUGAGUCCCCCACUGCUUUGGAGGUGACGGAGGCUAGGGUUCUGCUUGCUGAGAUCUAUCUACUGAAGCAGAGAGGUCUGACUGCCGAAGCUGUGGUUGCUGACUUCGUUUUCAAGAAUAUUUAGCCUUUGAAAGACAGGACAUAUCCAGCUUACUUGUACAGUGGUAUUACUGACUCAACUCGGGUCACCAACAAGAAAAUUCCUACUGAGGAUCUGGUGAUCCGACUGGACAUGAUACUGAGGGGCAAGGUAUCAAAUGUUCGUGCUCCUAUUGCCUAUUCUGCUUGGAAUCUGUCACCUCAUAGGUCAUUUUUCAAUUUCUUGUCCAACCCUCCUGCUAGUGAUAGUGGUAUGGGUCUUAGAGUGCGACCCUCUCCUGAAGACAUUGAGGCUCUGGUUGCUCCCCUUCGUGAUCUUCCCAAUGAUGAGAGACAAGUUCACUUUGAGAUGUCGGCAAGUCCGGAUGAUGCAGAAAUAGAUGUUGUACUCAAUAUGUUGGCUGGAGAAUCUUCUGACUCGGCCCAUGCUGAACCGAUGGUUGUUAUAGUUGGACAAGAGCUUGACAAAACAGUGGACACCCGAAAGCCUGAGGGUACUCGCCCAAAGCGUCCUCACUAAAUCAGCCGUCCGACUACGCCUGUUGAGGAAAAGAAGAAGAAGAAGAGGCGGCUUCGACGACUAUCAUGUUUGGACCAGGAUGCAGGCCCUUCUGCUCCUGUUUUUGAUGAAGUACCGGCAGAAGUCCUUCCUGAGGUUGAUCCCAAUGAUGGUGUACAUGUUGAAGCUGAUCCCAAUGGGUGUGACCGUGCACCAGCUGAUCCCAAUGGGUGUGACCUUGUUGAAGCUGAUCCCAAUGGGUGUAACCGUGUUGAAAUUGAUCCCAAUGGGUGUGACCGUGCACCGGCCAUUGUCCGUAUUUUUGAUGAGGACGAAGAAGAAGAAGAAGUUCUGCUGAUUCGUAAGAAUAGCCUGCGUUAUAGAGGUAGUAGGGGGGAUAGUGAUAUUCCUUCUCUAGCUCUGUCUGCUCUUGUCAGCCUUCAAGAGUUGUCCAUAACGGAUUUUGAUCAGGCCCUUGAGGAUGUCGUUCCUGAGGAUAUGCUGUCGGAGCCGACUGCUGACGACAUGAUGGAUGUUUGCUCUAAAAUUCCAGACAUGGGAUUAGAGGUAUCCCGAGUAGUGUCUCGUGCAUCAUCGACUUUAGAAGGCAGUCUCCAAUGUCAAGAAGUUGGUCUGGAUUGCCCGACUCCCAUGGAGGUGACUGAGGAUCCUUCAGCCUUAGAGGUGGCUGUUGCAGAAAACUCAGCCCCCGAGGGUGGUGCUGGCAGUUACCUAGCCCCCGAGGGUGUCGCCGGUAGUGUUCUAGCUCUGGUGGGUAGCGCGAGCUAUGACCCAGCCCCCGAGGGUGUUGCCGGUAGUGAUCCGGCUCUGGUGGGUGGCACGAGCUACAACCCAGCCCCCGAGGGUGUCCAAGUAAGUUCUCCUUCCCACACCUCCAUGGAUGUCCAUGUUGGGUCGUCUCCAUCACGAUCUGAUGGGGUGAUGGCGAUGCACGCUUCUUUGAUUUCGAGCAAGCGAGUUGCUUUGGAGGUCGGUGAGCCAGAUGCAAGAAUUCUGAUAUCCGCUGGCGAGGCUGAGUCAACCCCUGACAAUGUUCUUCAAAUUGUUCCGGUUGAUCUUCCUUCAUCGAGCUACGAUGCAGCUUCUCCUAACUUGGGAUUACCCUCAUUCUUCUCCAAUCUUCAGGUAACUUAGCUCUCUCGUUCUGUCGUUUCUCCUGGUAAAUUAUCUUCCCUAUACUCAUUUGCCUUUGAUAACAGGCUUUGGUUGACGGAAUGUUCGCUCAGUUGAGAUCACAUGGUGCCACUAUCCCAGAAGGGGCUCUAUUUCUGACGCAGUGGAACCCAUUGCUGCUUCAGAAACAGAUAGCUGACUUGAAGGCGUCAAACACUGGUUAGUAACUUUGUUUCUUCCUCGGCUGAUUGAUCAACUUGUUUUUAACCGUGUAUCCUUCUUCAACUAUUUUGUCAGAUAUGGCUCGGCGGUGCUCUGAGAUUGAGGAAAAACAUCUUCAACAUCAAGCCGACUCAACCCGAAGGUACUCUGAUCUUGAAGAGAACUAUUCUCAAGGUCAGACUGACCUGGCUCGGGUUUCUGCUUCUCUAGAUGAUGCGCAUUCUUUGAUUUUUUUCUCUCAAUGCUCAGCUUAACUCCGAAAGGGCAGCUCAUGAGGUAAGCUUCCUUAAUUGGCUCUACCGUGCUUACUGUUUAAUGGAUGCUUGAAAGUUGAUUCUUGUUUGUAGGAGGAGAAACGAGCACUUGCAGCUUCUCAUGACAAUCUGGAUAGGUUGUAUCGUGAUGCCAGCAAUUCCUUAACUAUCUUGGAGAGGAGCCAUCGCUUUACUAUGUCAGAUCUGGAUCAUCAUCGUCGCGAGCUGCAAGUGUCCCAAGAUGAGGUCCUGUGGCUUAGACAGUUAGUGUCAAGUAAGGAUUCCAUCAUCAAAGAUCAGCGUGCCUCCAAGAAGUUAGUCGCCCAGGAGCUAGAGGCCGCUCGACUGGCUACCAAAGUUUUAGAAGACAAUUGCGCCAUUCUGAAGGCUCAACGUGAUAAGGCUAUGGACAAAGCCAUUCGCGUGGGGCGGAUCUUGAUGAGAAAGCCCGGUGUAGUUGUUCCUGAUGACAUUGUUGCCGACGUCAAGGCUGCGCCUGAUGCCUCGAGUCGCCCUUCUUCCUUGAUUGCCCCUGCGAAAGACAUUGCCAAGUAGAGACGUUUCGCCGUAAUGACGUUUUAGAAGAUACUGAAUGUAUUUGUGAAUUCUAUGUGUGUGUGAUCAUUGUGUUCGGAUAUCCAAUGGCUUUUUCCUGACUUAUGCCAAUCGCUUGGCUGGUAAGGCAUAGUGGUCGCCCUAAAAUGAGUAGAUGUGAGCAUGUCGCACCGGCUUGAGUCAUUGCCGACUUAAGCCGAUAGCUCCGUUCGUAGGGUAUAGUGGUCACCCUAAGUCGAGUAAGCGUGAGCAUGUCGCACCAUCUUAAGUCGUCGCCGACUUAAGCCGAUUGCUCCGUCAGUAGGGUAUAGUGGUCACCCUAAGUUGAGUAAGCGCGAGCAUGUCACACUGUCUUAAGUCGUUGCCGACUUAAGCCGAUUGCUUCGUUGGUAGGGUAUAGUGGUCACCCUAAGUCGAGUAAGCGCGAGCAUGUCACACCGUCUUAAGUCGUUGCCGACUUAAGCCGAUUGCUCUAUUGGUAGGGUAUAGUGGUCACCCUAAGUCGAGUAAGCGCGAGCAUGUCGCACCGGCUUGAAUCGUCGCCGACUUAAGCCGAUUGCUCCGUUAGUAGGGUAUAGUGGUCACCCUAAGUCAAGUAAGUGUGUUGAUUCCAAGUCUAAUCAAAUCGAAGUCGAUUGAUAAUCAACAGUUUGAAUGCCUUUGAGAAUGAAAUCUUUUAUUGAUGACAUAUUUUCCAAUUACCGAGAACAACGUUCCUCCGAUAGCUUUUGAAGUCUUGCUAAGGGUAAAACUUCCUGAGAUGCUCUAUAUUCCAUGAAUUCCCCACUUCCGUGCCAUCCAUUUGAGUAAGCCGAUAUGAUCCUAGCCAAGUGACCUCCGAUACCAUGAAUGGCCCUUCCCAUAGUGGUGACAAUUUGUGUCGUCCUUCUCCCGUUAGAAUUCAGCGAAGGACCAAGUCUCCCACUACAAAGGAUCGAUAUCGUAUAGCCUUAUCAUGAUAGCGCCUCAAGGUCUGCUGGUAUCUAGCUGACUGAAUUACUUUAUUCAAUCGCUCUUCCUCCAGCACAUCAAUAUCUUCUUGUCUGGUAGCUUCUGCUUCAGCUAUGCUUUCGAAGACCAGCCUUGGUGCCCCUAACCUGAGGUCGGCAGGUAGCACUGCCUCCGAACCAUAGACCAUGAAGAAGGGGGUGUUUCCAUGCAGAGCUCGACUGGGUUGAGUUCUUAGGCUCCAAACCACAUAAGUCAACUCUCUGAUCCACUUUCCUGUGAACUUUUCAUUCUUGUCGAAGACUUUCUUCCUGAGUGCUUCCAGUAUCAUUCCAUUAGCCCUUUCCACCUGACCAUUAGCUCUUGGGUGUGCUACUGAUGCAUAUUUGAUCUGGAUGCUCCGUUGCUCGUAGAAAUCAAAGAAUUCAGAGCUAGUGAAGUUGGAUCCCAGGUCGGUUAUGAUGCUAUUCGGUAUCUCAAACCUAAAUAUUAUGUCUUGUAUGAAUUCCACUGCCUUAGCUAAAGUUAGAGAAGCAAUGGGUUUGUACUCUAUCCAUUUGGUGAAUUUAUCGAUGGCGACCAGCACGUGAGUAUAACCUCCCUGAGCUUUCUUGAAGGGUCCAAUCAUGUCUAAUCCCCAGCACGCAAAUGGCCAUGUUAUAGGUAUGGUCUGCAGCUGCUGUGCUGGUAAAUGUUGUUGCUUUGACAAGAAUUGGCAAGCUUCACAUCUCUGGACUAACUCGGCUGCAUCACUCUUUGUUGUUGGCCAAUAGAAUCCAGACCUAAAGACUUUCCCAACCAGAGUUCUGGAUGCUGCGUGUAUUCCACACUGUCCGACAUGAAUCUCAUCUAAUACCUGUCUCCCAGUAACCGAGGAAAUGCACUUCAUGAGGACUCCUGUUGCACCCCUUCUAUACAGUGCGCCGCCUAUGAGGGUGUAGUGGGCCGACUGUCUUGCGAUGCGUUCUGCUAUAGCCUUAUCAUCUGGUUCUUCCUCAUUCUUUAUAUAUCUGAUGAUAGGCUCUCUCCAACCAUCAGAGUCUGACUUUGGCUGACUCAAAGUGUUGCACUCUUCUGCCUGAUCUGAGGGAAUGCUUGGGCGUGACACUUCCUAGACGAAAACUCCGGGUGGGGCCUGGGCUCGACUGGAUCCUAGCUUCGACAAUGCGUCUGCUGCUGCGUUGCGAUCUCUUUCCACGUGAUGGAACUCCAGCCCUUCAAAUUUGUCUUCUAAUUUUCGGACAGCUGUGUAGUACUUGCCCAUAGAAUCAGUCGAGCAAUCCCAAUCUUUAUUUAUCUGACUUAUGACCACCAGUGAAUCUCCGUAUACCAUCAACCUCUUAAUGCCCAGUGAUAUGGCAAUGUUCAACCAAUGGAUCAGAGCCUCAUAUUCCGCUGCAUUAUUUGAUGCUGGGAAUGAUAACUGAAGAGCAUCCUUGAGUUGUUCACCUCUAGGGGCAAUGAAGAGGAUUCCUGCGCCUGCUCCCUGCAGUUUCAGCGAGCCAUCAAAAUACAUUCGUCAUACUUCUGUAGCCUCCGGGUUGUCAGGUACUUGUUGCUCGGUCCAUUCUGAUACAUAGUCGACCAGUGCUUGAGUCUUUAUUGCUGUGCGAGGCCGAAACUCGAUGUCGUGAGCUCCUAGCUCGCAGGCCCACUUGGCUAUUCUUCCGAUGGCUUCUUUGUUGUGAAGAAUAUCUCCUAUUGAAAAUCCGGUGACUACUAUGAUUUUGUGGUCAUUAAAGUAGUGACGGAGUUUGCAAGCAGUUAGAAGUACUGCGUACAAUAGUUUUUGAACUUGGGGAUAUUUCUUUUUAGAGGGUCCUAGGACCUCGCUGAUGAAGUAGAUCGAAUGUUGUACUGGAUAUGCGUGCCUUUCCUCUGCUCGUUUGACUACUAACGUGGUGCUUACCACGUGAGUCGUGCAGGAGAUGUAUAACAGCAGAUCUUUUGCUAGCUGAUCUGGCAUGGCUCGGCGUGGCGGCUUUAACACUGGUGGCGUGGUCAAGAACUUCUUCAGUGCAUCGAGAGCUUCCUGUGCUUCUGUGGUCCACUAGAACUUGUCCACCUUCUUGAGAAAUUUGUAGAAUGGUAAGCCUUUUUCUCCUGACCUUGAUAUGAACCUGCUCAAGGCUGCCAUGCAUCCAGUAAGCCUUUGCGCUUUCUUCUGUGAUCGUAGUGCUUCCAUUCUCAUGAUAGCCUCGAUUUUUUCCGGGUUAGCUUUAAUUCCUCGGUGGCUGACAAUGAAUCCGAGCAACUUCCCUGCUGGUACUCCAAAAACACAUUUUUCUGGAUUGAGCUUCCACUGGUAUCGCCUCAGGCUGUUGAAGACCAGCUGCAAAUCUUCAAUGAAGUUUUCUGAGUUUUCUGUUUUAAUCACCACAUCAUCAACAUAAGCUUCUACCCGCUUGCCCCAGUGAUCAGCUAAGCAUGUUUGAAUAGCUCUCUGGUAAGUCGCUCCAGCGUUCUUGAGGCCAAACAGCUUGGAGGUAUAGCAAAAAGCUCCAAACGGGGUAAUGAAUGCAGUUUUUUCCUCAUCUUCUUUUGCCAAGUUGAUCUGAUGGUAUCCAGAGUAGCAGUCCAGGAAGGACAACAACAUCCGGCGGUCGAAUCUACCACUUGAUCUAUUCUAGAAAGUCCGAAGGGAUCCUUCGGACAGUGUUUGUUGAGAUCUGUAUAGUCGACGCACAUGCGUCAAUCCACUUUAUUCUUUUUGAGUACAAGAAUAGGAUUUGCUAGCCCCUCAGGAUGUAGUACUUCUCUAAUGAACCCUGCUGCGACUAAGCGAGCUAGCUCGGCGCGAAUAGCCUCUCUCUUGUCAGGCGUGAAAUGACGCAAUUUUUGUUGAAUCGACUUUGCCUAGGGAUAGACCUUCAGUUUGUGCUCGGCCAGUUCUCUCGGGACUCUCGACAUAUCCGCAGGCUGCCAAGCGAAUACGUCUCGGUUAUCUUGCAGAAACUGGACGAGUGUGCCUUCCUAUUUGUCGUUCAGGCUAGAGCUGAUGAUGGUAGUUUUGCGUUCAUCAUCGAACCCAAGGUUGAUUCUCUUUGUCUCUUCAGUCGGUCGCAUAGAGGUCAUGGCUUGAGCUUCAUUCUCAGGUAUCAUGAGGUCCUCCUCAGGCUUUGACUUCGCCUGCACGGAGGAAGUCGUCGGUGGUUUGGUGGUGAGGGCCGCCUGAAUGGCCACUCAAAAACAUUCUGUGGCGCCUUGGAAGUCAGCGCGCGGUGAUGAUUCCUUGUGGUCCCGACAUCUUCAAUAUCAUGUACAAAUAGUGCGGAAUGGCCAUGAAUUUUGCCAACCCUGGCCUGCCGAUGAUGGUGUUUUAUCCGCAGUCGAAGCUUGCUACCUCAAACCUCAGGAACUCAGUUCUAUAGUUUUCUGGAGAUCCAAAGGUGACAGGCAUGUAGAUGUGUCCAAGCGGGUAUUCUCCUUCGGUCGGCACAAUGCCGAAGAAAGUAGUGUCUAACUCGUGGAGCUCUUUGAGUGUAACUCCCAAGCUUAAGAGUGUCCGGGGGAAGGUGACGUUGAUGCUGCUUCCCCCGUCCACCAACACCUUCUUUACCCUGCUCUCUCGGAUCACCGAAUUGACGAGGAGUGGGUACUGUCGGUGUUUUGGGUCCGACCGCACACCCGGGGUUGCCCCUCAAGGUGUUUUUAGGAGUAGGACGGUGUCGACAACUGUAGCAAAAUGGUUCGUGCCGAUUGCACGAGGGACAGUGGACAAGGUUUACAGGUUCGGGCCGCUUAGAGACGCGUAACACCCUACGUCCUGGUGAGUAUGCUUGGUGGACAAGGUUACAAGAGAGCUCUCUGAAUUGAGAAUGCGGAGAGUUGAUGUGGAUGGCUAAGUAAUAUGGUCGAUCGUUCUGAAGGGGUGCCCCCUAGGCCUUAUAUACUCGACCGUGGGGCAAUACAUGUGGAUAAGAUAACAGCGAGUAGCUAAAAGAUAGUGAAUGGCUUGAGUUUAUCUCCAUGUAGUUCUGCCGACUUAUCCUCGCAUGGCUCCGUUGCAUGGGGGCUCCGGCGCGGGAAAGUCGGAUCUCUGUUGCGGUCACUCGCUCGACGUUGUGGGUCGUCCGGGUUUGCACUAAUCCGGCCUCAUGUCGAUCUGCUUUGCUGGUUAUCUCUCCCCAGGCCCACGAAAGAAUGACCUUACGAUUUAUUGGGCCUUUGGGCCUUUCGUGAGGUCUUUUACUCUUUUAGUGGACCCGGGGGAUAUCUAUCCCCCACAAGCCCCCGAUCUUUGGGUUAAUUUAGAGGUAAUCAGCCCAAAGAUCCCAGGUCCAGCUUGCAGGUGUUUUGAAAAAAUGACUUCUUGUUGUCUUCUCCUGCUUUGAUCACUCGUAGACCGAAGCCUGGUUUCGUGCUUGUGCCUUAGAGGUCGGCGUUUCAAUUUGUAGGAUUCUGAACUUCAUUGGGUGCACCGGAGGUGCACCCAAUGGGUGUAGCCCCCGAGCUUCGAGUAGAUUUUAGAAAAUAAUCUACUCGAAGGUCUUCCAGAAAUUAUUUCCAUUCGUGCUCAUGCGUUUUGGUUGAGGGCUGGCCUUUUAAUCUUGUCCCACGCCUUAGAAUUCGGCACUAUCUUGGCUUGGAAUGAUAAUCCAUGGGGUGCACCGGAGGUGCACCCAAUGGGUGUAGCCCCCGACCUUCAAAUGGAUUUUUUUAGGAUAAUCCAUUUGAAGGUCUUCCUUUUGUGUCUCUUUGCUGAAAAUUAUCCUUUCUGUUUGUAGAAGUUGGCAUGAAGCUAUUCACAUUAUGCUUUGGAGGUCAGCAUUAUGUCACCAAUAUUUUGCUUCAGAGGUCAGCAUAUAUUUUGUCUUUAGCAGCCGAGUUCGCAAUCCAUCCAUAUCUUGCUAGGUAGUGCAAUUUAUUUGCUCUGCGACUGAUUGGACGUUUGAUGGACGUUCUCUGUCUAGUCUUCACAUCGCUUCUGUCGGCCAUAUUUUGUACUUCACUGGCUAUAUUUGGCUUUCCUCUGAUCCUUACUGAUAUCUCAUUUUUGUCUUGAGGUAUUCACUGCGUGCCCUGCACAGAUGUGACCGUUUUGAAAAUAUACUGAUAAUUCAUGGGCGUCCCCCCCCCCAAUGGGUGUGGGCAAGGGAUGGCUUGGUACGCUGAGUGUUUUAGCCGGCUGCUUCUGAGUAGUAAUGUGAUGUGACGGCGGGUGUAAUCAUAUCCUCCGCGCUGUUGACUGGAGUCCCAAUGGGUGUUGUGUUGCGUGAAACGGCGUCAGCCGCCUGACGUGUCUUUAGACGUGUUGAAGUGCUUAUUGAAUGCUUUGCGACUGUUCAGUGACCGCAGUUGGAGGUGAGCGGUUGCCUUCUCUUUCUAUAAAUAACGCCGUUGUCUCUCUGGCUUUUUCACAUCUCUUCGUUGUUCUCUGCUGCUUCCCUUUCUUCUCUCCCUUCUGCUUCCACCAUGGGCAAGAACAACAAGCGCAAGCGUGAGCCAACUCCUCCAUCGGAGGAGUUUGGUGACUCAGAGUACUCAGAGGAGGAGUUCUCCUAUGAGUCUGAGGGGUCUCCGGCUCCCGUCCCCCUGCGUGAGUCGUCUGACGACUCAGACGACUCCUAGGGGCUUGCGGCGGAGGUCUGGACGUACAUCCGGGCCGUCGAGCGCUCCGGGCUCGAAGGCUCGGAUGAGUCGGAGUACUCCUCAGAUGAGGAGGACUCGGACGGCGGCGGCGAGGACGAGGAUGACGACGACGACGACGACGGCGACGACGACGAUGGCGACGGUGACGGUGACGGCAGCGGCAGGGGCGGCGGUGACGGCAUCAAGGACGGUGACGGCAGCGGCAAGGGCAGCAACCGGGGCGGCAGCAGCAGGGGCAGCACCAGGGGCGGCAGCGGCGGCGGCAGCAACAGGGCCAGUGGCUAGAUGCCACUGGUCUUUUAGAUAUUAGUAUAGUAUAGUUAGAAUAAUGUAGUAAUAUUUAGUAGUGUAGAGUAGUAUAGUGUAGUGUAGUAGUAGUAGGGAAGUAUCAACUCAUAAAGAGUUGAUUUGUAAGUUUGUUAUCUUCCCUUCUAAUGAAAGAAUGAUGUUGGCUUCUCCUUAAUGACUGUCCUGCUUAUUUGUGAGGCUAAUUCCUUUGAGAGAGUAAGUGAAUAACUCGGGCAUCAAACUGAUGCUUUUAGGAAUUGCCGCCGAGUAACUUUGUAGAUGGUGUUGGUGCUUUAGAGUAAUUGCCGAGUGACUGAACUCAAUAUCGGAGUUUUAGAGAUACCUGCCGAGCGACUGAAUACGGUAUCAGCGUUUUAGAGGUAACGCCGAGUGACUGGAGGGCGACGUCAGCGUUUUAGAGGUAACACCGAGCGACUGAACACGAUAUCAGCGUUUUAGAGGCAACGCCGAGUGACUGUACGGCGACGUCGGCGUUUUAGAGGUAACGCCGAGCAACUGAACACUAUAUCAGCGUUUUAGAGGCAACACCGAGUGAUUGAAAAACGAUAUCAGCAUUUUAGAGGUAAUGCCGAGCGACUGAACACGGAAUCGACGUUUUGGAGGCAACGCCGAGUGAUAGCAGGCCGCGCGAGCCACUUUGAGGAUGAUGGCCGAGUGAUGAGGUGGUGUACCAGUGUUCUGGAGAUAACUGCCGGGUGACCACGUGGCACGCUGGGUGCUGACUGGGCACUUUUCGAAACGGUAUCUGGCUCGAGAAUAUCCCAUAAGUGUUGCGCUUUUAGCCGCCUUUGCUUUCCGUGCCCUAGUUCUUGCUUUCCCGCUUCCGAAUCCUCUCUGCCAUCCGCUUCCCACUCUGCUCGCUGGUAGAAUCGAGAUGGCGCCCAAGAGGAAGACCUCGAGCUCGUCUGCUGUGGUGAUUCCUCCAAUCGAUCCCAACAGCCAGUUGCCUUUCGCAGGUAACCACAUGUCUGUCAUUUCUGAAACUGAACUUCUCCACCUCGUAUCUAUCGGGGUUCUUCCUCCGCGAGAACUCUGUUCUUGGCGGAUUUGUCAUGGGUUUACUGUUCCGACAGAGGAUACCCAUGAGUCCGUUGUUUACGCCCCUUUCCUUCUCCGCGGCCUUGGCCUUCCCAUUUCUCCCUUUUUCUGCGGCCUUCUUGACUUCUAUCAUAUUAACUUGACCCAUUUGAACCCCAAUUCGAUUCUGCAAGUCUCCAUUUUCGUUCAUUUAUGCGAGGCCUUUCUUGGCGUGCUGCCGCAUUUCGGUCUGUGGAAAUACUUGUAUCAUUGUCGCCCUGGGAUGGCCGGGGGACAACAUCAGUUGGUUGGGGGUGCCAGCUUGGAGAUGCGCCGCGGGAGGAAAACUGAAUAUCUUGAGAUCCCUCUCAAGGACAGUAUUAAGGGAUGGCGCCUGGAGUGGUUUAUAGUUGAGAAUUAUGGGAAUUCUCUCCCCUCCCGGUCGGGAAGACAGCCGGACGUUCGCACCCCAAGCUGGACCGAGUCUCCCACAGGUCAGGAGGCAGGUGUGUUGCUAGCUGAAGUUGGACUGCUGAAAGAGAGGGGUCUGACUGCUGAAGCUGUGGUUACUGAUUUUGUUUUCAAGAAUAUUCAGCCAUUGAAAGACAGGGCCUAUCCAGCUUAUCUGUAUCGAGGGCUAGCCGACUCAACUCGGGUUACUAACAGAAGAAUUCCCUCUGCAGACUUGGUGAGCCGACUAGAGAUGAUCCUUAGGGGCAAAGUGUCAAAUGUUGGUGCUCCAGUGGCAUACUCGGCCUGGAACCUGCCUCCUCCCAAAGCCUUCACCCUUUUUGUGUCGAAUCCACCUAUUACUGAUGGCAGUUUGGGCCUUAGAGUGCGACCCUCUGCUGAAGAAGUUAAUGCUUUGGUUGCCUUGCUUGGGGAGAUUCCUGAUGACGAACGGCAGGUCCAUUUUGAGGUGCCCCUGAACCCUAGUGAUGCAGAGAUAAGCGCUAUGCUUGAUUUGCUAGCUGAGGAUUCAUCCGACGCUGCUCCUGCCGGGGCGUUGGUAGUGGCGCCCCGCCCAGAGGCUGAUACGACUUUGGAUGUUCAGAAGCCUGUCAGUACUCGCCCGAGGCGCACUUGCCGAGCCAAUCAGCCUGGUCCUUCUGCUGAUGAGCAGAAGAAGAAAAGAAGACGGCUCCGGCGAGUAUCCAGUUUGGAUCAGGACGCUGGUACCUCAGUUCCUGCUACUGAAGAAGUGCCUACGACUGGAUUUGCGGAUGCUGACCCCAAUGGGUGUACCCAAUCUGCUGCUGAUCCCAACGUGGGUGCUCCAUCUGUUGCUGAUCCCAAUGGGGGUGCUGCUUGUGUUGCCAAUGUGGAUGACGAGGAGGAAGAAAAGGAAAUUCCUUUGACUCGGAAAAACAGUCGACAGUUCAUCGCCAGUGGUGAAAGUAGUGGGGUUCCCUCUCCUGCUUUGUCUGCCCUCAUUGGUCUGCAAGAACUGUCCCUGGCCAACUUUGAUCAGACUCUUGAGGAUAUGGUCCCAGAGGACUUGUUAUCGGAGCCAGUGGAUGAUGGUGCAAUGGAGGCUUGUGCUGACGUGCCUGAUGCUGGGUUGAGGUCAUCCCGUGCCUCGUCGACCUUAGAGCGCGAUCUCGAGGGUCGGGAGACUGACUUGGAUCGUCCUGGUCCUAUGGAAGUAGCUGAGGGCCCGUCAACCUUAGAGGUUGCCACUGCAGAGAACUUGGAUCCGAAGGAUGGCGCUGACACAUGCCCAGCCCCCGAGGAUGUCGACGGGGAUGACUUGGCUCGGGUGGGGAGUGUAAGCCACUGCCCAGCCCCCGAGGGUGCUGCCGGGGAUGAUCCGGCUCAAGUGGGCAGUGCAAACUAUGACCCAGCCCCCGAGGGUGCCCGAGCGGGGUCUCCCUCCUGUACUUCCAUGGACGUUCAUGUGGGAUCUCCUCCACACUCUGGCUGUAUGGUGGUAGCCCAAACCUUGGACCAGGGAGUCACUUUAGAGGACAGCGUCCCCGCUGACCGAGUGUUUGGCUCUGUUGAAGGCACCGAGCUGAUUCCUGCUGGUUCGUUGCAAGCUGCUUCAGGUGGUGGCCUUACGCCUGAUUAUCAACUGAUCUCUCCUGAUUUGGGGAUUCCUUCGUUCUUUUCCAACCUCCAGGUACCGUGAUGUAUUUUAGCUUGAUUUUUACAUUGCAUGAACUGCUGUCAUUACACUCAUAUGUUCUCCUCAUCAGGCUUUGGUGGAUGGGAUGGCUAGCCAGCUGAGAUUACAGGGUGCUUCCGUCCCAGAAGUGGCUUCGUCUCUUGCAUGUUGGAAUCCAGUCUCACUUCAACAUCGCCUCUCUGAAUUGGAGGCGACCAACGCUGGUUAGUGCUUUUUUGCUUCUCUUUGCCUUCACUGUGGACUGCUUUACAUUCUGACCUCUUUUUGUUUGAUUAUCUCCUGCUAGGAAUGACUCGGCGGAUUUCAACUCUUGAGGAAAAACAUUCCCGGGAUCAGGCUGAAUUGGUCCAGCGGUGCACUGACUUUGAGGAGAAGUACUCUCAGAGCCAGACUGAACUGGGUCAGGUCUCCGCUGCCUUGGAUGACGCCAAUGCACUGAGUUCUUCUCUUCAUGCUCAGCUCAAUUCUGAAAAGGUGAUCUACAAAACUGUGCUUUGCCUUGCUGUGUUCCUAUUACUUGCUUGGUCUUUGAGGGAGUUGACUUUUGCUCGCAGGAAGAAAAACGUAUCCUUGCUGCUUCUCGUGACAAUCUUGACAGAUUGUAUCGUGAUUCUAGCAACUCGCUGACCAUCUUAGAGAGGAGUCACCGCUUUACAAUGGAGGAAUUGGACAAUUAACGUUGUAGGCUGCAGGAAUCCGCGGACGAAGUGACCCGCCUCAAGCAGUUGAUAUCAGCAAAGGAUGCCACCAUCAAAGAACUCCGAGCUUCCAAGAAAUCCAUUGUCCAGGAGUUAGAAACUGCUCGACUGGCUGCUAAGGUUGCCGAAGAGACUUCUGUUACUCUCAGAGCCCAGCGCGACAGAGCCAUGGACAAGGCUAUUCGGGCGGGACGAAUCUUGAUGAGGAGGCCUAGCGUGGUUGUUCCUGAAGACAUAAAGGCCGAUGUGAAUGCUGCCCCUGAUUCCUCGAGUCGCCCUUCUUCGUCGGUCGCUCCUGAGAAAGACAUUGCGAAAUAGAGAAACAUUUUGCGUGCUUUGAGCGCGCGGUUAGCAUGAUUGAAUAUUUGUUAAAGGACAUCAGUUCAGCAUUCGAAUGAUAUAAUUACUCUCUUAUUGUUUCAGAAUUCAUCAGUUCGUAAAUUUGCAGUAGUGAAAUGACGCGCAACGGUUAUGAAAUUUGUUUGCAGGAUAUAGAAGUCAUCCUUGUAUGAGUAAUUAUAACUAUGUCAGAUCGCCUCAAAUCGCUGCUGACUUAAGUCGAUUGUUUUUGUUAUUAGGGCGUAGUGGUCACCCUGAAUUGCAUAGGCAUGAGCAUGUUGCACCGCCUUAAGUCGUCACUAACUUUAGCCGAUUGCUUCAUUAGUAGGGCAUAGUGGUCACCCCGAGUUAAGUAAGCGUGAGCAUGUUGCACCGCCUUAAGUCGUUGCCGACUUAAGUCGAUUGCUCCGUUAGUAGGGCAUAGUGGUCACCCCGAGUUAAGUAAGCGUGAGCAUGUUGCACCGCCUUAAGUCGUUGCCGACUUAAGUCGAUUGCUCCGUUAGUAGGGCAUAGUGGUCACCCCGAGUUAAGUAAGCGUGAGCAUGUUGCACCGCCUUAAGUCGUUGCCGAUUCAAGUCGAUUGCUCCGUUAGUAGGGCAUAGUGGUCACCCCGAGUUAAGUAAGCGUGAGCAUGUUGCACCGCCUUAAGUCGUUGCCGACUUAAGUCGAUUGCUCCGUUAGUAGGGCAUAGUGGUCACCCUGAGUUAAGUAAGCGUGAGCAUGUUGCACCGCCUUAAGUCGUUGCCGACUUAAGUCGAUUGCUCCAUUAGUAGGGCAUAGUGGUCACCCCGAGUUAAGUAAGCGUGAGCAUGUUGCACCGCCUUAAGUCGUUGCCGACUUAAGUCGAUUGCUCCGUUAGUAGGGCAUAGUGGUCACCCCGAGUUAAGUAAGAAUGCAAGUCAGUCGUAAACAAACUGAGUAUCUUUGAAACCUCUUUUUUAUUGAUGACAUAUUUCCACUUUACAGAGUACGUCGUCGUCCUGGCAGUUUUUGAAAUACAGCUAGGGAUAAAACUUUCUGAGGUGUUCUAUGUUCCAGGAGUUUCCGACUUCUGUGCCAUCCAUCUGAGUGAGACGAUACGAUCCGGGUCGAGUGACUUCUGCUACCAUGAAGGGUCCUUCCCAUAAGGGUGAUAACUUGUGCCGUCCCUCCCCCGUUAGAAUUUGGCGGAGGACGAGGUCUCCUAUUGAGAAGGAUCGUUGUCGUACAGCCUUGUCGUGAUAGCGCCUUAGAGUCUGCUGGUACCGUGCUGAUUGGAUUACCGCAUUUAGCCGUUCUUCUUCAAGUACAUCAAUGUCCUCCAGCCUGGUGGCCUCGGCUUCUGCUAUGUUUUCGAAGAUCAACCUUGGCGCCCCAAACUUGAGAUCGGCGGGCAGCACUGCUUCCGACCCAUAGACCAUGAAGAAAGGAGUGUUUCCAUGCAGGGCUCGGCUAGGUUGGGUUCUUAAGCUCCAAACGACAUAGGGCAAUUCCCUUAUCCACUUUCCUGCGAACUUUUCAUUCUUGUCGAAGACCUUUUUCCUGAGUGCCUCCAGUAUCAUCCCGUUGGCUCGCUCAACCUGCCCGUUGGCUCUUGGAUGUGCUACAGAUGCAUACUUGAUCUGAAUGCUCUUUUGCUCGCAGAAGUCGAAGAAUUCUGAACUUGUGAAGUUGGAUCCUAAGUCAGUUAUUAUGCUGUUUGGUAUCCCGAAUCUGAAUAUUAUGUCUUGUAUGAAUUCCACGGCCUUAGCAGAGGUUAAAGAAGCAAUGGGCUUGAACUCUAUCCAUUUAGUGAAUUUGUCGAUUGCUACCAAUACAUGAGUGUAUCCCCCUUGAGCUUUCUUGAAAGGUCCAAUCAUAUCCAGUCCCCAGCAUGCGAAAGGCCAAGUUACUGGUAUGGUCUGCAGUUGCUGUGCUGGCAGGUGUUGUUGCUUUGACAAGUAUUGGCAAGCUUCGCACCUCUGAACUAACUCGGCUGCAUCAUUCUUUGCUGUUGGCCAAUAGAAUCCUGACCUGAAGACCUUCCCGACUAGUGUUCUGGAGGCUGCAUGUAUUCCACAUUGCCCAGCAUGGACCUCUUCCAGAAGUUGCUUCCCAGUGGACGGGAGGAUGCACUUCAUGAGGACGCCUGAUGUACCCCUUCUAUACAAUGUCUCCCCAAUGAGUGUGUAGUGAGCCGACUGUCUGGCAAUGCGCUCGGCCGAGUUCUUGUCAUCUGAUUCUUCUUCAUUCUUUAUAUACUUGAUGAUUGGCCUUCUCCAGUCAUCAGAGUCUGACUCGGGUUGAUCUAUAAUGUUGCACUCUUUUGCUUGAUCCAUUGAGAUACUCGGUUGUAGUAUUUCUUGCACAAAGACUCCGGGUGGGACCUGAGUUCGACUGGAUCCUAGUUUGGACAGUAUAUCGGCUGUCGUGUUCCGAUCUCUUUCUACGUGAUGAAAUUCCAGACCCUCGAAUUUAUCUUCCAGCUUUCGGACUGCAGCACAGUAUUUUCCCAUUGAAUCGCUUGAACAAUCCCACUCUUUGUUUAUCUGGCUGAUGACUACCAGAGAGUCUCCGUAUACCAUCAAUCUCUUGAUGCCCAAUGAGAUGGCGAUGUUCAAUCCAUGGAUCAGAGCUUCGUACUCGGCUGCAUUGUUGGAGGCCGGAAACAACAACUGGAGGGCAUAUUUGAGAUGCUCGCCUCCAGGUGCGGUGAAGAGAAUCCCUGCUCCUGCUCCCUGCAGCUUCAGCGAGCCAUCAAAAUACAUUCGCCAUACUUCGACAGUCUCUGGGUUAUCUGGUACUUGCUGCUCACUCCACUCUGAUACGAAAUCAACCAGUGCUUGAGUUUUGAUGGCAGUGCGAGGUCGGAACUCGAUGUCAUGAGAUCCCAACUCACAAGCCCAUUUGGCUAUCCGGCCAAUGGCUUCCUUGUUGUGAAGAAUAUCCCCUAUUGGAAAACCAGUGACUACUAUGACUUUGUGGUCAUCAAAGUAGUGACGUAGCUUGCGGGCAGUUAGAAGUACUGCGUAUAAUAGCUUCUGAACUUGAGGAUACUUUUUCUUUGAGGGGCCUAGAACUUCACUGAUGAAGUAAACAGGAUGUUGCACUGGAUAGGCGUGUCCUUCUUCUACUCGCUCGACUACCAACGCGGUGCUUACCACGUGAGUCGUGCAAGAGAUAUAUAGUAGCAGAUCUUCAGCUGGUUGAGUUGACGUAGCUCGUCGGGGUGGCUUCAGUACUGGUGGUGUUGUUAAGAAUUUCUUCAGCGCAUCUAGAGCUUCCUGUGCUUCUGAAGUCCACUGAAACUUAUCCACCUUCUUGAGUAGCUUGUAAAAUGGUAAACCUUUUUCCCCCAGCCUGGAUAUAAAUCUGCUCAGAGCUGCCAUACAUCCAGUAAGUCGCUGAACCUUCUUUUGUGAUCGAGGUGCUUCCAUUUUCAUGAUAGCUUCAAUCUUAUCCGGAUUAGCCUCAAUUCCUCAGUGGCUGACGAUAAACCCGAGCAACUUUCCUGCUGGUACCCCGAAAACACAUUUUUCGGGAUUAAGCUUCCAUCUAUAUCGUCUCAGACUGUUGAAAACCAGCUGUAAGUCUUCGAUGAAGUUUUCCGAAUUCUCCGUUUUGAUUACCACAUCAUCUACGUAGGCCUCCACACGCUUGCCCCAGUGAUCGGCUAAGCAUGUUUGGAUGGCUCUCUGAUAAGUCGCUCCAGCGUUUUUGAGGCCGAAUGGCAUGGAGGUAUAACAGAAAGCACCAAACGGAGUGAUGAACGCCGUUUUUUCCUUGUCUUCCAUCGCCAAACUAAUCUGGUGGUAUCCGGAAUAGCAAUCCAAGAAAGACAGCACAGAGCAUCCAGCGGUGGAGUCCACCACCUGAUCUAUCCUCGGGAGCCCGAAGGGAUCCUUCGGACAGUGUUUGUUGAGAUCGGUAUAGUCGACGCACAUGCGCCAAUCCACUUUAUUCUUUUUGAGUACAAGAACAGGGUUGGCUAACCACUCGGGGUGUAACACUUCUCUAAUAAAUCCAGCCGCAACCAAGCGAGCUAACUCGGCGCGAAUGGCCUCUCUCUUGUCGGGCGUGAAACGACGUAGCUUUUGCUGAAUCGGCCUUGCCUGGGGAUAGACCUUCAGUUUGUGCUCGGCCAGUUCUCUUGGGACUCCCGGCAUAUCCGCAGGUUGCCAUGCGAAUACAUCUCGGUUAUCUUGCAGAAACUGGACGAGCGCGCUUUCCUAUUUGUCGUCCAAGCUGGAGCUGAUGAUGGCAGUCUUGCGUUCAUCAGCGAACCCCAGGUUGAUUCUCUUGGUUUCUUCAGUCGGCCGCAUAGAGGUCGCGGCCUGAGCUUCGUUUGCCGGUGCUGCAAGGUCCUCUUCAGGCUUAGAGUUCGCCAGUGUCGAAGAAACCACUGACGGCUUGGUGGUGAGGGCUGCUUGGAUGGCCACUCAGAAACACUCUGCGGCGCCUUGGAAGUCGGUGCGCACAGUUAUGAUUCCUUGCGGUCCUGGCAUCUUCAGUAUCAUGUACGUGUAAUGGGGGAUGGCCAUGAAUUUGGCCAGCCCCGGCCUCCCGAUGAUGGCAUUGUACCCGCAGUCGAAGUUCGCCACUUCGAACCUCAGGAACUCGGUUCUGUAGUUCUCCGGAGUUCCGAAGGUAACUGGCACGUAGAUGUGGCCCAGCGGGUAUUCCCCUUCCGUCGGCACGAUGCCGAAGAAAGGAGUGUCCGACUCGUGGAGCUCUUUGAGGUGAACUCCCAAGCCUUGGAGUGUCCGGGGGAAGGUGACGUUGAUGCUGCUCCCCCCGUCCACUAGCACCUUCUUUACCCGGCUCUCUCGGAUCACCGGAUCGACGAGGAGCGGGUAUUUGCCUGGAUGGUCGAAGUUGAGCCAUUGAUCCUCCCGAGUGAAAGUGAUCGGGUGCUCCGACCACCGGUAUGGGGCGGGAGGACCAGUGGUCGCCACCAGUAUCUGGCGGUCGUUGAGCUUUUGUUGUCUUUUGUUCUCCUGCGACCCAUGUCCGCCGAAGAUGACGUUGACCUCCCUGUCAACGCGCGGGAAGGCUCCUCCUCCUCCCUCCUCCUGCUGAUGGGGUUGUCGUGGUUCAUCUGGCCCUCCCCUCGGUGGAGGAGGAGGUAGAGGUUGGAAGGGUCGACCGUGCCCGACGGAGUGCUUGAAGUCUCGACAGUUACGAAGAGUGUGGCGCAUGUCCUUGUGGUACGGGCACUGGGCGUCGAGGAUGUCGUCCAGCGAGCGCUCGCCUCCGCGGGGUCCUCCUCGGGCGCGAGAGGCAGGUGGUCCGGCGGCGUGUACUUCUUCGCGAGGCCUCUUUUCCCAGCGUUUGUCGGGUUGCUGGUUCGCGUCGCGUCGUGGUGCUGCCGGUGCAGGCUUCGCUCCCCCGAUGAGGUCCUGGGCUCGCUCAUCGGUGGUGAUGUAGAGGUCGGCUUCCCGGAACAGCUCCUCGGAAGUAGUCAGCGCCUUCUGUAGUAUGGCUCGGACGAAAGCUGAGUCAUUGGAUCCUCUGUAGAAGUCCUCGAUCAUGGCCGCCUCCGUGACCUCGGGGAUACGAUUUCUCAUGGUCUGGAACCUUUUGAGGUACGACUGAAGAGUUUCGUCUCCCCGACGCUUGAUGGAUUUGAGGUCCCAUGGUUGCGCCGGUUUGUCGGAGAGGGACUGGAAAUUGGCGGUGAAGCGUCGACUGAAGUCACCCCAGUCGUCGAUGCAGUGUCGGGGUAGAUGUCGCAGCCAUUGCAGUGCGUCUUGCCCAAGGACAAUGGGUAAGUACGCGGUCAUCACGUCUUCAGACGCCCCGGCAGCUCGAGCAGUGGUGGUGUAGACGGCUAGCCAACCCCUGGAUCCUGCUUAGGUUCAUAUUUGUCGACAUUGGAUACCUUGAAGUUGGGAGGCCAUUGGAUGGCCCUAAGGCGCGGAGUAAGAGCAGACACUCCGCACGUGUCCUCCUGUUGUCGGGGAUGAUGUCUGUCCCGGGGAGGGGAGUAGUGGUGGUGGUUCCUCGACCGCCCCCGGGUGGUACCGCCAGUUGAGGCCGUUGCCGACUCAGUUCUGGUGGCCUGGCUCUGAGCUGGGAUGCCAUGAUCCCUGUCGUACUCUUCCCGGCGGCGGAUCUCGUUCUCAUGCCGCCGUUCGCGCGAAGCAUUGAUGGAGCUUCGCGCGUCUCGGCGACUGUUGAUGGCGUGUCGUAGAUCGUUCGGUGGGUGAGCAAGCGGUAGAAGAUGGUUGGCCGCCUGGGUGAACAGUCGUCGGUAGCCCUCAGCGUCGGGAGUCCGAGGGAGUCCAUCAGCUAUCCGAGCUAGUACCCCUCCGACUUCGCUCGGCGUGUUCAUAGCUCGGGCGAAGUCGGGAUUCAGGUUGCGCCCGAAGAAUGGAUUCUCCCGGCGUUGCCUUGCAUCUUGCUCGGCUUGUUCCUGAGCCCGGCGGCGAUCACGUCGUCGGGAGUUCCUUCGUUCUCUGAAGACGCGUUCUUCCGGAGUUUCUCCUAUCUCCGAGACCUCGUUUCGCGAGACAGGCUGCUCUGGAUCCCGUUCUCUGGCCGCAUGAUGUCGUCGAAUGUUCCUGCGCCGGUUCCUCCGUCGGCGGGAUUCUCGCUGAGGUGGUUCUUCUCCGGGUGCAGUCGGCUCGUCGUCGGAGACGGUAGGCGACUCCACUCUCCCGAUGAAGAGGACGUCAGGGUAGAAUGGUGUUGCUGUCGUGGCGACCUUCUUUCCGUUCUCCUUUGAGGGCGGAGGAACGGAAAGAACAACUUGCUUCUCCUUGGUCUCCUUCUUCCUUGCGAUCUGUGUCCAUUCUUUUGUCGGAGAAGUAGACAGUGGAGUUCUCCGGGUCAGCGAGCCCUCGGCCCCCGACUUUUCGGAGAUGAUCUUUUUCCGGAGAGCUGGAGGUUGCGCUUCUCCGGCAUUUUCGGAGUUCGUUGGAGGAGACUUCUUUUCCGGCGGAUCCGCAAUGCGGUGUAGAGUUCCCUCUUCAUCCGCUACGGAUGAGAUUGUUCCGAAGCAGAAUACGGAUCCGGGACGCAGGGUGAUCUUGCUGUAGAAGGUGACGGCCAUUGAGCUAGCUUGGAUCAUCGACACACCCCCUACCUGGCGCGCCAGCUGUCGGUGUUUUGGGUCCGACCGCACACCCGGGGUUGCCCCUCAAGAUGUUUUUAGGAGUAGGACGGUGUCGACAACUGUAGCAAAAUGGUUCGUGCCGAUUGCACGAAGGACAGUGGACAAGGUUUACAGGUUCGGGCCGCUUAGAGACGCGUAACACCCUACGUCCUGGUGAGUAUGCUUGGUGGACAAGGUUACAAGAGAGCUCUCUGAAUUGAGAAUGCAGAGAGUUGAUGUGGAUGGCUAAGUAAUAGGGUCGAUCGUUCUGAAGGGGUGCCCCCUAGGCCUUAUAUACUCGACCGUGGGGCAAUAAAUGUGGAUAAGAUAACAACGAGUAGCUAAAAGAUAGUGAACGGCUUGAGUUUAUCUCCAUGUAGUUCUGCCGACUUAUCCUCGCAUGGCUCCGUUGCAUGGGGGCUCCGGCGCGGGAAAGUCGGAUCUCUGUUGCGGUCACUCGCUCGACGUUGUGGGUCGUCCGGGUUUGCACUAAUCCGGCCUCAUGUCGAUCUGCUUUGCUGGUUAUCUCUCCCCAGGCCCACGAAAGAAUGACCUUACGAUUUAUUGGGCCUUUAGGCCUUUCGUGAGGUCUUUUACUCUUUUAGUGGACCCGGGGGAUAUCUGUCCACCACUGGUACUUGCCCGGAUGAUCGAAGUUGAGCCAUUGAUCCGCCCAAGUAAAGGUGAUCAGGUGUUCUGACCACCGAUAGGGGGUGGGGGCACUGGUGGUCGCCACUAGUAUCUGUCGAUCGUUGAGCUUCUGUUGCCUUUUGUUCUCUUGUGACCCGUGUCCGCUGAAGAUGACGUUGACUUCUCCAUCAAUGCGCGGGAAUGCUCUGCCUCCUCCUUCCUGCUUCUGAGGUUGUCGAGGUUCUCCGAGUCCUCCUCGUGCUGGGGGAGGUGGCAGAGGUUGGAAGGGUCAGCCAUUCUCGACAGAGUGCUUGAAGUCUCUGCAGUUCCGAAGGUUGUGACACAUAUCUUUGUGGUACGGGCACUGGGCGUCGAGGACAUCGUCCAAUGUUUGUUCGCCUCCACGGGGUGCCCCUCGGGCACAAGAGACGGGUCGUCCAGCGGCAUGGACUUCUUCACGAGGCCUCUUCUGAUAUAGCUGAGGUGCCCGAUCUUUUGGUGAGUGGAGAUAAUUCCGAUUUGGCGGAAGAUGGCCCUUGCGAUCCGACUAUGACGAGCAAGCCCGAGGCGCCAAAGCAAUCGCUGAACCAACUCCUUGUGGUUACCGACCUUGCUGAUGCGAGAUCAGCUUGAUCACGAAGAUCGUUUCCUGUGCACAAUCGAAGAACGAACAAGAAAAAGAUGUGAGCAAUCUAAUUUAUUACUCGAGGGUGGAGUUCUGAAUACACGAAGACAGCGCUGAUUUGCGCGUGUUCGAGAGUAGCUAAAGCUAACAUAAAACAAAACUCAAAGAACAAAGGAGGUGCAGCUCCUGGAUAAAUAGAGAGAGGGGGUGCAGCCCCUAGUGGCGGCCAAAGGUGAAAAACACAACCCUAGGUCGCCCACUAUGGGCCGCAGUUGGGUUGGUCGUCUAUUCUUCUGGGUCCUCAUUCUUCAGUAGCAUGACGAAGUUAAGAUCUCUGGCACGGGCCCGAGUGAUUGGCCCAGCUAAUGAAGGAAGUGGCGCUUGAUGUGGAGGUGCUGCUGGUGUAGUCGUACUCAUGUUGCAAGUGAUGUCCUCAUCAUCCUCCCCUUCUUGAAGUGAAGUCGUCCUCGACGGCAACUCCUCAUCCUCGGCCAUAUAAGGUUUCAAAUCUGCAACAUUAAAACUAGUGGAAACACCAAAUUACGCAGGCAGGUCAAGGAUAUAAGCAUUAUCAUUAAUCUUUGUUAGCACCUUAAAAGGACCAGCAGCACGAGGCAUUAAUUUAGAACGAAGCAAAGUAGGAAACCGAUCCUUUCUCAAGUGCAACCAAACCAUAUCACCUGGCUCAAAAGUAACAAGUUUUCUUCCUUUACUACCAGCAACCUGAUUUUUUGCAUUAGUAGCAGCAAUGUUCUGUUUUGUUUGUUCAUGUAUGGUAAUCAUUUGUUCAAUAUGUGCAGCAUCAUCUACAUGUGGGGCGUUCGCAGCAUUAAGUGAAAUCAAAUCAAUAGGUGCCCUAGGGAUGUAACCAUAAACAAUCUGGAAAGGGCACAUCUUUGUAGAAGAAUGUGUGGCAUGAUUGUAAGCAAAUUCAACAUGAGGCAAGCAAUCCUCCCAACGUCUCAAAUUCGUGUCUAAAACAGCCCUAAGCAUGGUAGAUAAAGUUCUAUUUACUACCUCAGUUUGUCCAUCAGUCUGAGGGUGACAAGUAGUGCUAAACAGCAAUUUAGUUCCCAAUUUAUUCCAAAGAGAUCUCCAAAAAUGGCUUAGAAACUUAGCAUCGCGAUCAGAGACUAUUGUUUUUGGAAUACCAUGUAAACGAAUAAUUUCUCUAAAGAACAAUUCAGCAACAAUGCUAGCAUCAUCAGUUUUAUGACAAGGUAUAAAGUGAGCCAUUUUAGAGAAUCUAUCAACAACCACAAAAAUACUAUCCCUCCCCUUUUUAGUUCUAGGCAAGCCCAAAACAAAGUCCAUAGAAAUAUCAAGCCAAGGAGAAGAAGGGACAGGCAAAGGCAUAUACAAACCAUGGUUGCCCAAAGGUGACUUAGCUUUCUGGCAAGUAGUGCAACGUGCAACAAGACGCUCAACAUCACGGCGCAUCCGAGGCCAAAAGAAUGUCUUGUAAACGCCAAAGUGUCCCAUGAGACCGCCUCCAUGAGCUUCCUGCAGCAACAAAAGACGAACCGAGCUUGCUAGAAUACACAGCUUGUUAGCACGGAACAAAAGUCCAUCUUGUAUGUGAAAUUUUCCCUAGGGUUUGCCAUCCUUACAAUGUAUAUAGAAAUCUUUAAAAUCAGCAUCAUCCACAUAUUGAUCUUUCACAGUUUGCAAGCCAAAGAUUCUAAAUUCUAACUGUGAAAGCAUGGUAUAUCUACGGGACAACGCAUCAGCAAUGAUGUUUUUCUUCCCGUUCUUGUGUUUAAUGAUGUAAGGAAAGGACUCGAUGAAUUCUACCCAACUAGCAUGACGAUGGUUCAAAUUUGUUUGGGUACGAAUAUGUUUUAAAGCCUCAUGAUCAGAAUGAAUUAUAAACUCACGAGGCCAAAGGUAGUGUUGCCAUGUUUGCAAAGUGCGAACUAAAGCAUAAAGUUCCUUAUCAUAAGUAGAAUAUCUCAAGCUAGCACCGCUUAAUUUUUCACUGAAAUAAGCAACCAAUUUUCCUUCUUGUAACAAAACAGCACCUAACCCAAUACAACUAGCAUCACAUUCAAGUUCAAACACUUUCUGAAAGUCGGGCAAUUGUAAGAGUGGAGCAUGGGUUAACUUAUCUUUCAAAGUAUUGAACGCCUCUUCUUGUGGGGGAUCCCAAGCAAAAGACACACCUUUCUUUGGGAGUUCGUGCAAAGGGGCAACGAUGGAGCUAAAAUCAUGCACAAAACGGCGGUAAAAUCCUGCAAGUCCAAGAAAACUCCGAAUUUGGGUGACCGUCGUUGGUGUAGGCAAGUCCUGAAUGGCUUCAACCUUGCUGCUAUCCACCUCAAUGCCCUGCGGAGUAACCACAUAACCAAGAAACGAGACACGUUGCGUGCAAAAUGUGCACUUUUCCAUGUUACCAAACAAGUGAGCAGCACGCAAAGCAUCAAAAACAGCACACAAAUGUUCUAAAUGCUCCUCUAUAGACUUGCUGUAAAUAAGGAUAUCAUCGAAAUAAACAACAACAAACAAACCUAUGAAGGCCCGUAGAACUUCGUUCAUUAAACGCAUAAUGGCAUAACCAACCAUUCAUAUAAACCAAAUUUCGUUUUAAAAGCCGUUUUCCAUUCAUCACUGAGUUUCAUUCUAAUCUGAUGGUAACCGCUACGCAAAUCAACCUUUGAGAAAAUAACGGCACCACUAAGCUCAUCUAACAUAUCAUCAAGGCGUGGAAUAGGAUAUCGAUAACGAACUAUGAUGUUAUUAAUAGCACGACAAUCUACGCACAUACGCCAUGACCCAUCUUUCUUUGGAACGAGUAAAACAGGAAACAAGCAAGGGCUAAGAGACUCACGAAUGUAACCUUUAUCAAGCAGUGUCUGCACCUGGCGCUGGAUCUCCUUCGUCUCAUCUGGAUUUGUACGGUACGGGGCGCGGUUCGGAAGAGAAGCGUCGGGGAUGAGAUUGAUCUGAUGCUCAAUGCCACAGAGCGGAGGAAGACCCGGUGGUAAGUCCAUAGGAAAAACAUUAGCACCAACAGCAGGGGGUAUAUCCAAAGACGGUGCAUCAUCAAGCGGAACAAACAUGCGCGAGCAUACAAGUGCAUAAUAGGGCAUAUAAGCUUCAUGGAGAUCAUCAAAAUCAGCACGUGUAGCAAGUAAAUCAGGAGAGUGCAACUUGAUUUUAGAUUUAAUAGGUGCGGGUGAUGUCGAUUUGACUUGUUGUGCAGUUUUAGCAGCCCUAGUAAGAUCAUCUUUCAAAAUUUGGUCAGGGGUCAUUGGAUGUAUAAUUAUUUUCUGGCCUUUAAAAAUGAAAGAAUAAUGAUUUGAACGACCAUGAUAUAAACUAUCAGUAUCAUAUUGCCAGGGUCGACCCAAUAACAAAGAGCAUGCUUCCAUAGGAAUAACAUCGCAAUCAGCAUAAUCAGAAUAAGAACCCAGUGAAAAGGGGACACAUACCGACCGUGUUACCUUUAUUUUACCACCAUCAUUAAGCCAUUGAAUGUGAUACGAAUGUGGGUGUGCAUGAGUGGGCAAGGAUAAUUUCUCUACCAAAGCUGUACUUGCCAAAUUGUUGCAGCUGCCACUAUCGAUGAUGAUGUGAAUCGACCGUUCGUGCACAACGCCCUUGGUAUGGAAUAGAGUGUGUCGCUGAUUAUUUUCGGCCUGGGCAACCUGUGUGCUGAGAACACGCUGCACAACAAGACUCUCAUACCUAUCGGCGUCGAUGGGAUCAACGUGGACUUCCUCAUUUUCUGCAUGGUUAGUGGCAAUCAUAGCAUGACUAGUUUCCUCAGAAUCACUGGCUGAAGAGUACUCACCAUUGGAAACAGUGGUGAACUGCAAUCAACAGGUGGAACCGGUGAAAGAUUGGAUGAGCGAUUGCCUGGAGAAACAGAAACCUACUCGUCGUAGAAAUAUGUGGAGUUCUGCGUAGGCUGCACUCAAGUCAAAGAUUAGCAUGAUCAAACAAUAAUGCAAAGUUGAAUUAUAGUGCAAAACACGAAACUAUAUUGCUGGCCACAAGUGCAAAGAACAAUGGAACUAACAGAAUGGCAAUACCGUAAAUAUUGUACUAGCGAGGCCAAAAAGGCACUAGUAGGAAUCACAGGUGAUUUUGUUUUUCUUUUUUGUAUAAUUUUUUUGAUAUUUUUCUCAGCACAAUAAGCAACAAAAUAGGAGCUACACCAAGUUUCACCUAAAACAGAGAUCAGUUGUGGUCUACAGAAAAAGAGCAAGUUCUGUGAAAAGCGUGCAAGAACUUUGACGAAUUUUUUUCUUUAUUUUCCUGAAUUUGUUCUGACAAUUUUAUCGAAACCAAACAGGCCGUAGGCGAGUUUGGCUGGCCUCAGAAUGGUGUCAACAAGCUCCUGUAAAAAUUUCAGAUUUUUUGAACAGCCGAGCGAAAAGUUAUGCCCAGUUUAAGGAAGCUACCUCAAGUUAUGUUUAAAACGACCGAGAUGAGACAACCGCUUUGUAUCCUUUCUCCUUUCUUUUUUUUUGUUUGUUCUCUAGUUCUAUCCUUUCUCUUUUGUUUCCUUUUUUUCUUUUUUUGUUUCUGUUUUUUUACGUAACCGAAGGAGAAAAACAAGGAAGCGGCGUUGACUCGGUUUGUAGCGUGAUCAAACGGGAGAUGGUGGCGGCGCGCUAGGGUUUGAAUGGUGGAAAACACAAUGCGACCAGCAACAAAUGACGUGAAAGCACACAAAUUCAACCUGGAAAUAUGAUACCACUUGAUAUAGCUGAGGUGCCCGAUCUUUCGGUGAGUGGAGAUAAUUCCGAUUUGGCGGAAGAUGACCCUUGCGAUCCGACUAUGACGAGCAAGCCCGAGGCGCCAAUGCAAUCGCUGAACCAACUCCCUGUGGUUACCGACCUUGCUGAUGCGAGAUCGGCCUGAUCACGAAGAUCGUUUCCUGUGCACAAUCGAAGAACGAACAAGAAAAAGAUGCGAGCAAUCUAAUUUAUUACUCGAGGGUGGAGUUCUGAAUACACGAAGACAGCGCUGAUUUGCGCGUGUUCGAGAGUAGCUAAAGUUAACGUAAAACAAAACUCAAAGAACAAAGGAGGCGGAGCUCCUGGAUAAAUAGAGAGAGGGGGCACAGCCCCUAGUGGCAGCCAAAGGUGAAAAACACAACCCUAGGUCACCCACUAUGGGCCACAGUUGGGCUGGUUGUCUAUUCUUCUGGGCCCUCAUUCUUCAGUAGCAUGACGAAGUUAAGAUCUCUGGCACGGGCCCGAGUGAUUGGCCCAGCUAAUGAAGGAAGUGGCGCUUGAUGUGGAGGUGCUGCUGGUGUAGUCGUACUCAUGUUGCAGGUGAUGUCCUCAUCAUCUUCUCCUAACGCUUGUCAGUCUGCUUGUUCGCGUCACGCCGUGGUGCAGAUGGAGCGAGCUUUGUUCCAUCAAUGAGGUCCUGGGCCCAUUUGUCGGUGGUGAUGUAGAGGUCCGCCUCCUUAAAUAGCUGCUCGGAAGUGGUCGGCGCCUUUUGUAGUAUGGCCCGGACGAAGGCCGAGUCAUUAGAUCCCCGGUAGAAGUCCUCGAUCACUGCUGCUUCAGCGACCUCCGGAAUACGAUUUCUCAUGGUCUGAAACCUCUUGAGGUAUGACCGAAGAGUCUCAUCCCCUCGGUGCCUGAUGGAUUUGAGGUCCCAUGGCUACGCCGGCUUGUCGGAGAGGGAUUGGAAGUUGGCGAUAAAGCACCGACUGAAGUCGCUCCAAUCGUCGAUGCAGUGCCGGGGUAAGUGUCGUAGCCACUACAGUGCAUCUUGCCCGAGGACGAUAGGAAAGUAUGUAGUCAUCACAUCUUCAGUUGCCCCAGCGGCCCGGGUAGCGGUGGUAUAGACGGCCAACCAGCCUCCCGGGUCCUGCUUAGGCUCGUAUUUGUCAACGUUGGAGACUUUGAAGUUUGGGGGCCAUUGAAUGGCCCUGAGACGCGGAGUGAGCAUAGAUACUCCACAUGUGUCCUUCUAUCGACGACCGUGGUGCCGGUCCUGGGGAGGGGAGUUGCCGAUGUGCUGUCUCGACCGUCCCCGGGUUGUGCCGCCAGUUGAGGACGUUGCCGACUCAACCCUUGUGGCUUGACUUCGUGUAGGGAUGCCAUGAUCCCGAUCGUAUUCUUCUCGGCGCCGUAUCUCGUUCUCAUGUCAUCGUUCGCGUGAAGCGUUGAUGGAGCUCCGCGUGUCUCGUCGACUAUUGAUGGCGUGUCGUAGAUCGCUCGGAGGAUGAGCGAGAGGCAGAAGAUGAUUAGCCGCCCGAGUGAGUAGCCGCCGAUAGCCCUUAGCAUCUGGAGUCCCGGGGAGGCCAUCGGCUAUCCGAGCCAGCACUCCACCGACCUCACUCGGUGUGUUAGUGGCUCGGGCGAAGUCAAGGUUCAGGUUUCGUCCGAAGAGAGGGUUCUCUCGGCGUUGUCUCGCAUCCUGCUCGGCCUGCUCUUGAGCCAGCCGACGAUCAUGCCGGCGGGAAUUCCUCCUUUUCCUGAAGACUCGUUCAUCGGGAUUUUCUCCCACCUCCGAGAUCUCAUCUCGAGAAACAGGCUGUGUCGGGUCUCGUUCUCUGGCUUCAUUAUGUCGCCAAACAUUCCGGCGUUGGUUCCUCCGUCGGCGAGCUUCUCGCUGAGGAGGUUCUUCCCCAGGCACGGUUGGCUCAUCGUCGGAGAUGGGGGACAAUUCCACUCUUCCCCCGAUGAAGAGGACAUCGGGGUAGAAUGGAGUUGUCGUGACGACAAGCUUCUCUCUAUUCUCCUUUGAGGGCGAAGGUGCCAGAAGAGCAGCUUGAUGGGUCUUUAUCUCGUUUGCUUCUUUUUUCCUUAUAAUCCGUGUCCAUCUUUCCGUGGAUGAGGUGGACAACGGGGUUCUCCGGGUAAACGAAUUCUCUGCUCCUGGCCUGCAGGAGGUAGUCUUCGCCCGGGGUGCUGGAGGUUGUGCUUUUUCCUGCUCUGUUUCGACUUUUUCGGAGAUUUUCGAGGAAGGCUUCUUCUCCGGUAGAUCCGCUAUACGAUGCAGAAUUCCUUCUUCGUCUGCCACGGAUGAGAUGGUUCCGAAGCAGAACACGGAUCCAGGUCGGAGGGCAAUCUUGUGUUGGAAAAUGAUGGCCAUUGAGCUAGCUUGGAUCAGCGACACACCCCUACCUGGCACGCUAGCUGUCGGUGUUUGGGACCCGACCGCGCACCCGGGGUUACCCCUCGAGGUGCUUUUGGGUAGGACAGUGUUGCUGACUGUAGCUCGAUGGUUCGUGCUAGGCGCAUGAGAGACGAUAGACAAUUUUUUAUAGGUUCCGGCCGCUUAGAGAGGCGUAACACCCUACUUCCUGAUGUGGAUCUUUAUAUGGAGGGUUACAGGGGGAUUCUCUAGUAUGAAGGAUGCUAGAGAAUGGAGUAGAUGGUUGAUGAAUGACCUGUCUUUUGAUGGGGUGCCCCCUAGGCCUUAUAUACUCGACCGUGGGGCGUUACAUGCGGGUAUGAUAACAACGUGCACCUAAGUAAUAGUGAACCGACUGAACUUAUCUUCCUAUAAUCAUGUCGACUUAUCCUCAUUUAGUUCUAACGUCUGAGGGCACUACGCGGGAGAAUCGGAUCAAUGCCGUGGAUAAUACUUAAACCCAAUCAGCCGUCUGGGCUCGAGUCUAUCCAAUCUCGCAUCAAUCCAUUCCGCCAGCGGUUCCUCCCCUGGCCCACGAAGGGAUGGCCUUGCGAAGUAAUGGGACCAAAGCCUUUCGCGAGGCCUUCUAGCCUUCUAGUAGACCCGGGGGAUAUUUGUCCCCCACACUAGAAACAUACCUUGUUCUUGAUUUCACACUUCUCACUCAUUUGGUACAUAAGAACUCACUCAAUAUGUGUUGGACAUCUAAUCACCAAAAUACUUAUAGAAAUGGCCCAAGGGCACAUUUCCCUUUCAAUACCAUGGUCACACCAUCGAGUGUGGAGCGCAUUGCCUUAACAAUACUUCUGAAGCUACAAAGUCAUUCCUAAGGGAGCGCAGAAUAAGUUCUAAAACCACAAAGUUGUUCCUAAGGGAGCGCAGAGUAAGUUCUGAAGCUACAAAGUCGUUCCUAAGGGAGCGCAGAGUAAGUUCUGAAGCUCAAAAGUCGUUCCUAAGGGAAUGUAGAGCCAAGAUGCCACCGAAAUAAAAGGUGAAGAAGCUCAAAAGUCAUUCCUAAGUGGAUGCAGAGCUUAAAUACCACCGAAAUAGAAGGUGAAGAAGCUCCAAAGUCGUUCCUAAAGGGAUGCAGAGCUCAAAUAUCACCUUAGAAAAAGGUCAAGAGACUCAAAAGUCAUUCCUAAGAGGAUGUAGAGUCUGGGUGCAUUUUCGAGUGGGUGUGUGUCUUCGGCAUAAACAUCAUGUUGCAUCAUAUCAUCGCAUCAUUUCGCAUAGCAUUACAUCAUACAUCAUAUCUCAUCAGCAACAGAACUGUGGAGAAGCAAAGAUGCUUCUUUCAAAAUAUUUGAUGAAUGGAACAAUGUGCGGAAGCACAAAGUGUACCUUCGGCAGCUAUAAUGUUACAUUCCAAGAAAAUCUUCGUCGACAACAAUAUUAUAUAACAGCUACGAUAUAAGAAGGGGUGAUUUUUUAUUUGCGAAGCAUGAAAAGAAGGGAAGGUGUUUUUUCGCCGAAGGCUAAAAAACAAGUAAGUACAUAGAUUUCAUGCAUCACAAAGAAAUAUAUUACAUUAAUAUACAUGCAAAUGUUCGAUGUUCGACUCAUACACGAAUAUUACAUUUCUUAGUACACAAGAAUUCAGUCUUCUUUCAAUAUCUUCUCGGCAGCUUCAUUUAGGAGUCCGUUGACAGUGUCGUCAACGGUUUCUUCGGUAAUCCUUAUUGUUUCCAAUGCUUCCAUCAUAGGCGGCGGUGAAAUUUCAGUUGUAGUAAAGAACAAGUUGUUAACCCGAAGCCAAAAACAAACACUGAAGCUAAAUUUCAGUAAUAAUACCUUACGCCUUGCGCGCUCAGCAGCCUCUUCGGCUCGCUUAGCUUCUUCUCGGGCAUCAUGGGAUUUUUUUUCAUUUUUCUUCAUAGCUUCGUCGGCUAUCUCGCGGCCGCACUUCAUCCAAACAUUGGAAUAGAAUUUCCCGCCCAUCAAGGUAGCUUUGGUCGAAGGCUCCUUCGUGUCGUCUAUGGAGAAGAUGAUUUCUGCCUUGGCUGCAAAUUUAACAUGUUCACAUCCAGUUUUCUCCAAAACUGCUGCAACCCCUUGGGCACCUGCGAAGGCACAAAAAUCCCCACGAUCGCUAAAUAUUUCAUCAAAAGCUUCGACUUCUUCGCCGAUCCAUUGAAUGACUCCUUCGGGAUCGCCUCGAAUAAAUUUUUGCUCCGGUGAUUAUGCACCCACCUUUGCAAAACUGUCUUUCAGUUUCAUUACACAGUCCAUGGAUACUUCGUAGCAUUUCUCUCUGGAACCCCGAAGUUCUUCAACAUUCUUUUCCAGCCUGGAGCUUGUCCAUUCACUUAUCUCUUGUUUUGCCUUUGCAAGUUCAUAAUUUUCGCUCAUUUUGGCAAGUUUUUUCUGAAGGUCUUCGACUUCGACUUUGUGAGCUUCUGAUUGUGCAUUAUGUUUUGCUUUGUUGCUCUUCAGCUUAUCUACUAAGGAAAACAAUAUUUUAUCUUUUUCAAGCGCCUCGUUCCUUAGUGUAAUAACUUCUGCCUGAAGGUUCCCAAGGGCUAUUUGGCAACUUUUGUCUUCUGCUUUUUUUUGUGCCCUUAAAGCCUUGCAUAGGAUUAAGCCCUACAAAAAAUAAAGGAUUAGUACACAAUAAUAAGAAAAGAUAGAAAAAGUAAUCUGCUUAUAAGCUAAAACAUCCUCACCUUCAGACUGUUAUAAGCAAGGUUGUCUGCAAGUUCAUCCUUCGACAUGGCAGACAUGCCAAGCUCUAGCUUCGGGAAUCCUAUAUUUUCUGCCAUCUCCCGGCAAACAGAUAUCUCCUUGUUGUCCGAAAGGCAGUACAAAAAGUCGUCUUCGUCAGUGUCAUUAAACACCAAGGAUCCUUUUGGGUACUUUAAAUCACUGGCAUAUUGCUUAGCUUCAACAAUCUACUCUUCCAACAACUGUUUUCCCAAAGCAUGUCGUAUGAUGAAAUAUAGCUCUUCAGUAGGUGCCUCGUGGAUAGGAGAUUUAACCUUCUUGGGUGCGCUUUCUUUUUCCAAGAUCAAAGUAGCUCCCGAAGGAUUUGCUUCAGUAGAAGCUGGCGGUCCAGCUCCGCUAGUUUCCUUUGUAUUUCUCUCACCCAUGCUACUGUAGAGGCAGGAGUUAGUACCUUUUUUGACUCUAUGACAGCGUCUAGUACGCUGGCCCUUCUUCUCCUUUUUGGAGUUACUGCAGGCAUUUUUGACAUCUUCGGCAGCUCCGUCUCUUGCGACGGACUCAGAAUCUUCGGUUCCUCUGCCGACUUCCUCAAAUCUGGCUCUUCGGCUGUUUUUGCCUUAGCUUCGGCAAGACGCUUCGGCACUUCAGCUGUCUCAGCUUUCAGCUAUUCUGUUAUUACCUUCGGUUCAGGCACUUCGGCCGACUUUCCCUUAGCUUCAGUGUGAGUGGGGCAGUCUGAUCCAGAAGCAGAGGGCCCUUCAGCAGGUUUCGGCGCUUCGGCCACCUCAGCGCGCUUGGGGUGAUGUGUUAAAAUCUUAAUAUUUUUCUGCUUCGGCGUGCUGGCGAUCACCGAGGUAGCAGAUUUUCUCUUUAUUCCUUGUUUUUCCAAAGGAUAGCGAUAAUCCGGGUAUACGAAGCCAAUAACGUCAAAAACACUAUUCAACCUUUUCUUGCCCCAUCCUCCGAUGGCCAAUGUCAUGGCAUUGUCUUCGGCCCUUGUGUAGGCACCUAGUAACUCAUCGCUAGUUGCCUCAGUACAAUCCAACCAGUCAUCAUUCGGCUCAUCGAAUUGAUCUAUGUACCUGAAGGUGUAUUUCAGAUAAAUUAAGCCGCUUUGACUGGACCCGGCGACAGCUUCCUUCGGCAUCUCCAAGCCACUUCCAAGAGGCCACACUCUAUAAGCAAUAUGCUCCUCGACUAAGUCCCUUGUGCCAAUAUAAGUGCAUACAAUGUUAAAGGCCACCUGACAUGCUUGAAUAUCAUUUCCAAGGGCAGUGGCUGGCCUCCUAAUGCCGAAGCGAGACCAGAUAGGGCGUUGAAUGAUCCCUUUAUAUCUUCUCUUUCAACUAAGUUAUUCUUCACAUAAAACCACUCUUGGAUCAAGGCUCCUGGCCACCUUUUCCGAAAUGUCGGGACUGGAUAGCACACAUCAGAGCGAGGCACGAAAUCAUAACAACCAAAAUUAUUAUGAUAUUGUUCUUUGCCAGUAGCCUUCGUCUCACAGGAUAGCUCAUGCAUGUUGCAGAAUGUAGCAUCCCAAAAAUUCAAAUCUUGAAUUUUUCUCAAACUUGCUCUAAAUUCAAAAUGAAUUUUAAAUUUUGUUUCAAAAUGUUUGUUUGCAAGUUGAUCUCAACAAAUAAAUUAUAGUGGUCUAUAUUCUCUCCAAAAUCCUCCUCAAAAUAUCCUACAAAUAUUUCCCCAGAGAUCCCCUCUGAUUCUUUCCAGAAAUACUGCCCAAAUAUUCCACCGAUAAUUCUCCAAAUAUUUUCCUCCCGAGAAAUACCUUCAGAAUCAUUUUUAAAGUCCCCACAAAUAUUUUAUUCAAAACUUUCUUCAUGCUCAUACGUAUACGUACGCCUCCGGUGUCAUACGGUGAGCUCUACAAGCUAAUUACACUUAUACAAGACAAAUCCAUGCUUAUCUCCCACUAAUCCUCGUAUCCUCCCACUAAUCCUUUCAUCCUCCCCCCUAAUCCGCCCACCUUGGCUAUAAAUAGAGGGGCAAGGGCCUCCUCUUAAGCCACCCAAGCCAUUUCAUGGCAACUCUCUCCCUCCCCCCCCCCACACGCCUACUCCACUUCCCACACAAGCACACACUAGCACAAGGAUCGUUCGGUCGUUCUUCGAUCGUUCGUCCACCUGUUCUUAGUUUGUUCGUUCGUUCGUCCGUUCGUCCGAUCAUUCGAUCGUUCAUCCAAAUAAUCUUUGUUCAACCGUUAUGCUGCCGAAAUUCCGAUCGUUCGUUCGUUCGAUCAUUUGAUCGCUCAUCGUUCGUUCAUAGUUCCUAUUCAUCGUUCAUCGUUCGUUCAUAGUCCCUAUUCAUCGUUCGUCCAAAUAAUCUUUGUCCAGCCGUUAUGCUGCCGAAAUUCCGAUCGUUCGUUCGUCCGAUCAUGCGAUCGUUCGUCUGUUCAUUCAUAGUCCCUAUUCAUCGUUCGUUCAUAGUCAUUAUUCAUCGUUCGUUCAUACGAACUAUUCACCAUCACUAUUUAUCGUUAAUACUCAUUAUCAUUACUAUUCAUCGUUACUAUUCACCGACACUAUUCAUCAUCGUUACUAUUCAUCCCUGUUACUAUUCACCGAUGAUAUCUAUAAUUACUUUUCAUCGUUACUAUUCAUCGACCAUUCGAUCACCCCAAAUUUCAACUACUCAUCCAUCAUGUUGUCCAGUCCACCUAAGACCUGCCAGACCAAUAUUCCAGUCAUACGAACUCCGGUGACUAUGAUUUUCCUUCCAGUAAGAACUUCCCAUCUGGUCACCCAUCCCAGGUUUCUCCAAGUUGACCAUGCUUAACUUUGAGAUUCCUUCGAACCAGGCUUCCAAACUCAUAUUCUAAUAAUUCUUGUUUCUAAAUUCUUAUCAAACUAUUCCCUAUCCAACCAUGUCAUCCCUUAAUCAUGGUUCAUAUUCCAGAAAACUGCCAAAAUACUCUUGUCCCAUAUUCUGCCUAUAACUCUCAUGUUCAUACUAAGUCAGACGAUUCAUUUGUCACUAUUCUCACCAACAGUGAACUUCACUAUGCUACACCACAUACACCCAGCUAUAAAUACACCCAGUUACCCUCUCCCUCUCCACACACACUCACACCCUCAGCCAAGGCAAACACCCCACCCACUCAGUUACUCCGCUCUGCCGACUACGCGCAUAGUGUCUCUUUGCCUCCAAUCCACCCUCCUGGUGACCUCCACUCCACCACCAGUAAUAUCACAACACCACAUGACACCGAUUCUGCUCAAGACUCUACCCGUUCGUAUAUCGCCAUUCUGACCACUAUACUAAAUAUUUGUUGGUAUACUUGCUGGUUUGUAUGUUUACUUAUUCAUGUUGCAUAGUUAUCAGAGCAUUCGUGUUGUCUCGUGAAGGCCAGAUCUGCAAGUCUACGACAGGCGGUGGAGCUAGAAGCCAGUUCCGCGAGCUCUCCCCUUUCGCUGGAUAAGCACGGCAAGCUCACUGGAUCCCUUUGAUGCUUAAAUUACCUAAGCAUUUUCAACCACAACCCUCGGCCUGUUAUUUUAUGCAUGAUAUGAUUUUGAGACAAGUUAUUAUGGCCACCCAGCCGCUUGUUGCAAUCAAUCUUUAUACUCCUUGACAUAUUUGUUACAAAUGAUUUGAGAAAAGGUGUGAGUUUUCAAAAGAAAAAGUUUUCCAAAAUGGGUAUGAUGAAGGGUUGUCACCCUUAUCACCUUUUAAGCGGGAUGACCAGGGGCUCCCUGGUUUAGGGGAGGGCCUCAGGUGUUGGCUCAGCUGGUUUAGGUGUGAGCAAAAGGAUUGUCCCCUCAUAUAAGGACUGGUUUGUCAUCCUUCACUACCUGUACUCAUGACAAGUACAACCACUCGAGACUGUAUGGGCAGUCACUCAAUCUGAACUCGUACGGUCCAAACCCCAUGGUUGUGAUGGCUGGGGAGCACCGGGAGGAUAAGGAGGGGAAAUGUUUUGUCCGAUUUGGACAUGGCGGUGGCCUGAAUCCUUCUGGUAUAACCAUUAAGGUAAGGACGUGCAAGGAAAGUGAGAGAUUCGGCAUUCGGAUCUCACGACGAUGAGAUUGCAGAAGCUGGACUAGUGGGUAAAGUGUACACCUCUGCGCAGAGUUCAAACCUAUUCGAAUAGUCCAUGUCCACUGGAAUGGACGAGUCUGGUGUGGUAUGACAAUUAGUGUUAUGUUUUCCAAAAAUGCUUUUGAAAAAUGGUUUUAAAAGGUCCAGCGGUUGAGCCGUGAGCUAUGGUGGACGGGAAGUCCAGUAGUUGUUUUUGAAAAUGAAAACCAGUAGUAAACUGCUGAGAUACCUGGAUGGUUUAGUCCAGGGGAUUUUGCUCUAUAUUGAAAAACUUCCUGCUCCUUAGGGAGAGGAUGCGCUUUGAAAAAUACAAAAUGUUUUCAAAAUAACCCUGCAUCAAAUAGUGCUAUUUCUGCAAAAUAUCCUGAGCUCCACAUAUUCCAUGAAUUAUAUCUGAUUUCCCCAUUCCGUGGAUGAAGGUGGGCUGCUGAGUACGUAAGUACUCACCCUUGCUUAUUUGUUGUUUUUCAGAAAAGGAGAUCGCUGAUCGGGUAAGAGUUACGUCUGUUCCCAACCUUGCCUGUGGCUGUUGGACCGCUGAUUUGCUUCACUGCGUAUAUCGGGCUGCUUCAGCCCCACUCUGAUGAUAUGUAUCGAGUUGUGGACCAACUCUUAAAGUUGUUCGCCACCUUUAUAGGUUUGUCUUGUUUAAGCAGAUCUGAAAUUAUCUGAUGUAUAAAUGUGUUUACUAGCCUCCUGGGACUAGUAAUUGUAUCACAUUUGAGUCCCAGAGGAUUGGGGCGCUUCACAGAAGCAUUUUGCAUUCGACUCUAAACCCUGGCUUCUCUUGGCCCAAACGAAAAUCCCCAUUCUGAUGAUGGCUUCAGGGGUAAUCUAAUGAAGGUAAGUUUCAAAAGUCUUCAAAACUUCAACUAAAAAUUUGUUCAGGGGGAAUCGAAGCCCUACUUUCAUAAAACUCUUGUAGACAACAACUUCAUCUACUUCGGGCACAGGGGCACUGCUAUCCCCUCCAGCCCUCACGAUAGAGAUAUCGCGGAAGUAUCUUCCUUUCAUUGCAUCAAUCUGACUCUGUUUGAUGGUUGAUUUACCAAAAAUGGUAUGACUCGGUCGCCAGGGCCGAUCUUCGGCACCUUCGUUUCCACUUUCUAAGUCAAAACUUUCACUAUCGCUAGAUUCUUCAGAUAAUCCAGCCAGCAUCUCAUUGGUAAUCUUCUCUGUAUUUGUCUUCUCCAUAGCUUCAUAAAACCCGGCCAAUGCAGGGUCAGCAAUCUUCUUCUCUCCAGCCAUUUAGACAACGGUUGCACGAUUGCCGAAGCUCACAAUUCAAUCAAUGCUUGGAAGAGCAAGAAAAUUUAGAACGAUGAGCACAAUAUAUGCAGCUAAAAUGGUGCAACAAAUGCUAUCAAUGUGGGUCCCUAUUUAUAUGCCCAAUGCCUCACAACUUGGUAGGCCAUACAUGUCGGUGUCUUUCGCUAUUAUAGCGAUGGGAAGGUGUUUUUUCGGACCUUCAGCUAAAGGCCUUCGUUUACGUCACAGUCUAAAUUUGUUACAAAGAAACAAAUUAAUACUGCGAGGGGCUACUAUUGGGGACCUUCCUCUUCCGAAGGUCCUCAAAAACGUGACUAAUCAUAUGUUUUCAGUAUCACAUAGACUAUUACUGGAAACUUCGGCUUUGGGAUUAAGACGUGUGACAUGAGGAUACAACCCGAAGGCAACAUGGAUGGACGCCGAAGCUAUGGCUAAAGGAGCUUCGACUUGGCAUGUUAGUGAAGAUGAAGGACGAAACCGACCUAAGGAGAAAAGACUACUUAGUCCUUGAUAGUUUGCAUUAUGAUUAAGAGUAGAUGUCAGGGGCAUGAAUGUAAUCUUAUCUGGGCUGUGUCUCAUGCCUAUAAAUAGAUGAACAGUAACACCGUACUGUCCACGCUGGAUUGUAAUCGCUCCUACGUCACUCUCGCAUCUUCACCUUUUGGCAAGCCUAAGGUAUCAAUGUAAUAUGAAUAUUGUUGAUGUUUAUUCAUGUCUAUGAAAUGAGAAUAUAAAUAAUUUACUGAUUUGUAAUCAUUAUUUAUAUUCUUUUGUAUUUCAUGUACCUUUACUUAUAUUUGUUCACUAAGAUGAUGAAGGUAUGCCCUUCAUGACCUUCGUCUGGAGGCCAUUAUAUCCAAAAGGAGAUAAUGCUCCGAAGGACGAAGGUCUCUAAUUAUUAACAAUCGUGUUGUCUUGUUCUUGAUGUAUAGCAUUUGAGAACAAGGACCAACAAUGUCCAACUAUGUAAUCGAUGUGUACGUGAAUUUCUGAUCCUAACACGUACAUGGUUCGCAUUCGGUUUCCCUUCUAAAACUGGUUGUGACAGUUGUCAACUCUAAAGUUACAUAACUUUUCGAGAUCCACAACUUUUAUAUUGAUAGUUUCUUCAUCCGUGGUCAUUUACAAAAUUUAAAAACUUAAAACAUAUUUUUCUAUGACUGUAAUGGUGUAUGUUUAUUUAUUUGGCUUACGUAUUCUUUUUGUAUGUACGAUACGCAAAUCGAUGCUAGAAGUUGACUGUGAGGUAGACGAACCAAACUCGUUCGAGGACGACCCACAUGACACUUUCGAGCAAGGCAAGUGGAUUCUCCCUCUGCAUAUUCUAUUUGUACCCAAGUAAUACAUAUAAUAAUUGUGGCGGAACUGCCCGAAUUAUUCCAACUUAAGUGCCUAAGCCCCGCCUUAGAGGCUAGACCACACUUAAAUGGGAAUAACCCGUCAAUCCCUCGGAUCUUGUCCGACACGACCACUGACAGGAUCAAGUACCACAAUCUCACUCGAAGGUGAGUCACAGAGCAAAUACAAUAAAGCAUAAAACCAUGCAGGUAAGAGUAUUAAAAUUAUUACAUCACCAUCGGAGUUUUGCCAAAAGUAACCAUCAUUGUUCGAAGUGCAGCGGAAAUAAACUAACGGUAAAUAAUUAGAGAGAUGGGGAAGCCCGUCCCAUCACUCCUCAUGCUCCUCCUCAGCCGAGGCAGGGUCCCACUCGACAGUCCAACCCGGUGGCAAGGUGGACGGCCAAGUUAUUCCAGCAACCAUUUCCUCCAGGGAACCUGUAAAAAUUAUGCCACAAGCAAGGCUGAGUAUACUAAUACUCAGCUAGACUUACCCGGUGUGAGGAGUCUACUCCUCUACCUCUAGACAUGCAGUUGUUUGGCUGUGGGGUUUGGUUGCCAAAAGCACUAGCUGAGUUUCUAAAUCAAGUUUUUAACUUUGUCAAAAUUAAGUGUGACUCUCUUAAGGCUAAAAGUGUACUAUCUACUCAUACAUAGUAGCAAGCAUUAUUAGCAAUCAACAUCUUAUAUCAACUCAUCAUAUGUCCACUUGUUACUCAAUGCAGUACAAUGGAUCAAGCAGUCUCAUUAGCUGCGAGAAGCAGACGAUUCGAAUCGAGUUUUUAUCCUUGCAAGGUAAACCUAAACACACGACGUGGCGAGGCACUCCGUCCCCACACACAUCAACCGUUCCCAUCGAUUCCCCGUCAGUAGAGAGGGGCUCACCGCCUUGGCGUACAAUGCCUCACUGACCCCGACUGCCGUCGUGCAGUGACCGCACUUGUACCCACCAUAACCGGAAUGGGAGACCUCGUCUCAGGUCGCGUGAGGAGGGCAAACUGCUGCCAUGUUCAAUCAGGUACUAGGCUUACCGAUUUACCAUAUUUCUCGGCAUGUGCUUAGUACGUUCAAACGCUUGACACAGGUAUCCGCACGUUAAUCCUUAUUCCAUUUUCCCAUCUCGUAAACAACCAAUCCCCAUGGAUUGUUGUCCACCAACUAGUAUCAUGAUAGUGUGAAAGUGGGUACAAUCAAUUUCUUGAUCUCGCGCGAGUGCUAGAAAAAUCACUCGUCUUCUACCGAGAUCCUAAUUAAAUAAAGCAACUAAUCGACCUAUCAUACUAGUAUUCAUCUCAAAAGGAUUCCUGAGAUCAUGCAACUAGGGUUUCAAACAAUUCCUACACCUAAGUGCACAAUCAAUCCUACAAUCAUUAAGUGAAGUAAAAUAGCAUAAAUAACAGGUUAUGCAUAAAACCGGGGCUUGCCUUCCAAAGCAGUGGCAGGCAGGUCCUCUGGUGCAGGCUCGGGUGCUGGAUCCGGGGCUACCUCCUGAGCAGCUCCUUGCUCCGGCACGGGGAUGUACUCUCCGUCAGCAAGGUUAGAGUCUAUCCAAUGCAAUGAACAUGUAUGUCAUGAUUAUGCAGGAUUUAAUAACAUUCUGCUAAAAAGAAACUAAGUCAAGAAGUAACUUAGGGUUUUCUUGGUUAUGUGGGGCUUUUAGUGGGUUAGACUUAUCACCCUUAGGCUUAGGUUUUUGUUGAGGAUAAAUAUAGGGAAUUUGUAUUGCUCUUGUACCCUUCAGUGGAUGAGAUGCAAAGGAUUUUAGGAUGGCACCAUUUUCUAUUACCCACUUUCCCCUUUCUUUUAUUUUCUACUUAUGGUUUCUAGGGUAGGUUUGAACUAUGACAGGGGUCUAAUAUUUUCCAAAAAUUCUGUAAAAAGUACAGAGGGUUGCCAUUGGCUAUUCUAGCCUGUUUUAAGAAUUUGAGGCUUAAUGUACAAAGGCUAGGCUUUAAACAAAAAUAACAAGAGUUAUGCAAAAUGGGCCACUUUACACUACAUCUCUUAGUUAGGGGUGGGUUCUGUCCUAAAGGUUAUUUUUGCUGGCAUCCAAUAGUAAUAAUAGGCUUAUGUGCUAAAAAUCACAGAAAACUAAGGGGUGGUUAUUGAGUUAUGAUUUUCUUAAGUUUAAUGUCAAAAAGGCACUUUCUACUACAUUAUUAUUUGAAAAAUGUCAAACAGCAGAUUUCAUAUUUUUCCUAAGUUCUCAUUAAUAAAACAUUAGUUAUCCCAAGGGUGGGGGUGUUUUUACCUUGGGGUUUUUUUAUAGGUUUUUUCUAAGUUAUCCUUAUUUUAUUAAAAUAAAAGGUAUCCUACUUAUUUUAUACUAAACCAGGGUAUGAUAGAUUUUUCCAGUGAACUAUAUUGAAUAAGGAUCCUAACAAAAAUAGAGGUGCUCUCUGGUUCAUUAUUUAUACCCCCUUUUCUAUUUUUCUUAAUCCUAAGCAUAUUGCACAAUAAGGGGUAAAGACUAACUUAUUGGGGUGGACAGAGAGGUUUAACAUUUUUAAACAGGUCAGUAGGUAGAUAUAAACUUUUCCAAAUUUUUCUAACCCUAGUCAAAUAGCACAACUAUUUUUCUUUCUAUUAUUGAGCUUUUGGCUAAAACUAACAUUAAAUCAGAACUUUAAAGUUUUCUUUAGUACAUAGGGGGUUUUAUAUUUUUCUUAAGUGGGUUACAUUAUUUAGAGUCUGACAAAAUUGGUUUGACCAAAUUUGGAUGAACUAAACAGAAGUUAUGGAUUUUCAAAGUUUCUGUUCAAAUUUAAAAUCAGGUUUAAUAAGGUUUUCUGAAAAAGCAGUUUACACCGAGGUCCCUGGGUUUAAACUAAAUCAACCUUCGCAACUCUACCCUUGCGCCACUAUUCCCCUGAGUCUCUGACAUUUCACAAAACCCCCUGACCUUCUCUCCCUCUCACCCGCAGUCCUUCCCCCUAUGUAAAUAGUAACCGCGGGAAAGAAAAGGGUGGCACGGCUUACCGGCGGCGAGGGAGGUCCGGCGAAGGGUGGGGUUGGCUCGGGGAGACUCUGGCGGUCACGUCGAGGUACGGCUUGACGUCGGGGAUGGCCGGAAUCGCCCGGUCCACGCGCGCAGGCAGGUGUUCUCGUCGGCGGCGAGUGUACCGGCCAAACCACGGCGAACUGGUUCAAUCCAAGGGCACGGUGAGCUUCACGGGGUAACGUAGUGACCGUGUGCACAAGGAAUCGAGGGAUGGUUGAGUGGAUUACCAGGUCCACGUACUCCGGCGGGGUUGAGAGCUCCGGCGAGCGUGGACUGGCCUCUCCGGCAAAGCAAACUCCGAUUCCUCGCUCGGGGAGCUUCACGGAGGUGUGCACAGUCUUCUCCGAGGGCUGGACGGGGUUGGGAAUGGCUCUAUUGGCCGGUCUACGGUGGCAGAGGGAUUGGGCGACCGCGGACACGCUGCGCAUGGGCAAACGGCGGCGAGCUAAACUCCGGUGAGGUUUGAGGGUGCGCGGAAGAGUGCAGCCGAAGCCUGGGAGGGCUUUAUAGGCGCGGGCGCGGGCCAUGGCGCUAGCUUGGCUCGGGCGCGGCGCUGGGCAUGCGGGGGCGCGCGCGAGCGUGCUCUGGCGCGGGCAGGAAGCGUCGAACACGUAGAGGUGUGUUUCUUCCAUUGUUCAAACGCCUGCAGAGAUCGCAAACGUGCGAAUCUUGCCAUGAAUCCGGCGCAGACCUCUUCCUGGCACCUAGGGCUAUCUCUCAUGUGUGAGUUCCAAUGGAGGAUACGCCUUAGAUCAGGAGAUAGACGGGCGCCAAAUCUGGCUUGUCUCACUGCCCACCUCGCGACAAAACUGAUGCCAAUACCUGUCAAACGUCAAAGUCUCGGUUUCCACUUUUUCCAGGGGGUGCCUUAGGUGGUAUACCACAUUUUUGGUAUAGGACCUAAGUGGUUUUGGUGCCAUCUUCAAGGUGAUCACGGUUGGUCUUUGGAUUAGGGUUAGAAUUUGACUUAGAGGGAAAAUAGAGAGCUCUAGCUCUCUCUCUCUCCACUUGGGGAUUUGAAUUGGGGUUUCUCCAGGGGUCUUUUUGCAAUAUUUCCCUCCCCUAAUUGCUGGUUAUAAGGUUACUUAAGGUUUGGGUACAUGUUACUCAUGCUUUGCACACUUGCUCACUCUCUUUUCCCUCUUAUCUAGGGUUUUGGGAGAUAGGGUUUAAGAGAGGUCUAGGGUUCUUCUCCCCUCUUAUCCAAGGUAGUAAGUGUGCAAGGAUUAGAGUAAUGCUUCUUAGGUCAUUGGCAACUUGAUUAGCACAUGAUCUCCAAAGUUCUUAUGUGUUGCCCUAAGCCUCUACCACAUAUAAUUCACAGUCCUUAGUGCCAAGGUGUGCUCUAGCCAUGGUAACACCUGGGGUGUUACAGCCGUCCCCCCUUAAAGGAAUCUCGUCCCGAGAUUUUAGGUAGAGUCCCUUGGAGGGUGCUUGAAGGUGUGUUGGUGUUAUUUUUCCUUUACACUUAAAUUUCUCUUAUUAACUGCUCUUCGAAUGUCAUUCUCUUUGCAACUUCAGAAGGAAGCCCUUCUUAAGUUAAAUCCACAACUUAGACUAUCCUUGUUAUCUAAGUUUUUCUUAUAAUUGAAUUCAAAGGGCAGGUGGGGGUGGGGUUUUGGGGUUACGUACCGACUCCUUUGGGCAGAAAGUCGGGAAAGCGAGAGCGUAGAAAAUCCUCAGUCUCCCAUGUAGCUUCUUCUGCUGAAUGGUGACUCCACUGAACUUUAUACAUUCUGACCGACCUUGCCCGAGUUGAUCUUUCCUUUUGAUCUAAUACCAUGACGGGGUACUCUUGGUAGGACAAGUCUGGUUCUAUCUCAAUGUCUGGUUCCGGUAACACUUCAGUGGGUAGGCGAACACAUUUCCGCAGCUGAGAUACAUGGAACACAUUGUGAACUGCUGACAUGUGAGGUGGUAAUUCCAACUGAUAGGCUACAGGUCCACAACUUGCUUUGAUUUCAUAGGGUCCAAUGUAGCGAGGGGCUAACUUGCCCUUGAUCCCGAAUCUCUGGACACCCUUGGUGGGUGAUACCUUAAGAUAGACAUGAUCUCCCACCUCAAACUGUAGAGGCUUCCGCCUCUUAUCAUGAUAGCUCCUUUGCCUAGCCUCAGCAGCUUCUAAGUUCUUGGUAAUAGUCCUGACCUUUGCCUCUGCCUCAAGUACCAAGUCUGGCCCAAAAAUUUCCCUUUCUCCUGCUUGAGACCAAUUCAGUGGGGUCCUACACCUUCUCCCAUAUAAGGCUUCAAAAGGUGUCAUCUUCAGACUGGACUGAUAGCUGUUAUUGUAAGAAAACUCUGCCAAAGACAGACACUUGUCCCAAUCCUUUCCAUAGUGUAGUGCACAUGCUCGCAACAUGUCUUCCAAAAUCUGAUUCACCCUUUCUGUCUGGCCAUCUGUUUGAGGGUGAUAUGCUGAUCUUCGGAUUACUUGGGUCCCAAGUGAUUCUUGCAGUUUCUCCCAAAAGCGUGCCACAAACAGUGCUCCUCUGUCAGAUAUGAUGGUCUUUGGAAUACCAUGCAAUCGCACUAUUUGAUCAACAUAAAUUUCUGCAUACUUUUCUGUCUUGUGGGUGGUGUGCACUGGCAAGAAAUGAGCGGUCUUAGUCAACCUGUCCACGAUAACCCAAAUAGAAUCAUGGUGCCUGGAGGUAUUGGGUAAUCCCACUAUGAAGUCCAUGCAAAUGUCCUCCCAUUUCCAAGAUGGUAUGGGAAGGGGUUGCAAAGGGCCUGCUGCCUUCAAAUGACUAGCUUUGAUUCUCUGGCAGGUAUCACACUCAGAUAUGUACUUGGCAAUUUCCCUUUUCAUUCUAGUCCACCAAUAUAAAGAUCUAAGAUCAUGGUACAUCUUGUUGCUACCAGGAUGCAUGGAGAAUUUGGAGAGGUGAGCUUCAUCUAGUAUCUUCUUUCUGAGCUCAGGGUCCUUGGGAACAACUAAUCGGUCUCCAAACCAUAGAAUUCCCUUGCUGUCCUGUCGGAAACACGUGUAUUUCUCUGCCUUUUGCUUGACCAUUUCCUUAAUCAUUUGGACACCUUUAUCCUCAAUCUGGGCCCUUACUAUUUGCUCUUGCAAUGUGGGUUCCACCGAGAUAUAACUUAAGUCACCCGAAGAAACAACUUCCAGGUUCAGCUUGCACAACUCAUCGCACAGGGUGGUGACUCUUGCAUCCAUGCUCAUACAAUUGCAUUGGGCCUUUCUGCUCAAAGCAUCCGCCACAACAUUGGCCUUACCUGGGUGGUAAUGCACCUCCAAAUCAUAGUCCUUGAUUAACUCUAACCAUCUCCUUUGCCUCAUGUUCAGAUCAGCCUGAGUGAAGAUGUAUUUGAGACUCUUGUGAUCGGUGUAGAUGUUACAGUGAGCUCCCAUCAAGUAGUGUCUCCAUAUCUUAAGAGCAUGAACUACAGCUGCCAAUUCUAGGUCAUGUGUAGGGUAGUUCUGCUCAUGGGGCCUGAGUGCUCGGGAAGCAUAAGCAAUGACUCUGUUUUCUUGCAUCAAGACACAUCCCAAUCCAGUACCAGAAGCAUCACAAUAAACUUCAAAUGGCUUGGUGUUGUCAGGUUGAGCCAACACUGGGGCUGUUGUCAAAUGCUGCCUCAAUGUGUGAAAGGCAUCUUCACACUUUUGGCUCCAAUUAUACUUGACUCCCUUUUUCAACAGUUCAGUCAUUGGUUUGGCAAUUCUGGAAAAAUCCGAGAUAAAUCGUCGAUAAUACCCUGCCAAUCCCAGAAAACUCUGAAUCUGCCUCACUGUAGUCGGGGGUUUCCAAUCCAUCACUUCUUGUACCUUCUCAGGAUCAACUGAUAUCCCAUCCUGAGAAAUUGUAUGACCCAAGAAUUUGAUUUCCUUCAGCCAGAACUCACAUUUAGACAACUUAGCAUAAAGAUGAUGAUCGCGCAGCCGCUGAAGCACGAUGUGCAGGUGCUCAGUAUGUUCGUCUUCAUUCUUGGAAUAGACCAGAAUAUCAUCAAUGAAAACGACCACGAACUUAUCCAAUUCUGGCAUAAACACUGAGUUCAUCAGGUACAUAAAAUAAGCCGGGGCAUUGGUCAGCCCAAAAGACAUCACCAAAAAUUCAUACAACCCAUAUCUGGUAGAGAAAGCCGUCUUGGGAAUAUCGCUGGCACGGAUCUUGAUCUGAUGGUACCCUGAGCGAAGGUCUAUCUUGGAGAAUACCUUGGCUCCUACCAACUGAUCGAACAGAACAUCAAUACGGGGCAGUGGGUAUUUGUUCUUGAUAGUCACUGCAUUAAGAGGGUGGUAGUCAACACACAUCCUCAAACUCUCAUCCUUUUUCUUCACAAAUAAUGCUGGACAUCCCCAUGGUGAAGUACUUGGGCGAAUAAACCCCUUGUCCAACAAUUCUUGAAAUUGCUUCUUCAAUUCUGCCAAUUCCGCGGGAGGCAUCCUAUAGGGUCUCUUGGAGAUAGGAGCAGUCCCGGGUUGCAACUCAAUUGCGAACUCAAUGUCUCGGUCAGGUGGCAUUCCUGGCAAUUCAUCCGGAAAAACAUUCGGGUAGUCACAGACCACUGGGAUCUUUUCCACUGGGGACUCUAUCAUAACGAAAGCACAAGAACGAGUACAUCCCUGGUCGGGCAAAUACAAAACAGUCUCGCCAUAAGCAGGGGAAUGAAUUUCAAUGGCCCUGGCUGCAAUAUCCAAUACUGCCUGAUGCCUGGUCAACCAGUCAGCUCCCAAAAUAAUAUCCACGCUAUCCAAUCCUAAGAUGAGAAGGGUGGUUCUAAUCACCAGACUACCAAAUUUUAUAGGCACUUGCCUGUUGAUUUGAUAAGUGGCAACUCUGCCUCCUGGUGUUGAAAUUGUAAUGCCCCCAUCGGUAUGGUGAAAGGGCAACUGGCAUUUGGCACUAAACUUGGCACUGAUAAAACUAUGUGAAGCACCGGAAUCAAAAAGAACAAUAGCGGGAUAAUUUAAAACUGUAAAGAUACCAGUCAUGACGGGUGCUCCCUCUGGAAUAUCAGCCAUGGUGGUGAAGUUCAGCCUGCCUUGCCUCACUUGCACCUUAUGCCUCUUCCCUUGGUUCUGAUUAACAUUCUGCCCCUGCCUCUGCUAGUUCCUGGGGCAAUUCUUGGCAUAGUGCCCGGUGUUGCCACAUGUGAAACACCUGUUGUCAUUUGUCUGGCGGUACUGCUGCUGCUGCUGACUGUUCCUCUGAGCUGGAAACUGGGCGCGGUUGGGUGCCUGCUGCUGCUGCUGCUGCUGGGGUCGGAUCACCCAUCGCCCUUGCUGCUGCUGGGGUCCCCUGUUCUGAGUGUCGGAUACAAUCCUGAAGCGCUGUGGCUGAGCUGAUGGUCCUGCCACAGGGGUCUUCCUCUUCUUCUCCGCCUGUCGGGCUGAAAUGCAGUCCUCCUGGGAGAUAGCCAUGUUGACCAACUCAUUGUAACUGUUGGCCCUGACGGUGUUGAGACGGUCACGGAGCUUGGUGCUGAGCCCCCUCCUGAACCUGUCUCUCUUCUUCUCAUCCGUAUCUGCGUGAUACCCAGCAUACUGGCAUAGGUCAUUAAAAGCCUGGGCAUACUGCAACACUGUCAUGUUGCCCUGAGUGAGUGCCAAAAACUCAUUGAGCUUCCGGUCCAUAAUCCCGACUGGUAUAUGGUGUCCCCUGAAAGCUGCCUUGAACUCCCUCCACUCCACCUCUCGGUCCUCUGGCUGCAUAGCAAGAAAAUGAUCCCACCAAGUCCUUGCAGGUCCGCGAAGCUGCUGGGUGGCGAACCUGACUUUGGUGACCUCUGAGCAUGCUCCAUGGAGUAGUGGGAAUUUGGAUUCCACCACUCGCAACCAUACAUCUGCAUCAAGUGGGUCCUCCGCCCUUGUGAACAAUGGAGGCUGGGUGCUAAGGAACUCCUGGUAGGUGGUUGCCGCAGGGUGACGCUGAUGGUCCCCACCACCAUAGUGCUGAGGUGGUGGCUGACGCUGAGCUAGCUGCCUCAAAAUCUCAUUCUGCUGAGCCAUGAGCUCCUGCAGAGUGGGAGGCGGUGGAGGCGGUGGAGGAACGCGCUCGUUCUGGCCACGACGCUGCCUCCCGGCCAUCUGAAAAACCACAUACAUACUUAACACCACAUUUCCAAGUUCAAGAUUUUAUCGCGGAGGAAAAGUUAAAACAACAUGAUAGACUCCGACUUCAACAAAAGGAUUUUAAAAAGGCACAAAUUCUUCCUUCCAAAUUUAAACUGAUGACAGCAUCCAUCAAACAAGCUUCCAAGAGAGUUUAGCACGAUUACAUCAAUUGUCCCAAAAUGACUCAACUCUAUCUAGCCUAGUACCCCAAGGGUGCAAAAGCUAAGCUAGCUGCGAGGAGUCCGACUAUCCAACUUCUAAGCCUAUCCUGAACACCUAGUGAGCGAACGAAGCAACACUUGACUCGGGGGAAGGUGGUCUUCCCGAGCCAGCAGUGUCCACACUGGAGGCAGGCUCAUCUCCUCCCUCGAUGUCGACGUCCUCGUUGGCCUCCAGGUCCUGGAUCUCCUGGUGAUGCAUAUCCAGGUGCUCGUUAGCCUCAGCAAGCUGCUGCUGAGUGUUAAUGAGCUGAUCCUCUAGAACCUCGAUGGUGUUCUCCCUGGUGCCCACUAGCUCCUCCAACUCUUGGAUAUCAGUGGAUAGCUGCUCCACCUGCAAGUCCUUCUCCACCAUUUCUUGGGACAAGUCAACCACGAGUUCCUCUCUGUUGUCCAACAUAAUCUUUGUUGCCUCCAGCAGUGCCAUCAGAUGGGACAUCGCCUCACCGCGCAUCACCUGCAGACGGUACAGAGCAUUCAUGCACCGUACGGUCAAGUGCGCGGUCUGUCCUGGGUAGAUGGCCCAGAUAUCCUUGGCAUGCUCCACCCGAUCCUUCCACAUUGGGUCGUCCUCCCUCUCAACGGGGAACAAGCCAAUGGGGUGGGUAGCCAGCUCCAAAGGAUGGAAUCCGCAGAAAGUAGUCAAUCCAUGCAGAGCGAUCGCCUCGAUCGUGUCCUCCGCUCGGUAUCCGAAAGACUCGGAGUCCAAAGAGCGCCAGCCUGGCUGCAGGGGAUGAGGCUCCAAGGUCAUCCUCACCCUAUAGCGGGGCACUCGGUGCUUCUCGAACUGCUGCACCGCGUACUGAAGGGGUGUCGCGUAUCCGGCCCCCUGAAGUACCUCCCAUAAAAUGCGGGGAAAGCCCUCUCGUGCAAGUCCGUCAGUGUGGGACAGUGCAUUUCCGUCAUCGGAGAAUCCGUGGGAAGUCAUCUGUGUAUGGUUAAGCGUAAAAAGAAAAAGAAUUAUAAAAAGAACAAGAAAAAUAAAACUCAGCCUUUCUCUAGUUAAAUAAAAAGGCACUGGGGACCUAGUUGGUUGUUAUCUGGUGUUUAAGUCCUUAAUUAUCCAUUUGCUUAAUUAAGAAUGCAUGCAUGCUCGUCCUGAACGACCUCACAACAAGAUAAAAGGAAUAGGGAAGAACUCCCAUCCUGUAAAUGUGGCCUGUAGGGCCUAAUCACUUAGCCACCUAGCUACCCUUCUAUCAUCCUAAGGCUUCACGUCCUAGGUCUAUCCUGCUCGUCCUACUAUCUAUCCAACAUUGUUUCUAUCAAGUUUUACUUUGGAAAAGGAUGGUAUUCAUAUUUUAUUGAUUCCUCUGUGGUGGUACAAGCUCUGAUACCAGCUGUGGUGGAACUGCCCGAAUUAUUCCAACUUAAGUGCCUAAGCCCCGCCUUAGAGGCUAGACCACACUUAAAUGGGAAUAACCCGUCAAUCCCUCGGAUCUUGUCCGACACGGCCACUGACAGGAUCAAGUACCACAAUCUCACUCGAAGGUGAGUCACAGAGCAAAUACAAUAAAGCAUAAAACCAUGUAGGUAAGAGUAUUAAAAUUAUUACAUCACCAUCGGAGUUUUGCCAAAAGUAACCAUCAUUGUUCGAAGUGCAGCGAAAAUAAACUAACGGUAAAUAAUUAGAGAGAUGGGGAAGCCCGUCCCAUCACUCCUCAUGCUCCUCCUCAGCCGAGGCAGGGUCCCACUCGACAGUCCAACCCGGUGGCAAGGUGGACGGCCAAGUUAUUCCAGCAACCAUUUCCUCCAGGGAACCUAUAAAAAUUAUGCCACAAGCAAGGCUGAGUAUACUAAUACUCAGCUAGACUUACCCGGUGUGAGGAGUCUACUCCUCUACCUCUAGACAUGCAGCUGUUUGGUUGUGGGGUUUGGUUGCCAAAAGCACUAGCUGAGUUUCUAAAUCAAGUUUUUAACUUUGUCAAAAUUAAGUGUGAUUCUCUUAAGGCUAAAAGUGUACUAUCUACUCAUACAUAGUAGCAAGCAUUAUUAGCAAUCAACAUCUUAUAUCAACUUAUCAUAUUUCCACUUGUUACUCAAUGCAGUACAAUGGAUCAAGCAGUCUCAUUAGCUGCGAGAAGCAGACGAUUCGAAUCGAGUUUUUAUACUUGCAAGGUAAACCUAAACACACGACGUGGCGAGGCACUCCGUCCCCACACACAUCAACCGUCCCCAUCGAUUCCCCGUCAGCAGAGAGGGGCUCACGGCCUUGGCGUACAAUGCCUCACUGACCCCGACUGCCGUCGUGCAGUGACCGCACUUGUACCCACCAUAACCGGAAUGGGAGACCUCGUCUCAGGUCGCGUGAGGAGGGCAAACUGCUGCCAGGUUCAAUCAGGUACUAGGCUUACCGAUUUACCAUAUUUCUCGGCAUGUGCUUAGUACGUUCAAACGCUUGACACAGGUAUCCGCACGUUAAUCCUUAUUCCAUUUUCCCAUCUCGUAAACAACCAAUCCCCAUGGAUUGUUGUCCACCAACUAGUAUCAUGAUAGUGUGAAAGUGGGUACAAUCAAUUUCCUGAUCUCGCGCGAGUGCUAGAAAAAUCACUCGUCUUCUACCGAGAUCCUAAUUAAAUAAAGCAACUACUCGACCUAUCAUACUAGUAUUCAUCUCAAAAGGAUUCCUGAGAUCAUGCAACUAGGGUUUCAAACAAUUCCUACACCUAAGUGCACAAUCAAUCCUACAAUCAUUAAGUGAAGUAAAAUAGCAUAAAUAACAGGUUAUGCAUAAAACCGGGGCUUGCCUUCCAAAGCAGUGGCAGGCAGGUCCUCUGGUGCAGGCUCGGGUGCUGGAUCCGAGGCUACCUCCUGAGCAGCUCCUUGCUCCGGCACGAGGAUGUACUCUCCGUCAGCAAGGUUACAGUCUAUCGAAUGCAAUGAACAUGUAUGCCAUGAUUAUGCAGGAUUUAAUAACAUUCUGCUAAAAAGAAACUAAGUCAAGAAGUAACUUAGGGUUUUCUUGGUUAUGUGGGGCUUUUAGUGGGUUAGACUUAUCACCCUUAGGCUUAGGUUUUUGUUGAGGAUAAAUAUAGGGAAUUUGUAUUGCUCUUGUACCCUUCAGUGGAUGAGAUACAAAGGAUUUUAGGAUGGCACCAUUUUUCUAUUACCCACUUUCCCCUUUCUUUUAUUUUCUACUUAUGGUUUCUAGGGUAGGUUUGAACUAUGACAGGGGUCUAAUAUUUUACAAAAAUUCUGUAAAAAGUACAGAGGGUUGCCAUUGGCUAUUCUAGCCUGUUUUAAGAAUUUGAGGCUUAAUGUACAAAGGCUAGGCUUUAAACAAAAAUAACAAGAGUUAUGCAAAAUGGGCCACUUUACACUACAUCUCUUAGUUAGGUGUGGGUUCUGUCCUAAAGGUUAUUUUUGCUGGCAUCCAAUAGUAAUAAUAGGCUUCUGUGCUAAAAAUCACAGAAAACUAAGGGGUGGUUAUUGAGUUAUGAUUUUCUUAAGUUUAAUGUCAAAAAGGCACUUUCUACUACAUUAUUAUUUGAAAAAUGUCAAACAGCAGAUUUCAUAUUUUUCCUAAGUUCUCAUUAAUAAAACAUUAGUUAUCCCAAGGGUGGGGGUGUUUUUACCUUGGGGUUAUUUUUAUAGGUUUUUUCUAAGUUAUCCUUAUUUUAUUAAAAUAAAAGGUAUCCUACUUAUUUUAUACUAAACCAGGGUAUGAUAGAUUUUUCCAGUGAACUAUAUUGAAUAAGCAUCCUAACAAAAAUAGAGGUGCUCUCUGGUUCAUUAUUUAUACCCCCUUUUCUAUUUUUCUUAAUCCUAAGCAUAUUGCACAAUAAGGGGUAAAGACUAACUUAUUGGGGUGGACAGAGAGGUUUAACAUUUUUAAACAGGUCAGUAGGUAGAUAUAAACUUUUCCAAAUUUUUCUAACCCUAGUCAAAUAGCACAACUAUUUUUCUUUCUAUUAUUGAGCUUUUGGCUAAAACUAACAUUAAAUCAGAACUUUGAAGUUUUCUAUAGUACAUAGGGGGUUUUAUAUUUUUCUUAAGUGGGUUACAUUAUUUAGAGUCUGACAAAAUUGGUUUGACCAAAUUUGGAUGAACUAAACAGAAGUUAUGGAUUUUCAAAGUUUCUGUUCAAAUUUAAAAUCAGGUUUAAUAAGGUUUUCUGAAAAAGCAGUUUACACCGAGGUCCCUGGGUUUAAACUAAAUCAACCUUCGCAACUCUACCCUUGCGCCACUAUUCCCCUGAGUCUCUGACAUUUCACAAAACCCCCUGACCUUCUCUCCCUCUCACCCGCAGUCCUUCCCCCUAUGUAAACAGUAACCGCGGGAAAGAAAAGGGUGGCACGGCUUACCGGCGGCGAGGGAGGUCCGGCGAAGGGUGGGGUCGGCUCGGGGAGACUCUGGCGGUCACGUCGAGGUACGGCUUGACGUCGGGGAUGGCCGGAAUCGCCCGGUCCACGCGCGCAGGCGGGUGUUCUCAUCGGCGGCGAGUGUACCGGCCAAACCACGGUGAACUGGUUCAAUCCAAGGGCACGGUGAGCUUCACGGGGUAACGUAGUGACCGUGUGCACAAGGAAUCGAGGGAUGGUUGAGUGGAUUACCCGGUCCACGUACUCCGGCGGGGUUGAGAGCUCCGGCGAGCGUGGACUGGCCUCUCCGGCGAAGCAAACUCCGAUUCCUCGCUCGGGGAGCUUUACGGAGGUGUGCACAGUCUUCUCCGAGGGCUGGACGGGGUUGGGAAUGGCUCUAUUGGCCGGUCUACGGUGGCAGAGGGAUUGGGCGGCCGCGGACACGCUGCGCACUGGCAAACGGCGGCGAGCUCAACUUCGGUGAGGUUUGAGGGUGCGCGGAAGAGUGCAGCCGAAGCCUGGGAGGGCUUUAUAGGCGCGGGCGCGGGCCAUGGCGCUGGCUUGGCUCGGGCGCGGCGCUGGGCAUGCGGGGGCGCGCGCGAGCGUGCUCUGGCGCGGGCAGGAAGCGUCGAACACGUGGAGGUGUGUUUCUUCCAUUGUUCAAACGCCUGCAGAGAUCGCAAACGUGCGAAUCUUGCCAUGAAUCCGGCGCAGACCUCUUCCUGGCACCUAGGGCUAUCUCACAUGUGUGAGUUCCAAUGGAGGAUACGCCCUAGAUCAGGAGAUAGACGGGCGCCAAAUCUGGCUUGUCUCACUGCCCACCUCGCGACAAAACUGAUGCCAAUACCUGUCAAACGUCAAAGUCUCGGUUUCCACUUUUUCCAGGGGGUGCCUUAGGUGGUAUACCACAUUUUUGGUAUAGGACCUUAGUGGUUUUGGUGCCAUCUUCAAGGUGAACACGGUUGGUCUUUGGAUUAGGGUUAGAAUUUGACUUAGAGGGAAAAUAGAGAGCUCUAGCUCUCUCUCCACUUGGGGAUUUGAAUUGGGGUUUCUCCAGGGGUCUUUUUGCAAUAUUUCCCUCCCCUAAUUGCUGGUUAUAAGGUUACUUAAGGUUUGGGUAUGUUGGGUGCCUUCGGCUUACGAAGGUCCUCAAAAACAAGAUUUAACAGUAUUUCUGGAGUUUAAUGUGUGAACAGGCAUCUUCGGACUCAAGUCGGUAUCACAGCAGACCAGAAUAAUACGAAGGUUGAUACAGCGCCGAAGGUGUGAGCAGGAAAGCUUCGGCAUGAUAGCAAAAUGAAACCAACUUAAAGAUGAAAAGGCUAUCCAGACCUCGAUAGAUUACAAUAGAAUUAUUAUCAAAUGUAAAGGGCAUGAAUGUAAUUUUGCAUAGGCUGUGUCCUGUGCCUAUAAAUAGGUGGACAGUACCCCCGUACUGUUCACGCUGAUUGGACAUUCGCUUUUGCGUCACGCUUGUACUUUCAUCUCCUUCAAGUUGAAGGUACAUUUGUAAUUCAGCGUUAUUUCUGUUUCUAAAUAAUAAUAAGUAUACAAUUGUCUAUGCUAUCUUUUAUAUUCCUUAUAAUUCAUCCUUCGUCACUGUAAAGUGUAUUUAUGAAGGUGUGCCCUUCAUAACCUUCGUCCGAAAACCAUUAUAUCCUGGGGGGAAUAAUGCUUCGAAGGACGAAGGACUUUACCGAUUAAUAUUUUUUAUGUUGCCUUGUUCUUAACUCAUAGCAUUUGAGAACAAGUCCCCAACAUUGGCGCCCACCGUGGGUGAACUCACUUCCACACUCUGAGUUUUCUGAACACCUUCGGCGAUCAUAAACCUUCGUUAUGGCGCCGAAGAAAGCUUCAGCAACUGGCACUGCAGCUCUUCAACCGCUGGACCAUAAUCAGGAGACUGUCUCUCUUCGGGAGGCCCGAAGCCAGAAAAGGAAGGCUGUCAGCCCGACACCACCAGAGGACGAGAUAGAUCAAGAAAUCAGAGACAUGGAGAUGCUUCAUCAACAGGUGCAGAGGAAGAAAGAAAAGAUGGCCAGGCUAGCUGAACUGCAAAGGCAGAUAGACGAAGCCUCUGAAGAAGUUCGUCAUCUUGCUCAGGAUGAGCAGCACCGAAGGCCUCAGCACCAAGACCUUCAUCAGGAGGGUUUCCUCAACGAAGAUGACUGGUAUGAUAAUUUCCAUCAUGGGAAUUUUGUUUUCGAUGAUGCUUCUCCUCUGUCCGCUGAGCUGCAGGCUACACCUUGGCCCCCGUCCUACAAACCGCCUCAGCUUCCCGUAUUCGAUGGCCACUCAGACCCGAAGCAGUUUUUGAUGAGCUACGAAGCCACAGUGUCUUCGUAUGGUGGCAAUGCUGCAGUCAUGGCCAAAUCUUUUGUUAUGGCUGUCAGGAGUGUUGCUCAAACCUGGUAUUCCUCCCUUCGACCAGGAACGAUCACUUCAUGGCAGAAGCUGAAGGACUUGCUGUUAACUAGCUUCCAAGGGUUUCAGACGAAGCCGGUCACUGCUCAAGCUCUAUUCCAGUGCACCCAGGAUCACGAAGAAUACCUUCAGGCGUACGUCCGGAGGUUCUUGCGUUUGAGGGCACAGGCACCAACGGUGCCCAAUGAAAUUGUCAUUGAGGCCAUGAUCAAGGGGCUUCGGCCAGGACCGUCAGCUCAGUACUUCGCUAGGAAGCCCCCUCAAACUUUGGAGAAGCUGCUCCAGAAGAUGGACGAGUACAUUCGGGCCGAUAAUGAUUUUCGCCAAAGAAGGGAGGAGGCUUUCAGGUUUUCUGAAAUGACCAGGGGCUUCGGAGGAAGGUUCUAUCCGAGGCAUGUUAGAUCAAUUCACAACUCUGCCCAAAAUGAUGAUCGAGGGAGCCAACAGCAAAGGCCACAGUGUUCCUCACAGGCUUCGGGGCAACAGCAAGGCCCCUUCCGACCACCAGCCCCAAGAGGCAGAGGCGCCAGGGGCUUCGGCGGAAGAUUCGGAGAUCAACCAAGAAGAAUCUUUUGCUUGUUUUGCGGUGAGAACAAAGGCCAUACCACCAGGAUGUGCCAUGUUACCAUCCAGAAGCAAAAGGAAAUAGCCGAAGCCGCAGCACAGCAAGCUCAGCCGAAGCAGGUCAUGCACACUGCUUCGUAUCAUUCACCUUACAUCCCAGAAUAUGUGGGCAACCACCCUGCAGUUUCUGUUGCUUCGGCGAGUCAACCUCAAGCUUCCUGGCAACAGCCUCCGCCUCCACCUCCGCUGCAACAAGGCCAGCAGCCAGAAGGGAGCCAGUAUGCUCCACACCAAAGGGACUUCAGAGAGCAGUCCGAAGCUCGUACAGUCAACAGCACUGUGCCAGAGUCAAAGCACAUCUAUUGACAAAUAUCCUACCUUAAUAGCAGUCUUUCUUAUCCAGUCUUCUUUUCUGUGUAAUAAAGGACAUUGUUUAGAUUUCAUGUAAAUAGUUUCGUUGUUUGCCACAAGGAAAAUAUAUUUUCUUCACAGGCCUAAGUUGUUGAAGUUUAAAGAUUUAUGAUAACAAAGAGGACCUUCGGAUUAUCGAAAAUUCUUCGAAGCAACAAAAAGUCGUUCUAAGGAACGCAGAGUAAGUUUGCCGAAGUCACAAAAAGCCGCUCCAGAGGGAGCGCAGUGUAAGUUUUCUGCUCCAAAGUCGUUCCAAAGGGAAUGCAGAGCAUACAGCGAAAAGUCAACGCUGAUACCGCCUAAGUAAAAGGCGAAGCGCGAAAAGUCAACGUGAAUACCGCUGAAAGUAAAAGGCGAAGAAGCUCCUAAGGGAGGCUUACAGCGAAAAAUAAACGCUGAUUCCGCUGAAGUAAAAGGCGAAGAAGCUCCUAAGGGAGGCUUAUAAAAGAUUAUGUGUUUUAUUGCAGGGAUGCGUGUGCAUCUUCGGAAUAAACAUCACCUCACAUAACAUAACAUCAUCGCAUCAUUUCGCAUAGCAUAAGCAUCAUACAUCAUGUUGCACAUGGCACAAGAGGUGGACACAAUAUUAAUCUACAGAAGAACGUUUUGAAAAAAGGGAAAACGUUUUGAAAAAAGGGAAAAAUCAUAAUGUCACAAGGAGAUACAUUAUUGAUCUUCGGAGGUGUUGCUUCGGAAAAUAUCUUCACGAAGCCUGGAUAUUAUUCAUCAGAACACUGGAUAUUGUUGUGACAAAGAAAAAUUCUUCUUCACGAAGCAUGAAAAGAAGGGAAGGUGUUUUUUCGUCAAAGACUCAAAAGCGGUACGUGUAAAGUUUCAUGCAUCGUAAAGAAUUGAGCAAUAAAAACAGGUAUAUUACAUUCAGGGUUACAAAAUGUUACAAUAUAUUACAUUUCAGAAGUUUUUACAAUAAUACUUAAUCUUCUCUCAAAACGACUUCUGCAGCCUCGUUCAGGAGCCGAUUGACGACUUCGUCCAUAAUAGCUUCAGCCAUCUUUUUAAUUUCGUCGUCUCCUUUCGGCUGAGGGCCCGAAGACGCUUUAGCAGGAUCUGAAGUAGGACAGGAUACGGCUACAUUGCUAUUACAAAUUGCAAACGAAUCUUAAAACCUAAAAUUACAACACAAUAAAAACUAUUAGUUAAUACCUAAUUGACCUUCGGGCUCUGCGCUCUUCUCAGCAGCCUCAGCUACUUCUCUAGCAUCGUGAAUGCCCUUUUCGCUUUUUCGAAUAAUUUCUCGGGCCAUUUCUCGGCCACCAUUAUCCCAGAUAUCGGUGAAAAAUUUUCCACCAACCAUGCUAGCUUCGGCCGAUGGAUCCCUUGCAUCUUCGAAGGACAAAGCACCUUCGGAUUGCGCUAAAAUCUUUACAUGUUCGCAGCCCUUUUUCUCUAAAAUGGUGGCAAUUCCUCUGGCACCCGAGAAAGCACAUAUAUCUCCACGGCUAUUUAAAAUUUCCUCGAAGGCCUCAGCUUCGUGAUCGAUCCAUUCGAUGGGACCUUCGGGAUUGCCUCUUGUAAAGUUUUCUUCGCUUGAGAAUGCGCCGACCCUGGCGAAGCUAGUUUUUAACUUCUUAACACACUCUAUAGAUUUGUUAUAGCAUCUCUUCUUGGACGAACGAAGCUCUUCAACAGUUCCUUCUAAGUGAUCUGUCCAUUGGUCGCUGAGUUCCCGCUUCGUUUCUUCAAGUAUGCGUUCUUCCUUGACUCGGGCCAGUUGUUUCCGAAGAUCUUCAAUUUCGCGCUUUUGAGCCUCAGCCUGACCUUUAAAAGCAGCUUCGUCUUCCUUUAUUUUAUUUAUCAAUGAAUGUAAUAUUUUAUCUUUUUCGAGACCUUCGUUCCUCAGUUCAAUUACUUCGGAACAAAGGUUGCUCAGGGCUAUAGUACACCCUUCGUCUUCAGCAUCUUUCUGUGCCCUGAGGGCAUUGCUAAGUAUCAGGCCCUGCAGAGAGAAAUAUGUGUGUGUCAAUAGAUUUAAGUAAAUGAAAAAUUUUGGUCCCAGCAAAAAAUUACAAAGAUUCCAUUUGUUGUACCUUUAAGCUAUUAUAUGCCAGGCUGUCGGCCAAAUCAUUUUUCGAUAGCACUGAGAGCCCGUCUUCCAGUGUUGGGAAUCCGAAGCUCUUGCUCAUCUCCCGGCAGACAGAAAUCUCUUUGCUGUCAGGGAGACAAUACAAAAAGUCUUCUUCUCCACUGCCAUUGAAUAUUAAUGCCCCCUUUGGAUACUUCAGUUUUUGGGCGUAAAGUUGGGCCUCUUGUUUUUCUUUUUCUGAUAAUUGUUUCCCCGAAGCAUGGCGAACAAUAUAAUCAAGGACUUUGGGGGAUGCUUCGGGGGCAGCAGCACUGAUUUCCUCAACAAAAGUUGGCUCUGUUAUUUUUUCUUCCUCGAUUUCCAGGGAUUUUAUCUUCGUGGGUUCUGAGGACCCAGCUUCGGCUUCAGUUUCUUGCUCUGGAGCUUUAGUAUCAGAGACUUCAGUUUUUUCUUCGGGGAUGACAACAGUCUUCUUCGGAGGUGUGCUUGAAGAUUUAAUUGUCUCCAGAACAUCUAGCACAUUGACCAUUCUCUUCCUUUUCGGAGUCACUGCUGGCACCUUUUGGUUUUUUAUUGUCUCAAUAUUUGCUGCAGGACUCAAAACUUCUGAUAUCUUUGAUCCCUCAGUUACUUCUUUUACUUCUUCCAUUUUUUCUGUGGAUGGCGCUUCGGCCUUCUCUUUCGUUUCUGGUAACAAAAUCUUCGGUUCUUCCAAUUCUAUCCUUGUUGGCGCUUCGGCCGUUUCUGCGACUUCUGGCAGCAAGGUUGGCUCGGUUGGUUUUUCAGCUUCGGUGGCCGAAGAGGUUUCCCCGGUAAACUUAGGCACCGAAGCUGGUUCAAUAUAGCGCGGCCGAUGUGUGAGGACCUUUAUCCUCUUUCUUUUCGGUUCUGGCUCGCUAGGAGCAGUUGCAGCUUCUUCUUUCGCAGAGGUUGUGUUUUUUCUUUUCUGCCCUCGAAUGGGAUAACGAUAGUCAGGGUAGACGAACCCGAUUCAGCCUCUUCUUUUUUCGGCCUCCGAAGGCUGCUGACAGUGCAGUAUCUUCGGCCUUCGAAUAAGCCCCAAGCAGUUCAUCACUUAAAUUUUCAAUGCUUUUUAACCAGUCAUCAUCUGGCUCAACGAAUUUAUCUCCAAACUUAAAAGUGUACUUCAACCUGAUAAGUCCACCUUCGUCGGCCUCUUUUAUGGUUUCUUGCGGCAUUUCCCAUUUCUCCGCAAGUGGCCAUACCCUGAAGGCAAUAUGCUCUUGUACCAAAUCUCUCGUUCCAAUAAAAGAACAGAUAACGCCGAAGGCUCUCUGGCAUUCUUCGGCAGCUUCAUUCAUUUCAACCUUCGGCCUCCGAAGGCCGAAGCUUUGCCAAAUAGGACGCAUAAUUAUACCUUUGAUAUCUUCUCGCACUGACAGGUCAUUCUUCACAUAAAACCAUUCUGUCAUCCAGUCGCCGGGCCAUCUCUUCCGAAAGGUUGGCACGGGACAGCUUGACCCGGACCGAGAAACGAAACUAUAGCAGCCAAAAUUAUUGUGAUACUGUUCCUUACCCCAAGGUUUUGUUUCGUAUGAUAAUUCGUGUAUAUUGCAGAAGCUUCUUGCAUCAGGCUUCAGACCUUGGCUUCUCACGGCCCACACGAAGAUAUUCAGCCUUAUGAUUGCCUCGGGGGUAAGUUGGUGAAGAUAGACUUCGAAGAUUUUCAGCACCUCCACGACGAAGCUGCUCAAGGGAAAUCGCAGCCCAGCUUUCAAAAAGCUUCGGUACACUACGACUUCAUUCUCUUCAGGGUGUGGACAAGUCUUCUCCCCUUCGUCGGCCCUCACAACGGACAAAUCCCGGAAAUACCUUCCUCUCAUGUUGACAAGAUGAUUCUCUUUGAUAGUUGAUUUACCAUAAACUGAAUGGAUUGGUCGCCAGGGACGAUCUUUGGAGUCUUCACCACCGCUGUCCACAUCAUAACUGUCGCUGUCACCAGUAUCCUCAGACAAACCUUCUAGAAUCUCCUUGGUGAUUUUUUCUGUGUUGGUCUUCGACAUCGCUAUAAGAAACCCCAAGUUUUUCUCUUCGUCAAGACUCAGCUUCAUCUCAGCAGCAGCCUUCUUAUCUUCAGACAUCUUCGGAAACACUAAAAAACUGUUUUCAAAGCCGAAGCUUCAAAACUAAAAGCUCAGCAAAUCUUAGUGCACAAAAGCUAAAAAUUGAGUGAGCGAGAGCAGAUGGCAAGAGAGCGUGCCAAAUGAGUUUGCAGUAUGACCGUAUUUAUACGCCCAGUGCGUUGAAAAUUGAAAGACCCCGCUUGUCAGUGAAUGUUGCUAUUCUAGCAAAGGGAAGGUGUUUUUUCGGACCUUCGGCGUAAAGCCUUCGUCCAGGUCGCAAUCUAAAUUUAUUAUUUUAAACAAAUUAAUAUUGCGAGGGGCUACUGUUGGGGGCCUUCGGCUUACGAAGGUCCUCAAAAACAGGAUUUAACAGUAUUUCUGGAGUUUAAUGUGUGAACAGGCAUCUUCGGACUCAAGUCGGUAUCACAGCAGACCAGAAUAAUACGAAGGUUGAUACAGCGCCGAAGGUGUGAGCAGGAAAGCUUCGGCAUGAUAGCAAAAUGAAACCGACUUAAAGAUGAAACGGCUAUCCAGACCUCGAUAGAUUACAAUAGAAUUAUUAUCAAAUGUAAAGGGCAUGAAUGUAAUUUUGCAUAGGCUGUGUCCUGUGCCUAUAAAUAGGUGGACAGUACCCCCGUACUGUUCACGCUGAUUGGACAUUCGCUUUUGCGUCACGCUUGUACUUUCAUCUCCUUCAAGUUGAAGGUACAUUUGUAAUUCAGCGUUAUUUCUGUUUCUAAAUAAUAAUAAGUAUACAAUUGUCUAUGCUAUCUUUUAUAUUCCUUAUAAUUCAUCCUUCGUCACUGUAAAGUGUAUUUAUGAAGGUGUGCCCUUCAUAACCUUCGUCCGAAAACCAUUAUAUCCUGAGGGGAAUAAUGCUUCGAAGGACGAAGGACUUUACCGAUUAAUAUUUUUUAUGUUGCCUUGUUCUUAACUCAUAGCAUUUGAGAACAAGUCCCCAACAGGGUACAUGUUACUCAUGCUUUGCACACUUGCUCACUCUCUUUUCCCUCUUAUCUAGGGUUUUGGGAGAUAGGGUUUAAGAGAGGUCUAGGGUUCUUCUCCCCUCUUAUCCAAGGUAGUAAGUGUGCAAGGAUUAGAGUAAUGCUUCUUAGGUCAUUGGCAACUUGAUUAGCACAUGAUCUCCAAAGUUCUUAUGUGUUGCCCUAAGCCUCUACCACAUAUAAUUCACAGUCCUUAGUGCCAAGGUGUGCUCUAGCCAUGAUAACACCUGGGGUGUUACAAUAAUGUUUACUUUUUGGAUAUAUAUUGCAUAAUUUGAUGGGAUUUGCCUAAAUAAGGAUUCCCUAGAAUUAUCAACCCUAUUCCUUGAAUUACCCUGGGAUAAAUGCUAUGCUUAGCAAUUUUUGCUACUGCUCAACUUGAUGAAUAUGAAGUCACUCUUUGAUGAUACUAUGUUCUAGAAAAGUUUUAUUAUAUUGUUAACCCGAUGGUUAAACAAGAACAUUUUUGUGAUAAAUGGAACAUGGAGUGACCACCCAGGAUAACAGUGCAACCAUGAGUGCUAUCAUGGCUCUGGCUUUGGUAAUUCGAUCUAUAGACUUAGUGCAUAGCAACCCUACCUGAAAGAGGGCAAGAGGGGGCGGCAGUGGUUUGGUGGUAGCUCACGUUAACAUGGGGUGGUAGUCUUGGCUAAGUUACCUCACCUAGAGGGCCAUAAAUACUGACGUGGAAACCUUAGCGGGUGGCUUUGUACUAAGGAUAUUUUGUGAAAGUCUCAUAAUGGAUCCCUAGCCAUUCACCUUGGCAGUGUUUACGGGUCUGAUCAACCCAGGCUAGAUGGGAUACAUGGCUUGUGGGUAAAGUUGUACCACCUCUGCUGAGUGUAAAAAUGAUAUGUCAGUCGUGCUCACGGUUAAGAGCAACCUGGACCCUCACUUGAUAAUUGAACUUAAAUAUGGACGAUAAAUCGAGAUUUGAUGAUCUACCAAUGGUUUGCUUAAUUGGUUUCACUUAAGUACUUUUGAUAUAAACUUAUACCUUUGUUUAAUUGGGAUACUUGAGAUACACACUUAUUAGUAAGACAGGUGUUGCUAAUAUAAUAUUGACCAACUAAAAUGCUUACCGCUUAUCCAUAGCCUUUCUUGUUAACUUGCAUUAAUUUUCCCCCACUUGCUGAGCCUCGACCAUAAGUGAGCUCACCCUUGCUAAUAUUUUGAUCAGAGGGUGAUGCUGGAGACUUCGCUGGUGACGAUGAUGAGUUUUAAGUCUAACGAUGCGCCAGUCACCUUCCUGUGGAAGAGUGUCCAUAUUUAAUUCCGCCCUACUUUGAUGUUGAUACUUGUUAAAGAUACAAUGAUUCAGAUGAUGUAAUAAAGUAUUUUACUCUCUUUAUGCCUUUAUUGCAUUGUCUUUUGAUAUAUUACACUUGUGACGUCAACAUAUGUGUGGGAAAUGGAUCCUGGCCCACAAUGCUAAGCAUUCGGUUUUGCCCCUAGAACUGGGUGUGACGUAAGUGGUAUCAAAGCAAUGUUGACUCUAGGUUGUUAGAUUAGUUAGAAAUAGAAAACCUAGUCUAUUCAAAACAUGCUAAUUUUGUCCUUACAAAAUUAUUUCAUUAACCUUACCUCUUUAAACAUCAACUAAGUUGAGAUUUUCUCUUAUAGAUGGUCCGUACCAUUCAAACCACUCGGAUCAACACCAACUUCAUUCCUCCACCAUGACAAGUUCCUGUCUACCCAGUGGUAGUUGAGGAAAUUCCUGUGGAUCUCCCUCGCAUUCGAGUGGAGCGUGGAGUCGUCUUGGAGGGCAGUUCGGAGGAACUUCUACCUAUGCCCAACCCGUUGGCAGAAUCACUAGCCUUCGUAGCUAGAUCAUCAACCUCAGCACCUCCUGCACCAGCAGUUCAAGCCCCUGCUCCCAGCGGAAACAACUCGGACGACUCUGGGGAUGACGACGACGAAGAAGAUGACGAGGAGAACGUCAACGAAGAAACCAACGAAGAACAGAAGGACCACUACAUGGGGUUAUGGCCUGUCACUGAACAUUACAUCUCAAUGUUCGAGACAGGUCAUGAUACGACCACGCCAUUAAGCAACACGUUACAACCUCCAAGUCAUACUACAUCAACUCAAGUACAACCAACAUCAUCACCAACCCAAGUCUUUGAUGGACCAAUUACACGUAGCCGAGAUAAGAAGCUACAACAAGAGGUGCACGCGCUACUUUAUGAAUUUCAAUUAAACACUAAUGAGAACUUUAUGCUAUCUAAGUCGUGUAUGUUGAUAUUACUUAGGUUCACCAAAGAGGAAGGACAAAACAUAUCAAGGGCGAAUCAAUAAGAAGAGCUAUGUCCGAGUCAGUCCAGCGCAACAGAACCGUCCAGAAGAAACAGUCAUAUCUUUUGAUUUCUAAAAGCUAUGAAGGCCCAUAAGUACUUUUUGGAAAGCUUUUGAAGUCUAGUUUCCAAUGCUUCUAAGGCCGACUUAAUCAAAUCUACCAGAAAGGCAGCCGACCUACUUUAGUGCUGACUGGUCAGAAGGUCAACAGUCUAUUUGAUGACCAAGUUUUCGUAUUAAACUGCAUCAAUCUAUGAAGUUUCAUUAAGUAUGUUAUACAUGGUGAGAAAGCUUAUCAAGUUAGCUUUUCAACGCAUCCGGCCCCAUGUCAUUUGGAGAUUUAUAGAGACGUUAUUAUCAAAAUACUGAAGGCUGCCCAGAAGUCAAAUAGCCACACGAAAUUUAGCUCUACAGAUCUCCCGAAGAGGCUCCUCCACAUUAGCACAUGAAAAUACUUUUGUUUCGUGUUUAUACCUCUCUAAGGAUGGUUGUUACUAGUAUAAAUAGCCCCUAAGUCUAUGAUGUAUGGCACCUUUGGAUAAUCUAAAAACAGAACCCUUUUUGUUCAGUUGUGUGCUAACAAAUAUUGAGAGUGAUCUCUACCCCCUUUGCUCUUGUGAAUUCCUUCACGGGAUUGCAGAAGCGGCGACUUCAUCCGCUCCCAAGUGGUGCUCCUACUCCCUUCGAGGUCUCCUCGAUUGAUUGUAGGAUGUGUUGGUUGGUUCUUUGAGAGUGUGGUUGGGCGAAUCCUCGAUUCAGGUUGCCGGUUAAAGACAGUCGUUGGCUUCGAGUUUUAUUUGUCAGGUUGCACUAGUUAUCGUUGCUUGCAGUAAGUUAUCUUGGUUUCUUCGAAGCUAGUUAUCUAAAGAUUGAUCAUACAUCGUGAAGAUCGGGCAUCAUGACGCAUCAGGGCACUUCCCUAACCUGCUGCAAGACGUGUUGCACGUGUUGGGAACCUACGUCCGACCCCUAUAUGAGACAAGGCGAGUGUACGAGCCUCCUCGGGCUUGCUACUAUAUCACGCGCAUUCAUGUCAGGGUGAUGGAUGCAGGUGAUAGAGGGUUAAGGACUCUAUCAACACAUGAGUCUCUGACGCCGCUAACCACCUACGCUGCUUCGGUCAGCGACGCUGCUAGGUGAACGCUGUGGUCUCUCAACCACACCUACCGGCAACAGCUACACAACAUGAAGUACAGGCAUCUUCCUUUGCGUAUUCGUGGAGAGAACUAGACCAGCAUCGUUCUAGGUGGAGCUGGAAAAGAUCGCCUCAACACCCUAGCUGGUGUAGUGGCAGGUCCUAACACUGAUCUGGAUAGUGCUACCCUGCACCUCUCUAGGGUACACUUAGAGCUAGAGGAUGCACAUGCAAGGAUUGCAGCCCUGGAAGCUCAGCUUGAUGGAAGGAAUCCCCUGGAAGUUCAAGUCCCCACCAUGGCGUUAUCCCCUCCCCGCAAGAGGAUCCGCUUUGGAGAACCAGGAUCCAUCACCAAACUGCUUUAGAUUUUAAAAUUUAUAUUGUAACAAGUUAGUUUCCGCGAUAGACGAAAAACAUCUUUUAUAUUAUUACAAUAUUAAUAAUAACAACCAUGUGAUGAUGUUGUUUGAAAUGUUUGAUUUGGAUUUUUGCUUGAGUGUGAUGGUCUUAUGGAAUGAUGGCCAUAAGAGCAUAUAAAAAAUAUAUCACAAUAGACUUAACAUUAAUAAUAAGCUAUUCCCCUUAGAAUCUUCUCUACUCCUCACUUACCCCGGGAGUGCACUUUCUAACCGAACAGAUGGUGAACACUCGAUCAGGUCCCAAUAGUCACCAGCACCAGCGUGGUCAGUAGUUGCCACCACCACCACCCAAUCCCAUGAUGGAUCAGUUCAUUGCCACGCAGAUGCAACUUCUGCAAGGACUUACCGCGUCAGUACAACAGAUUCAGUAGAAUCAGCAAAACCAACAGUACCAACAACAACAGCAACACACACCAGGCUAGAGACAAGCAUCGGGACUUCACGAGUCAUCACCCGCCUGCUUUCUCUCACACAGUAGACCCUUUGGAUGCUAAUGACUGGCUUAAAGUCAUUGGAAAUAAGUUAGACAUCACCUAGUGCAAUGACCGAGAAAAGGUCUUGUACGCUUCAGUAAGACUUGAAGGAGCCGCGUCCGAUUGGCGGGAUUCCUUCACUGCGGCACACACCAAUGUUGAUGCCAUAACUUGGCAGGAGUUCCAAGUGAACUUCUGCGCUCAUCAUAUUCCCUCGGGAAUUAUGAAGCUGAAGAAGAAGGAGUUCCUUUCCCUCACUCAAGGGAACAUGUUCGUCAGUGAGUAUCGUGAUCGCUUCACCCAGCUUUCACGUUACGCCCAGAGGAAGUUGACACCGACAAGAGGUGCCAAUAACGUUUCUUGGAAGGCUUGAUUGGACCCUUGAACUACCAACUACAGAGCCACAGUUUCCCCAAUUUCCAGACUUUUCUGAACAAGGCAAUUGACCUUGAAAACAAAAGGAAAGAAUUGUCCGACCAUAAAAGGAAGUACCAAGGGCAGACCAGCAGAAACACUCGACAAAACAACUCCCAAGGUUCUCAGUUCCCCUCUGGAAAUCAGAGUGGAAACAACAACUAUCAAGCACAGCGCUUUGGACAACAAAGCCAGAGGAACAAUCAAUACCAGAACCAGCAGAGAAGCAAUACUCAGACCGACCGAAGGUCUAGUGGGCAACAACAGAAUCGUCAUGGAAGCACAGUGAACACACCAGCCAAGAAUAACAAUGCAACUAGCCCAGUUCAACUGAAUGGCUGUUUCAAGUGUGGCGAACUUGGCCACUAUGCCAACAACUGCCCCAGACGUAACCCACAAACACCCCAGAAGAACAACAACCAGAGGAAUGAUCAGAACACCCCUGCUCGUGGAUCUGCAUAGAACAAGACUCCGCAGAACUAGAGUAGAGGAAGAGUCAACCAUGUGACAGCAGAAUCAGUUCCUGAGGAUGCCGACGUGGUGUAUGGUAUGUUUCUUAUUAACUCCAUACCUGCAAUAGUUUUAUUUGAUUCUGGAGCAUCUCAUUCCUUUGUAACAAAGUCAUUCAUGGAAAAACAUAAUAUACCAAACUAUCCUUGAAGAAGAAACUAUUAAUCUGAUCACCAGGAGGUGAACUUAGAGCUACUCACUCAUGCCCUUGGACUAAGAUUGAAAUUAGAGGCCUAAGUUUUCUAAUAGAGCUGAUAAUUUUGGAAUCAAGUGGAAUCAAUGUAAUACUUGGAAUAGACUACUUGACCAAGUAUGAUGGAGUGAUAUCUUGUGCCAAGAGGAUGGUUACAUUAACCAGUCCACAAGGAGAAAGAAUUGAAGUCAAUGUCAGUAUGCCAAUAACAGUAGAGACAAUGGUAAAUCAGUUGGAAGAGAAAUCUUUGUAGCACAUUAGGAUAGUGUGCGAAUACCCAGACGUAUUUCCGGAGGAAUUACCAGGUAUGCCACCUGAUCGUGAUAUAGAGUUUUCUAUUGAACUAUUACCCGAAACCGCACCCAUUUCGAAAAGAGCUUACCGAGUGGAUGUCAAAGAUUUAAUUGAACUGAAGAAACAAUUAGAAGAAUUAUUAGAAAAAGGUUUUAUUCACCCCAGUUCAUCACCAUGGGGAGCCCCAGUUCUAUUCGUGAACAAGAAAGAUGGUUCAAGAAUAAUGUGUUUAGACUAUAGAAGUUUGAACGAAGUAACGAUCAAGAAUAACUACCCGUUACCUCGGAUUGAAGAUCUGUUUGAUCAGAUGAGAGGAGCUACAAUAUUCUCAAAGAUAGAUCUAAGAUCAGGCUAUCAUUAGUUGAAGAUUCGGACUGAAGAUAUACCUAAAACAGCUUUCACUACAAGAUAUGGACUAUAUGAGUUUUUAGUCAUGUCUUUUGGACUGACUAAUGCACCAGCUUACUUUAUAGAACAUGAUGAAUAAAGUAUUCAUGGAAUACCUUGACCAGUUUGUAGUGGUAUUCAUUGAUGACAUACUAGUAUACUCUCAGAAUGAAGAAGCACAUGAAGAUCAUCUGAGAUUGGUUCUACAGAAGCUUCGCGACAAUCAGUUAUAUGCGAAAUUUUUGAAGUGUGAUUUUUGGCUAAAGGAAGUUGCUUUCCUAGGUCAUAUUAUCACCAAUGGAGGAAUCAAAGUAGACCCCGAUAAAAUAAGUGAAAUACUAAAUUGGAAACAACCCACAGAUGUGUCCAAGAUUAGGAGUUUUCUUGGAUUAGCAGGAUACUACAGAAGAUUUAUCGAAGGCUUCUCUAAAAUAGUGAAACCUCUUACUUCACUGUUGGAGAAAGGUAAAUAGUUCAAGUGGGAUGAAGCAUGUCAGAAAUGUUUUGAGGAGUUAAAGGAAAGGCUAACCACUGCACCAGUGUUAAUUAUGCCUGAUAUUCAUAAAGGAUUCGAUGUGUAUUGCGAUGCAUCACAACUAGGACUUGGAUGUGUGUUAAUGCAAGAAGGAAAAGUGAUUGCAUAUGCUUCAAGGCAGUUACGGAAGCAUGAAAAGAAUUAUCCUACACAUGACUUGGAAUUAGCUGUCGUAGUGCACGCUUUGAAGAUUUGGAGGCACUACAUGAUUGGGAACAAGUGUAAAAUCUUCACGGAUCACAAAAGCUUGAAAUACAUCUUCACGCAGAAAGAACUCAACCUAAGACAGAGAAGAUGGAUUGAGUUAAUCAAAGACUAUGAUUUGGAAAUACAAUAUCACCUAGGAAAAGCAAAUGUAGUGGCAGAUGCUUUGAGCCAUAAAGGUCAGGUGAACAACAUCACUACUCAUUUGAUGGCACAGAAAUUGUGCUGGGAGAUGGAACAACUCAAUCUUGGAAUGCUCAAUAAUAUGGAAGCAACAGUUAUGGAAGUUGAAUCUACUUUAGAAGAAGAGAUUCGUAAAGGACAGGAGACUGAUGAGAAAAUCAAGGAAAUUAAGACACAAAUUAGUUUGGGAAAAGCCCCAGAUUUCAUAGAAGAUGAUCAAGGCACAUUAUGGUUUAAAAAGAGAAUCUGUGUACCAGAAAUCGAGCACCUACGCCAACUUAUCUUAAGAGAAGCCCAUGAUUCAGCUUAUUCUAUUCACCCUGGAAGUACUAAGUUGUACCAAGAUCUUAAGGAAAGUAUUGGUGGUAUGGUUGGAAAAGAGAUGUGGCUACUCAUGUUGCACUAUGUGACGUGUGUUAGCGAGUUAAAGCCAAACAUCAAAGACCAACAGGAUUGCUACAAACUCUCAAAGUAUCGGAAUGGAAGUGGGAAGAAAUCAGUAUGGAUUUCAUAGUUGGACUACCUCGUACUCGAGAUGGCUAUGAUUCAAUAUGGGUUAUAGUGGACAGGUUGACUAAAGUGGCACACUUUAUACCUGUGAAGACAACCUACUCAGGAGCCCAGUUAGCAGAGUUAUACAUGUCAAGAAUUGUUUGUCUGCACGGAGUACCAAAGAAGAUUGUAUCGGAUCAAGGAACCUAAUUUACCUCGCGCUUUUGGAAAAGAUUACAUUAGUUUAUGGAUACCAAACUAAACUUUAGUUCAGCUUAUUAUCUGCAAAUAGAUGGACAAACGGAAAGAACAAACCAAGUGUUGGAAGAUAUGCUGAGAGCUUGCGCUCUAAAGCAUGGUAGAAGCUGGGAUAAAAGUUUGCCUUAUGCAGAAUUCUCAUAUAACAAUAGUUACCAGGCAAGUUUAAAAAUUGCACCGUUUGAAGCACUUUAUGGACAAAAGUGUAGAACAUCGCUUUAUUGGAAUCAGACCGGAGAAAGUCAAGUAUUUGAUCCAGAAAUUCUCCAAGAAGCAGAAAAGCAAGUACAGAUUAUCAGAGAGAAUUUGAAAACAACACAGUCGAGACAGAAUAGCUAUGCUGACAAUAGAAGAAGGGAGUUGAUAUUUGAAGUAGGAGACUUCGUAUACCUUAAAGUUUCACCGAUGAGAGGCAUGAAAAGAUUUAAGGUUAAGGGUAAACUAUCUCCUCGCUACAUUGGCCCGUUCAAGAUUUUGGAAAGAAAAGGUGAAGUAGCAUACCAGUUAGAGCUACCCGAUAGUUUGUCAGAUGUGCAUGACGUAUUUCAUGUGUCACAACUUAAAAAUGCUUAAGAGUACCGGAGGAGCAAUUACCUAUGGAAGAACACAAUUUUAAGGAAGAUUUGACUUAUUCAUAGUACACUGUCAGAAUUCUGGAAACAUCUCGCAGAAUUACACUGAAUAAAGUUAUCAACAAGUGUAAAGUUCAAUGGAGUCAUCAUUCAAAAGAUGAGGCCACUUGGGAAAGAGAAGAUGAACUUAGAGCAGAAUUUCCCCAGUUAUUCUCAGAAGUUGCUUAAUCUCAAGGACGAGAUUCUUUUAAGGGGAUAGAUUUGAAACACUAUAAAAACCAUCAACUAAAAAUAAUGCAUUUAGUUUAUUAGUGGUAAUUAUGGUAAUGAAUUUUUCUUCUAAUGUUUGAUAUUUAUUUGCAUCUAGAAUAAUUUUAUUUGCUCAUUUUUUAUUUUUGGAUGUUUAGUAGAAUUCUUUUAUAUUGAAAAUCCAAUUAAAUAAUAUAGAAAUAUUGGUCCAAAAAUAAAUAUUUUAGUUAUAAAUAAUUUUGAUAUAAUUAUUAUAAUUUUUAGAAUUUUUAAAAAUAUAUUUGUUUAUAUUUUUAAAUAAGAAAAGAAAAAAAGAAAAAAAACGAAAACCGAAAACCUAGCCAAACCGGCCAUUUCGGCCCAAUAGGCCCAACCGGCCGCACCCCCAACCCCCUCCUCCCUCUCUCCCUAUGAUGCGUGGGGCCCACCCGUCAGGGCCCCCUCGUCUUCCUCCCUGGCCACGCCGCCACACCCUCGCGCGCGCCUGGCCAAGCCGCCAUGCCGCCGCGACCCAUGCCCCUCGACGUCCGCGCCGAGCGCCCUCGGUCGAGCCCGACCCCGCGUUCCCUCCUCUCCCUCGCGUGCCCGGCCGUUUCCCUCUCUCCCUCCCCACGUUCUCCUUAAUGACUGUUGGGACGAAGGCGAACACACCACCCUUCGCUCGUCGACUUUGUCCUCGCCUUGCGCAGGCGAAGGCUGGAUCCAUAGAGCCCGCCGGACAGGCCAAGGGCGCGAACCGGAUGGAGGCCUGUUCGACCCCCUUCGCUCACACAAGACAAGAUGACGACCCCGCCGAAGUCUACGGGACCUCCCACUUCCUUUCCACGGGGAGAGGCCCAUGUACGGUUCGGCCCACAGAGUUGGGGCCCACGUGGACAUGCGUGAUUUGGGUCGUGUCUAUAAUAAAGUUUACCGUAAUGACUGUCUGUAACCUCCCCUUGUGGGAAUAUUAUGGGGAUAAACCAGGUACUCAAGGGUCUAAAUGUCUUUGACAGGGACAAGAAGCCCCUCGAGUACCUAUAAAUACCCCCGUACUAUGCCCAGGCACAGGGAGAUUAACGUGGCUUUUGACAUCCCGUGUUAGCAGCACAAACUCUCUUCCCAUUCCCCCGUUGGAUCAACCUGUCUAAAAGGGUAGGUUCCAACAUUUGGCGCCCACCGUUCGUGUGACGAAAAAACAACCUGCGAUGGCCCCCAAGAGAGCAACUUCGAAGGCUACCGCAUCCAUUGACGACGCGACGAAGGCAGCACUACUGGCGGAGAAGAAAGGCAAGGCCCUCGCGGACACCACCCCCCAAGAGGCCUUCGAAGAUAACGCUGUCAAUAGCAAGAGACAGCGCCAGGACCACCCCACCCCCGAUGGCACUGUACGCACCUGCAGUUCCGAGGGCGCACCACAAGCACCACCACUAGGCUUCGCUCCGCCAGAGGGCGAAGACACCAUAGAGGAUGGAGAAGUCAUCAGCAUCUCAGCCGAAGACCAGCUAAAGCUACGAGCUCUACGCAUAAAAAACAACCAUCUGCAAAAGCAGAAAGAAAUCCUCGAAGCCAAGCGCCAACGAGUCACCAUGCAAGCCAAGGUGUGUUACAUGAUACAAGAUGAGGAGCAGAGAGCUCAGGAGCUAGAGCAAGAGAUCACGCUCAUACAAGGCGAAGGCCAAUAAAACUUGCAGCGCGGACCCCUCGCACCGCCAACGCCUCUCCAGCAAUACAUUCAAGCCGGAGACCCAUUCCAACCACAACGCGACGCCUUCAUUCCACCAGCCGCCGCUUUCCAGGGGAUCAACUAUCUCGACGAGUGAAGUCCUCUGGCUCUGCAGCUCCAAGCAUCACCCUAGCCCGUCAAUUUCAGGGCCGGCACCUACCCGAAAUACAACAGCAGCACCGACCCAGCUCAGUACAUCAUGAGCUACCAGGUCGUCGUCGCAUCAUCCGGAGGGGACGACGCCACCUUGGCCAAGUCCUUCAUCAUCGCACUCGAAGGCCUGGCCUUAACUUGGUACACCAAGUUACCGCCACUGUCCAUCGAGUCCUGGAAAGGGCUUCGCGACAAGUUCCUGCUCAACUUUUGUAAGGCCCAAAAUUUGUAUAAGAAAAAAAAAUAGUAAAUUCAGAAAUCUCGAAUUAUACUUGAGUACUGAGAAUCGAGGACUGAAUUUUGAAAACGAAGAAUUAUUUUGGAAAAAUAGAAAAGUUUUCUAUCCAACUAAAUAAUUAUGCAUAUCAUUAAAUGAUGCACCAUGAGCAUUUAUUUGCAUGAAUAUCAAAUUUUGAAGUGACUUUUAUUUCUCAUCCCACAUUCAAAAUUUUAUUUUUCUAAAAAGAAAGGAAUAAUAUGAGUGUGUUUCAUAUUUCAAACAUUUAUCAAACAAAUAAAUUAAUUAGAAUAAAUAGAUAUCUAUUUGCUUCAUAAUUGAUUUUGAGUAUGUAUUGAAUUUGAAUUUUUAAGUCAAAAAGGAAUAAUGUGUGAAUAUAUUAAUGAGAUGAGAAUUGGGAUUUAACCCAAAGAUACAAUUUAGGAAUUGGAAAAUGGAAAUAGGAAAUAAUAUAUAUAAAGCAAGAGCGAAAACACUAUGCAAAACAAAAUAAAUUUAUAAAUAAAUAAAACUUAUCCAUGCUAUGUUCAGAGGAAUUGAACAUAUAAAUGUGAAGACGAAUUUGCCAUGAACUUUGAAUUUAAAAUUGAAAAUAAAUAAGAAAAGAAAUUGAGAAGAAAAGGAAAUAAAAAGAAAAAGAAAAUAAGAAAAUAAGACGCGUCUUGGGCUGAAUUCGUCACCCCGCGGCCCACCUCCUUUUCCCUCUCCCCUCUCCUUGGCCCAGGAAUACCUCCGCCGGUGCUGACGAGUGGGCCGGUCUCACACGCACUCACUGCCACGCGGGUCCCGUCUGGCAGUCACACACGACGCGCGCGCGGAUUGCUCCAUGUUGUGGCGAUGACGGAUGGGCCUGCUAGGACAGCUCUAUUGUCUUCCCCUGUUAUCCACCUCCGUUCCGCAUGGCCAGCCUUCCAUUCCGGAAUCUGCCGCGAUCUGUUCAAUGGGAUACCCCUCGAUCCGAAACCCGCGCUGGCCUGAGUCUAUCCUCCGGUGCUAUCACUGGCACAUGGAUCGCGUGCUCAGUUUGUUCAUCCCGGCGCGAGUCGUUCUCACGGAACGCCGUACUGGGCGGAGCCGGAGCUCAACUGCCCGCGCCAAUCGCGGUUCGGUAGGUAGUAGAUUUGGAACCGAGCUCCGCCAGGAUUUAAGCGCUGGUCGGGCUUCCUGUUACCUCUCCUGCCUACCCUUGUGCAAAGCCGUCAACACCACCGCGUGUAGGGAGAGAUUUGGGGAGGAAAGAGCGCCGCUCGGCCGUUUUCGCACCCACCACCACUAGUGACCUCCGUCCGCAUCGACUCUCCUCUAGGUGUUUGGACCCGUGGCUUCAUCGUCGGGUCUGAAGUGCACGCGGGGAGUCACUGGGCUUGGGGAGCCGGCCAAACAUGGGAAAUUUCUCAUCGGAGAAGUCCUCCGCCACCGAACCUUGGGGCUGCCGCGGGGCGAUUCUCGUGCGCCGCCGCACGGGACGAAUUGGGUGGUCUAGACAAACUGCCGCAUCAUCCCGCGUGUAGGCGUAUGUUGGCCGUGCGAAGAGACCCACCCGAAGUGCCCUAAUUGCUCGUCGAUGUCGGAUGUUCCGCCGCCAUGCUACUGCUCCCGUGGGCGGCAGCGCCCGCGCUACAGCACCGGGGUAAACACCUACCAAUUAGCUCGUAAUAAUCUCCCCUGCGUAUUGAACCUUCCGGUUGGGUAAAUGGGGCUCCGGGGCACCAGGCGCGCUGCUCGCCGCCGGUAGCUCCGCCGCGGUACUCGCACGUCUCCACGGCAGGCAAACUGAGGGAAGAAGAUCGGGUCCUGGCCAUUGGAUCUUUUGCCAACGCGUUGGAUUAGAUGUGAGGGUAUCCUUUGCCUACUUUGAUGGGUGAGCGUCGAUCUGGGAUCAUGUGGCUCGGUGUGGUGGGGGUGUGGCAUAUCCUCGGCCCUUGAUCACGAAUCCAACGCAGCAUGUCGUAUACCAAUUUAGAUGUGAGAGGUUUCUAAUCCAAACCCUUGAUUCGCGAUCUGGCGGCUCAGAAAGACCCGUACCCCUUCACCAUGCCACUUUUGCGUAAGAGCCCCAGAUCUUCACAGUAAUCAACCCGCAGUCCUCUCUGGUAGGAAUCUGAGUCUAGGGAAUUUUUGUAGAUCAAUCCCUGCACUAUUCCGUAUUCGAUGCGCAGUCAAGUGACCAAGGAAAUUGAGAAAAACAUUAUGGAAAGUGAUUUAUAGUACAAAAAUAAUUGUAGGAACUUGUAUAAUUCAUAGAAAAUUCAACUAGCUCCUUUUUAAUCCAUUCUAGUUCCUAUAAUUUUGUAUUAAUAUUGUUUAAUACUUAGUGUAUCUGUUUUGUCAUGAAAAUAAUAAUAAAAUUGAUCUCCUAAUUAAUCUCAUAUCAAAUACAUACAAACUUUGGAAAUUCAUAACUUCUUCGUUUGAACUCCGAUUUGAUCCGUUCAAGUUGCGUUAGUCCCGUAUAAAUAUUUACUACGUAGUAACAACAUUUAUUAUAUCAUGUCUCAUUCUUUUCUAAUUAGAUCUUUAUUUAAUUUAUGUGGGAUAGUCUUGUUAAUCUACUUAUCAUUAUAGUCUACUAGAAGAUGAUCUAUGGUCAAUUCAUAACCUAGAUUAAAGUUGAGAUAAUUUAUUUAUAGAAUAACCUCUCAUAUGAUUUAUAUUAACCAAUUUAUAAUAUAUUUUAAUAUUUUAAUCACAUAAAUCCUCUAUAAAAUCAUAACUCCUUAACCGUAACUCCGAUUGUAGUGGUUCUUGUUCCCACGAUCUCGUAGCUUCGCGUAAAUUAUUAUUAUUCAGUUUGUACUUAUGUUUGGUGUGAUGUUAAUGUUGUAUAUACCAUGUUUGUUUGUAUUGCUACGACUAGCAGUGAGGUCACGAGGAUCUGAAGAGUCAUCCUGGUACAUGGAUUCUCAAGUGCCAAACAAGUUGUGCCCUUGAUGUAUUUGUCGGUGUUUCGGACCCGCGAGGACCCUCAACCGACUAGUGAAUUUGACGUUGCGUGUCCCUGCCCAGAUGGGUUGAUGCAAGAUGAAACACAAGAGGGAGGAUGGGGCUUAUAUUAUCUUGCACCGGGGUGCUCGUAGUAGGGGUUACAAGCAUCGCGAGAGAGAGAGGGUUCGGCCUUGAGGUGAGCCAUCAGAGUUAGGCUCCUUCACGUCCGCCCUCCUCCCUCUCUACCUGCCUGCCUCCGGGAAGGCCCUGGACAUCCCCUUUUAUAGAUACAAGGAGAUGGUCCAGCUGUACAUGGGGGUGUAGCUAUGUGCUAACAUGGCCGGUGGAGAAGUACUUGAGCCCUGUAGAAGCGCAGCUGGCGGUGCGACCUGGGUCCUGCUGACGUUUCCUUGCAUUCGUAGAGAGCUGAGAACAAUCGACGUCAUGGACGCAUGCAGGGGACCAUCAUUACCUGUUAUUGGAGUAAUUUUAUGUGACACCGGUAUUGUUCCUUCGUAGCCUAGGGUGGCUAGCUAGGAGUAGGGCAAUGAUGUAUCUCCUGUAGCGUAGUCGGUCCGAGGCCGAGGUCGGGCGAGGCGGUGACUUCUCCUGAGGCCGAGGCUGAGGUCGGGCGAGGAUGUGACUCCUCCCGAGGCCGAGGCUGAGGUCGGGCGAGACGGGGACCUUCCCCCGAGGCCGAGGCCUGGGUUCGGGCGAGGCGGAGACCUUUUCCGAGGCCGAGGCUGAGGCCGAGGCCUGGGGUCGGGCGAGGCGGAGCUCCCUGUUGUGCCCGAGGCUGAACUCGGGAGAGGUCGCGACUUACUGUUGUUUAGUCUUACCCUGGUGGUUGGCACAGUAGUCGGAACGGGGCGAACAGUGAUGUUAUCCUGUCAAAACGGUCAGUGAAAGGGCGAAGUGACUGCGGUCAUUUCGACCUUGCCAACUGAGGCACACGUGUCAGGAUGAGGUGUCAGGCGAUCCCCGCAUUAAAUGCGCAUGCGAUAUGGUUGGUGGUAGGGCGAUUCGGUCGAGGUUGCUAUACGACAAAGUUUGCCCGAGCUUAGCCUCGGGUGAGCCGGGGGUACGCCUGCUGCUUGAGGGGACCCUCGGGCGAGGCGCGAGUCCAUUCGGGACUACUGUUCCUGCCCGAGGCUGGGCUCGGGCGAGAUGAGAUCGCGUCCCUUGGUAGACGAGGCUUGAACUUUGAGCUAUGCUUGCCAGUCUUUACGGUCUGUUUUGAAGAUGAUUCCCAUCCAUGCUUAGGAGUAUUGGGGUACCCAUAAUUACGGUACCCGACAGUAGCCCCCGAGCCUCAAAGGGAGUGUAGGCACUCGCUUGGAGGUUCUGCUGGAUUUUUUGCAAGGGGACUAGCCUUUCUCGGUUAUAUUUUGUUUCGAUGGGUGCGCACGAGCGCACCCGUCGGGUGUAGCCCCCGAGGCCUCGGACGAGUGGUUUGGCUCCUUUGAGCUCUUAAUUCUUCUUGUGAUUCUUCGGUCGGCCUUGUUGUUCCCUCAUGCGGCCUGGCCGCAGCCCGGGUGCAUGGUCAGGCUCCGAGUUUUUAAGCUGGUUUGUCGACGUGGUCAACAAUUUGGCCGUAGCCUGGUGCGAGAGCAGACUCUGAGCCUCUGCACGGAGCGAGAGGACGAUCAAGGACCGUCUCGACUUUUAUUGUACGCCCCUUCGUCGCCUUUCCGCAAGGAGGAGGGGGGAACGCGCUAUGUUACCCUCGGCGGGCACUGAACAUGGUGUUUCCAGUGAGUUGCUAAUGGGUGAUUCGAGCGGAUGCCCGAGCCCCAUUCGAUAAGGGUCGGCUAGUGGCCCGAAGGCGCGCUCCAAAAGUACAUGCAGGUGAUUCGCUGGACCCGGACCCAUUUGAUAGGGUCCGAGGGCUCGGUGCCUCCCUCCGGUGGGAUUCCUUUACAAAUUGUUCCCGCUGGUCUCGGAAAUGUCCUAGGGUACCUCGGGAGCGUAGCCCGAGCCUCGGCCAUGUAACAGACGUACCAAGGGUCAUCUUUGACUCUGCAUGCUCUGGGGCGGCUGUCGAACCCUUUCGAGGGGCCAGCCUUCGAUCCCCUGAUCAGUAAAGGGCUCGGAGCCCGAGUGCUCUAGGGCGGUUGCCGAAACCCGCAGGGCGCAACCUUCGAACCCCUGAUCAGUAGGAGGGCUCAGGGCCCGUUUCCUUCGCUGAGAAGGAUCCUUUCGAAAUAUCCGCUUUCCCGAUCCCUGUGGCAAGAGAGAGAGAGAGAGAGAGAGGAAAAAAGAUAUAAAUUUAAACAAUGUGGCGUACCUUUUUUGAGGCGGUCAUCAUGAUGGAGACGAAACGACGCCCGCUUUGCCUGCCAGAGGUGUCGCGUGCCCUGCCAGGGAGUUAAUGCGACGGGACAGGCGACUCGCGGGGUAUCUGUGCGCGUGCGCGAGUCAUUCGAGGGAUGGAAAAAAUCGCUUUGCCUUCGAGUUUGAAAUUCACGAAGGGUUCGGGAAAAGUUUUGGGUGGACCUUGCUCGGGCCUUUAUAUACCCGUAAGAGGGGCCGGCGGUGGUUCUUUACCCUGUCAUUUGCUCUUGCCUUCUGCUUUUGUUUUCACAACCUAAGAGAGUAGACAGAGAAGUGAAAACCGCGCACCUCAUCCCUUCCGCCUCCACUGCUUCUGCUUGGCGAUGGCUGAUAAGGCGACCGUCCUUCCGCUGCACGACCCGUGGCCUUCUCCACCGUCACUGCGGAGGAUUUGCAGGCCCUCGUUACCGAGGGUUUGCUUCGUCCUCUCUCUAGCGGGCCGCAGCCUGAGUGGAUGGCCCCCGGGAGCGAGGCCAACCCGACUCCGCUGCUGGGGUACGUGGUCAGUUUCACCCCCUUCCAUGAGCGGGGGUUUGGGAUGCCGGCGCGCCGCUUCAUGCGGGCGCUCCCGCACUACUACGGGGUGGAGCUGCAUAACUUCAACCCCAACUCCAUCGCGCAGGCGGCUAUUUUCGUGGCGGUUUGCGAGGGGUUUCUAGGGAUUGACCCCCACUGGGACCUGUGGACCCAUCUCUUCUCCGCGGAGUUCUUCGCCGCGUCAACAGAUGUGAAGAAGGUCGGUAUGGCGGUGCGGGCUGGCGGCUGCACCCUCCAGCUGAGGUCGGGGCGGGCAGCGCAGUAUAUCCCCGCCUCCCUUGUGUCUUCGAACAAGGGGUGGCAAAACCGGUGGUUUUAUCUCCGGAACGACGACGGGAUGCUUCUGCCGUUUUCUCAACGAGUGGUGACCGUCGCUGGUGAUAACUGGCGCUGGGGGGCCCACAUGCGAAAACCAGGAGAAGCUCCAGCCCAUUCUCCAUGCCCUGCAGAAGUUACACACUGAGGGCCUUACCGCAGCGGGGGUCGUCGCAGCUAUCCACUGCCGGAGGGUGCUUCCAUUGGCAGAGCGGCAGUUGCGGCUUUUGGAGAUGAAGUCGGGGGUUGAUUUGGAGGGUUCACGGAUGUCCUCGACCUCCCUCUCCGCCGACGACCUCCUCAGACGGGUGCAGGCCGAGGGGGUACUUGACCCCUUGGCCGAGAUAAUUGGGGUGACUCCGGGAGGUCAGACCGAACCGCAUGUCCCCCAAGAGCAGGUGCCAGUGCCGGCCGUACGGGAAGUUGGUCCCCCGGCUGUCGCGAUGUCGCCUGGGCAGGCCGCCCCCUCGGUGCCUCGGGCGUUCGAGGUGGAAGCGGCGUCGAAGCCGGCCGCGGGACAACCCUCGGCAGCGCCUGUGGAGACCGGGGCCCGAGGGGCCUCCCGGCAGGCACGAUUGGCCUUGCCCCGGAGCGGGUAAGUAUCUGAGGGUACCCCUGUUUCAGUUAUUUCGCUGUGUGUCUUGAACUUGCCCUCUCUCUCUUUCAGCAAGCGGAGGCAGGGCUCGGCUGGUCUGGCCCCCUCGAAGGCCCUUAAGACGGGACCGACUUCUGCGGCCGGGGUUGCGGCGCGCCACACUGGUUGGUUGGCCUCCGCGCAAGGCACCCUCCGGCGAGGGGCCCAAGCGGCACAGGCUGCCAUGGGGCAAGCCUCCCGGGUCGCGCCCCCUGUUGGAGCGACCAUCAUACCGGGGGAGGCCGUUGACGCAGCCGCAGCCCCAAGUCCAUCUGUCUUGUUGCCGGCGCCGGCAUCGAUUCCUGCCGAGGCCGUCGCUGAUUCGCCCGCGGAGCCACCCGUCACCGCCGAUGUUGAGACGGCUGAGGCGCCUCUGCCCUUGGUCAUCCCCGAUCUCCCCAUUUUUGACCAUGAGGAGGGGGCGACCGUUGUUGCCGAGGUCGGUGAGCGGAGGCCUGUCACCUUGGCCAAGGAGAGGCCCAAGAUGUCGACUGCGGUGGUACCCGAUGCACCGACUGCAGGGGGACCCGACGCCUCAGCCGAGGGCCGCGCAGAACUGUGGCCCGUCUUGGGGAGCAGCGGCCUUAUCCCCACGCAGCUCAAUCCCAAUGAGUGGUGUGGGCAGCCGCUCCUGUUCUGGAGCCGCAACACCUCGGAGCCGCUCCUCUCCCUCAACGAUGAGUUGGAGGAGCAGUUUCAGAAUAAUUUCCGUGAAUAUACCGAGGCGGCGAUGAGGUCGCUUCGGUCGACCAUGGAAAUCCUUUCCAGGGACAUUCCUAGGGUCUUCCAGGUAAGGUUUUAGACAUACAUCUCACGUGAUCAGGGCAUUCUUCGUGAUAUCCUAUUUUCCUCUCUCAGGAGCUUGUGGACGUGAGCACCGCUAAGUCGCUGUUCAUCCGUCGCGAGAGCGACGUUUGGGAGUCGCUGCGGUCCUAGUGGGCCACGCUUACCGAGGCUAAUGAGCGCCUUGCCCAAUGGAGCGCCGAGGUGGCAGACCUUCGGCUGCUCUGUGAUGAGCUGACGUCGGAGGCAGCGGCGGUGCGGACAGAGGCGGCGUCGACACGAACGGAGGCUUUGUCGGCACGGGAGCAGGUGGCUUCCCAGGCCGAGGAGAUGCGCCAGCGGCAGUUGGAGCUUGGCCAGGUCACCGGCGAGCGGGACCAAUUCCAGAGCCAAGCUACCGAGGCCGUGAGCCAGGCCGAGGCCCUUAGGGGACAGCUGGCUGAGGGUACGGAGCGGCUAGCCGAGGCGACCGCUCGGGCCGGGACCCUGGCGGAGGGUCUGGCCGUGGCCGUUGGGUCUGCCUGGUCCACCCGAGUCGUGGCCUCACAGCAGCGUGCCUGGGCCGAAGGUAUGUUUUGCCUGCUUUGUGAUUUUGUUUUUGUCUUCAUUCUUCUCCUAUGUUUGAAGAAUAUCGUCCGGCUGUCUUCUGGGUUCGAGACGGCUCUUAACGAGUCCGUCAAGAACUGCAAGACGCUUGCCCAGGCAGCUGAGCAGAAGGAGGUCGACCGCGUGGCCAUGUCCGAGGCCAUCUCGGCCUUUUAUCGGACCUUCGGCCUCGGCGACGUCCCCUCGAGUAGCUCCCCCCAGAGUCGCCUGCGGGCCUUGGGCGGCCAUGUGCGCAGCAGACUCCGCGGGGCGCUGCACCACGGCGUUAGGCGGGCCUUCGCCGUCCUCGCUUCCCAUUAUGACGUGGAUUUGGAGCGGGUCAGCGAGGGCUACUGCUUACUUGACGAAAAGGAGACCGCCCUAUCCGAGGUCCAAAGCUUGACGCGGCUGCCGAGGGCCCAGGCGCGACGUUGGCUUCCUUCUUCGAGGUGGAGAUCCUUCCGCCUGCGUCGCCGUCCGAGGCCGGGCCAGAUUCCGCCGUGGGUGGAAACGACGCUGAGGGUGCUCCUCCUCCCCCUUCUGACACCUGAGCCUGUGGGGAACAGUUUAUUUUAAGUAUGCGUAUGUUUCUUGCGGCCACUGAGGCCUAAACCUUUUUUAGUGUUAGAGUAUAAAGUUGCGUUUCUUUCCUCUUAUUUCGAGCAUUAGGACUUGUUCGGUAGCAGAAUCACUUAUCCGAGCGUGAGUUACUUUUCGCGGAAGGUGAUGAGUGAGGUAUCCAUAUCCCGGAGGCGUAGGAGUCCCUCGGCUCGGUCGGCCUUGCCGUUCAAGGUCUCUCUAGCUCGUUUUUAGGAUUCCAUUAUCGAUAUAGUCAAAAGGCACGAAAGUCGUUUUGGUAGAAAACUUUUCCGAGGAAAAUUUUGAUGCAGAGGGGGUUCCCCCUGUCGCAGAACCUCCCAAGUUAUCGGGCCCACAUGCACCUGUCCUUGUCUCAACCACCUCAGACGGCUAUGCAUGUGCACCAAACAACUUAACAGGAUCUGUCCGAGUGCCCCGAGGACCCCGGAUAAACGACUUACCGCCAAGAUCGCAGGAUUAAGUAAACACAACUCACAUACAAACACUUGCAGCGGAAAUAAAUUCUUUAUUACAAAAUGAUUACAUGUUACAAUAAUUUUACAUUAUACAAUUAUCGGAGUGAUUACAAGAGAAAAAGAUUCAAAAGAAUUACAAAUUUGAAAUGUUAUAAAAUAUUUGUAAAUUUGAAGAUACAUGCUAGCUUAAGUGACAAUCCUCAAUAUAGAAGCUAAAGAUGGGAUAUACUUAUAUAAGAAGGCCGAGCCCACCGGCACUUAGCACCAUCCACAACAGAACAAAAUUACAACCUGAAAAACAACAGGGAAUAAACCCCUGAGUACGCAAUUACUCAGCAAGACUUACCCGACUAAAGAAAAGACUCUCAAGGGUAUGCAGGUUUAUUGGGAAUCAAGGUAAAGCUUAUCAAAUUUCAAAGACUCAUUUUGCAGAAAAGCUUACUAGUAGUGGAUCCUUAUGCCAAGCUUUUACUUCACAGAUUAAGUACUUUUCCUGAAUCUAGAUUUGCCUAAUCUAGAGCAUUCACUUGUCCUACACUAGCUUCGUUUUAGCAGCUUUAGUUUCACUUGUUAUCUACGAUGCAGGGCAGUGAUCCAGUCUUCAUAUCCGAGAAGUAACGGCGAUCCGAAUCGAUUAAUACUCAGCUGAGGAUCUCCAACCACACGACAUAUGUAGCACUUAACCCUUGCAUAUGUCAACUCGCCCACAGUUUUCUCAAGACCAGAACGGGUUCACGCGACCCGAGAGCACAGCACUCCACCGUCCAGCCGUUGGUACACGUUACUCUCGCCAUAGUGCCCGCCAUGUUUCCGAGAGUACAACACCCCACCUUCCAGUCUCUUGCCACGGAGGGUACAAGCUACUCUCGCCAUCUCUCCACUCCCAGUGCGUGCGAGCUGUUCUGGUAUUGGUCCGACCGAGGCUAAGCUUACCCAUGACGAGGCAUGUGGCCAGUUAAAGGGUCCUAGAUCAGCAAGCCUACUUUCGGUACGGUCCUUAAUCGACACAGACGGGCGACCUUUCCUGCUCAACGUCUGGUCUCAUCUUAUUAUUUAACACCCAAAUCAUGUACCUGACAGAGGUACCAUACUUGAAUGAUGAAUUCAUCACUGCAGAUGAUGCGCUCACCAUUACAAGUCUCUUUUCAUAAAACAAACCCAUAACCAGUGUCACACAUCAUUCUUUUAAAAAGAAACAAGUUUUAAUUCUCUAGGCAGGGCUAAGCCUCAUUAGUUCUUUUUGUAAAACAGGUAUCAAGGAGGAUAAUCAAAUUCCAAGGAAUGGUAAUGCAUCAAUUGUUUAUUCACACAACUCCUAUCACCUAAUGCAGCAGGUAAGUGAUAAAAGUUUUUUAAAUAGAAGGAGGUGGCAAAUGCACCGGGGCUUGCCUGGGAUAAACAUUAUGUUAGUGUUGUUAAUUGACGACCACUUGGUAAGUAUCUUCCAUUCUGGUGCUGGCUUGAUGCAUCCACAAGAUUAAUCCUCCAAUACCAUCUCAUGGUUCGCUCUGAUCCAUGUCCUUCAGCUCGCAUAAUCAUCUAGCGUACCUAUUGGAAAUGCAUAAUGCAUAUGAGCAUGGACAUGAAUAGCAUGAGAUAGAUGUUCUAUACUAAAGAGGGUAAACACUUAAAAGAAGUCAUCAUAACUCCUAUGAGCGCACUAGAUGUGAAGAUAUUACUAUGUACCACAAGCACAUCUUUUACACAUAAAUAGGCCUAACGCAAGUAUCAGGCACUCAUACACGCUUAUAAACACAAGACAAUCCAAUCAACUCAAUAAUACUAGAUAUAAAUGUCUACUAACCUUUUUCGCAUUAUUGAUUCACCAUACUCACACAAAACCUAAAUAGUCACUAAUUCAAAUUUACUCACCAAAGUAUUUACUUCAUUCCCAAUUACUAAAGUCUAAAUCAAACAGUAAGAAGGAAAUGAAUUAAUCAAGUAUAACCAGGCAUUUCGAUAAACACUUCAUAUGCAACAAGUUGGUAUCAAUCAAGGACCAAGGAUUAACUAAUCCUCCCUAGGCAAACAAAAAUGACACCAAGAAAUCAGUUUAACACAUGCAGAUUUUCUAGACAGCAGCACAGCAGUUAACUGUUUUAUUCAUAACUCACAAAAUAUGCAUCCAAAAAUAGUAAACUAGGACUUUCUGGAAAGCUUAGAAAGUCCUCCACGAUUUUGGUAUUAUCAUCACAGUGAGAUUCAACAUAUAGAAAUGUCAAACAGUACUAAACGCAAUUUCUGUCCAGAUUUGGACAGAAUUCGGCCACUCACUUUAAAAUUCCGUAACUGGAGUUUCAGCCAUCCAAAUCAGGUGAUCCUAGACUUUUUAGAAAGUUAAUAUAAUUGUCUACAAUUCAUUUAUAAUCAUCUCAAGGUGAUUCAAUGUGUAUCAAAGUCAGUUAAUUCAAACACACAUUGUUGUCCAGAUUUUUAACAGAUUCAAACAUUACAUUUCAAACAGCCAUAACUUGAUUUCUAGACCACCAAAAGGGGUGAUCCAAGACUUUUUGGAAAGCCUAUAAAACGUACUAUAACUUCUUUAUAAUUACUAAGAGCUGAUUCUCAGUUUUACUUAAUCAAACAAUCCAAUUUUCGAAACCUGUACAGAAUUUGGACAGAUUCUGAAACUGGACUUGGAAAAAUCACAACUCCUAAACUGCUAGUCCUAUGGUCAUGAAAUUUUAGCACAAGCAAGAUAAAGGAGUUAUCUAUAACUUUUCUAUAUAACAUUUUCACAGAAAAGAUGAUUUACUUUGCUAAACUAGCUUUAUAAUUAAAAUCGUACCUACAGCCCUAAACAGCAGGAAUUCUAGUUUAGUUCCUAUUUAAGUUAACCACACCUUACCAACUCUUUUAUCAAAGCAUCCAUUGCCUAAUUUGCAUCAUAAACCAAUCUUUAGAUCAAACAAUACUUUGGCUUCAUAAUACUAAUGCACCUAUUUCAUAACAUGAAACUAUACAAUACACCAUAUGCACAUGAUUCAUCCAUUGCACUAUUAAGAAUCCACCACAACCUUGCAUAUAUUUCUACCAUGACAUAUUGCAUAAUUUGCAUUUAAGAACUAAACUGUAACGCAUGACUCGACUACUUCAAAAUCCUGAAUCCAUUCAUUUCAUAUAAUUUGCAAUUCAAACUUAAAGUCAUAUCGCAACGAAGAACCGCUUUCAUGACACUAUGCACAUUUCAUUUAGCACAAAUAUCGACUCCCUACAAAUCAACCAUUUAUUCGAUUAACGGAAACAACGGGUCGACUUACCACGACUAAACUCAAAGCGGCGUCCACAAACACGGCGAUGGCUUUGGGUUCAGUCUUUCUAUCAGACACCUGUCAAGCCCCACCCGGAUCUCGCUUGCUUUCACCCAACAUCCGGGAUUCGCUCCACACAACCACACAUAAAUAUACACAUGAUUAAUUUCUUAUAAGCGACGCCGAGAAACAAAACACCCAAGUAAGAACAUAACCUCAUGGUCGUGCAAAAACUUGCGGUGUCACGGAUGAAGAACGAGGAUGAACUCUGGUCAAUCCUCCCGUCGAACACAUGGCGUGCGUCGUGGACAUUGGACUGCUCCGGCGUGCUGCUGCUCGCAUAGAGACAAGGAGGGAUGCUGCUGGGGAAGAAAUAGAAGCAGUGAAGGCGAAGUCGCCAUGGGGAGAGGAGUAGAGACGACAGCCUUCGGAGUUCGGACAUGGGGCGAGCUUGGCAUGGGAUCUGCCACCAUGGGGAAGAGACCUGGGCGCCCAUGGAGAGGAGCGUGACUAGCAAAGAACCAAGAGGGAGAGGGCUAGGGCAAACUCGACUGGGACACCAUGGGAGGAACAGGAGCAGGGAGUACGGGCGACCGGUGCCUAGAGGUUGAGGACCGACGCCAUGGGAAACUGGAGCACGCCACAAACAGAGAGGGGCUAGGCGAGCUGGGACUGGACGCCAUGGCUGCUUGCCGCUGCUGGCAUGGGGAGAAACCAGGGAGCAGAGAGGGGCAGCCAUGAGGGGGCUGGGAACCUGGCUCGGGGCUUUGACGCCAUGGGAGGGGUAGGGAGAGGAGUGCCCAAGUGGUGGCUGCCGCAGGGAUGAACGCCAGGGAAGAGGAUGGCGUGAGGGAGUUCGGUUGGAGCUUGAGGAAGAGAUGAGGAUGAAGGAGAAAUGACGUGUGUAGCUUCUAGGAAAUAAUGGGCAGCGUGGAUAAGAAGGAGAGGAGCUUGAGCGGUGGAGAAGAUAAGAGAAAAAUUCAGAUUUUUUCCUUCUCCAAUCUUUAACCAAAAGAAUACCCAAAUAAGUGAAAAAAUCUGGGAUUUGAAUCCGGGCGAGAUGCAAACAGACCCAUCAAAACAAUAUAAAUUUUAAUAUUUUUGGACUACGCUAACACUGUUAGGUAUUUUCGGGAUCAGGCAAAUUUUCACAGUUGUAGACAGUGGAACAGAUUAAUUACGAGUACUCAUUUCGGUUCUAGUUAUCUCGGUCCGAUUUAAUUUUUGCAGCACUUCUAUCGUGAAGUUCUAGUAAUAUUUACUUGGGCAAAAAUACAAGAGUGGAUCGGGAUUCCAAAUUCAUGUUCUCUUAAUCCAUAAAUUCUAAACAAACACCAGGCUCGACAUUUCGCGAAAUAAAUACGCGAGAUCGAUCCGGCAUCGAAAUUGUGAUCCCUUCGGAAGCGAAGUCACACAUCGUUCACGUGGGCGAGAGGCUGUGCGCUGUCUAGACACCGCUUAACACCAGCCACGCGCCACGAUGCCAGGCCACAGAGAGACACGGGCAACAUAAGCGUGAAAGGAUUUCAAAUGAAGUUUAAGAAACCAGAUCCGAUUUCCAGAAUUAAAGUUUGGGCAAGACGUUGAUGGCUUAACCCAAACGAUACUGGAGUCGAUGUUCCGAAAUUACUAAAGUCUGAAUUUUGCAAAAUAAAUUAGGACAAUUUAGACAGAUGGAGACAGACACGAUAUCAAAAUCGUGAUAGACGAGGAUGAUUAAAAUUUAGUGACCUUUACAUUCACAGCUAUCACGUGUUAACGUCCGCACUCGUGGUCGAGUAGAUGAUAAACACCUGGGGUGUUACAACCUUCCCCCUUAAAAGAAUCUCGUCCCGAGAUUCAGAACGAAAGACUUCUAAGAGUAGAGAGGCAUAUAACCCUGUCCAUAAUAGUGACAGCAUAAGCUAAUUCCAAGCAAAGACGAGCAUCUCAAAAUGUUGCUUCUCUAGUGGGUAUAGCACAUACCAUUUUAGUUCAACUAGAGACGUCAAUAAACAAGCUAUAACUGACAAAAGAACACAUAAGGUUCCAUGUGUGCAGUUUACUUUUUCUGAUGACACGGUACUAUCUGAGUCUAUUGAAAACGGUGGACAAAUGGAUAGCAAUUCCUAGCACAUGAGACGAGUGUGGAUGUCAAACAACAUCACAAUUAACUCGUGGUUAGCCAGGGAAUCCAAGUCCAAGAAAAAUGAUAGAGAUUCAAGGAAUGUAGGGAUCUGUAGAUGUUGACCUUGUGUCCAAUCCAUUUUAUCAAGCACUAAGCAUGGCUCGGCUUGAUCACACAUGUUAGAAAAUCACAUGUGAGGCGAUUGAGACACAACUAGAACUGUGGUCGGGCUAUUACCAGUUAGCUGAGGAUGGCAAAAUACCUCGGACAACAAUGUCGAGUUAAGAUGCAUAUGCUCAUAAUCUAAUCCAAUAUGGCCCAAGACCUGCGCAUAUGUUCAUAACCUUCACUUGGUCUUCAUAAAGGUUUCUUCAGGAUAGGCUGAACUAAAGUGAGUUUAGACAACUCGAUAAAACGAUCUCUAAACUCAACCUUUGUUCAUUGGGCAGUUACAAGUUAGUAAAACCAACUUGUUGAACUACUUUUGACAUUGAGCAAGUCCUCUUAUUACCCGUCGGCAAACCAGAGGUUGGGAGUUUACAUUUACGAGUACGAGGGCAUGCAUUUGGAUAAGGAUUCAGUUGAUCAGAUUAUUUAUUCAUCUCCUCCACACGAGACAAAAUAACAUGUGUAUUAGAUGUAUGAAUCCAAUAAGGAGGCGAAUGAACAAACUCCUGCAUUUAGCAGCAAGGGAAGUCAAUCUCCAUUUUGAGAACUAAUCAGUUGUCACCCAACACUAAAAAGCUUCAAGGCUUCACCUUUGUAGAAAGGGUAGCGGAGGGAAGCUGUAUAUGGGUAGUCACCACCAAAAUCAAGAAAAAUGAGACUACACCGAUAAGAAUGGUUACAGGUAGAAAGCCAAAUAGGUCCUGGCCCGAUGAAAGGAACACGAGAUUGCCAAAACCUAAAAUGGUUGAUGAGGGAGUACGAUGGAAGACUAUUAUUUCAGCCCCAAGCAUAUUUCUAUGCCCAUCGCAGAAAUUUCAAGGUCAAGGAUGAGCAUCUAAUUAGAUACAGAGAGGUAAUGAUCAUAAAAUUAAACUGAUAAGUCUUCGAGAGAUAUGAGGAAACCAAAGGCAUUGAACUCAAGGAAAUGAUCGGACAUGUCUUUCCUGGGUUAGGUUGAUAAAAUAACGACAUGGUCCCCAAGAAGAUACAGAGUGGAAUAGAAACAUCAGCUUGCACCAAGCGAGUAAAGGCAUGAUUUUGGAUGAAAAAAAUGACUACAAAAGAGUCACGUUUUAAACAACGAGAACACGUACUCGAGAUCCUUGUUUUAAGCUCAGGUGCAUUUAUUUUCUACGAUAAGAUUACCUAAACACCAAUUUAGAUAAACUUGGUCCUAAAGUAACGAUGGAAAUUUAAACUCGUCCACUUUUGGAAACUGGGGAAAAACUUUGGGAAAUUAACAUCGAUUUGGGUCAUGGCUCCUAGAUGAGGACAUGGCCAAAUUUUAGGUUUAUGCAAACAAGUCACCAAUAUUCUAUCGGCACACAGGCACAAAAAUAAACAUAAGUUGCACUAUCAGUCAAACUAAGAAGAACCACAGACCACAUAAACACAUGUCUAAAGGACACAUCAAACAAAGCUAGAAAUUGCUUAUAGAACAGUAAUACUUCAUACAGUUUCCAAUUAUUUAUUAUCGGGAUAAAGAUGAGAAAAGCAUGUUCGUUCACAAUCACCUAUUAUUAGAAUAAAGGUGAGGAAAGUAUUUCUGUGCGCAAACAACAAACACAAUGCAACAAUCGGGAUGCAUGCUCGUCCUAUUCGUCCUCACGAAUUUCGCCAACAUAAUAUGGCAAUAGCGUUCUAUAUCGGUGGCAUACUUACGACUCUCACGGUAUUUUGCUAGUCGUCAGCUAAACAUACGAGUUCGAAGUUAGUGUACCUGCAGAAAAUUUCAUCACAGCCCAUUUCCUAAUGAUGCAAUUCACACAUGACAGUUUAUCAUAGUUUAUACUCCAUAUAUUUCUAUAUGGAGGCCAGCUCCUCAUUAAGCGCCGAGCCACGCAUAGGCGCCGCUGCCACACUUUAACCAUAGGGCAGCUCAUUAUGGUAACUCACCUUCUUACCUGAGCGUAGGUGCGUCGUUGCAAAUACAUUACACUUCUCAGUAUUCCCAUGUCUGUAUACCCAUACACAUCCAUGGGGUACUGAAUCCCGAAAAAGUAAUUACUCCACAUCGCAGCCUUCAUAUAUACAUAUGUGUAACAUGUAUAUAAUCAAGCGCCACAAUUAAGCACUCCCCUAGACCGACGUUUGUCCGGUCACGCUCUCACAUCUCACCUUACCUGAGCGUCGAUCCAUUCAAGACUGAAUGGCCUCAAAAACAACAUUACACAUGUAUGCAUCACCCUUCCCAGGUUGUGGGUUAGUAUUCUGAACUAAGCCACCUAGUAGUCCUUAACUUAGGGCUUAUAGAGGAUGUCGCUAGCAUUAUAGUUUUUCAAAUAUGUUUUUCAAAACCAAACAAUGUGUUUAGUUGAAAAUAGAUUUUCCAAAACCAAAAUUUUGUUUUGAAAAUACGUAUGUGACCGUAUCAUACUUAAUCAAGCUCCGAUACCAGCUGUCGCAGAACCUCCCAAGUUAUCGGGCCCACAUGCACCUGUCCUUGUCUCAACGACCUCAGACGGCUAUGCAUGUGCACCAAACAACUUAACAGGAUCUGUCCGAGUGCCCCGAGGACCCCGGAUAAACGACUUACCGCCAAGAUCGCAGGAUUAAGUAAACACAACUCACAUACAAACACUUGCAGCGGAAAUAAAUUCUUUAUUACAAAAUGAUUACAUGUUACAAUAAUUUUACAUUAUACAAUUAUCGGAGUGAUUACAAGAGAAAAUGAUUCAAAAGAAUUACAAAUUUGAAAUGUUAUAAAAUAUUUGUAAAUUUGAAGAUACAUGCUAGCUUAAGUGACAAUCCUCAAUACUUAUAUAAGAAGGCCGAGCCCACCGGCACUUAGCACCAUCCACAACAGAACAAAAUUACAACCUGAAAAACAACAGGGAAUAAAACCCUGAGUACGCAAUUACUCAGCAAGACUUACCCGACUAAAGAAAAGACUCUCAAGGGUAUGCAGGUUUAUUGGGAAUCAAGGUAAAGCUUAUCAAAUUUCAAAGACUCAUUUUGCAGAAAAGCUUACUAGUAGUGGAUCCUUAUGCCAAACUUUUACUUCACAGAUUAAGUACUUUUCCUGAAUCUAGAUUUGCCUAAUCUAGAGCAUUCACUUGUCCUACACUAGCUUCGUUUUAGCAGCUUUAGUUUCACUUGUUAUCUACGAUGCAGGGCAGUGAUCCAGUCUUCAUAUCCGAGAAGUAACGGCGAUCCGAAUCGAUUAAUACUCAGCUGAGGAUCUCCAACCACACGACAUAUGUAGCACUUAACCCUUGCAUAUGUCAACUCGCCCACGGUUUUCUCAAGACCAGAACGGGUUCACGCGACCCGAGAGCACAACACUCCACCGUCCAGCCGUUGGCCUGGUUGGUACACGUUACUCUCGCCAUGGUGCCCGCCAUGUUUCCGAGAGUACAGCACCCCACCUUCCAGUCUCUUGCCACGGAGGGUACAAGCUACUCUCGCCAUCUCUCCACUCCCAGUGCGUGCGAGCUGUUCUGGUAUUGGUCCGACCGAGGCUAAGCUUACCCAUGACAAGGCAUGUGGCCAAUUAAAGGGUCCUAGAUCAGCAAGCCUACUUUCGGUACGGUCCUUAAUCGACACAGACGGGCGACCUUUCCUGCUCAACGUCUGGUCUCAUCUUAUUAUUUAACACCCAAAUCAUGUACCUGACAGAGGUACCAUACUUGAAUGAUGAAUUCAUCACUGCAGAUGAUGCGCUCACCAUUACAAGUCUCUUUUCAUAAAACAAACCCAUAACCAGUGUCACACAUCAUUCUUUUAAAAAGAAACAAGUUUUAAUUCUCUAGGCAGGGCUAAGCCUCAUUAGUU